rnacentral:lncRNA from 1 species
GACACUCGGGGACGGCGGCGACCGACUGGGGAGGUGGUUAGGGGUCGGGGUGGCUGUCAGAGGAGGAGCCUGAGCGUGUGAGGCCUCCAUGGUAGAAACUCGGGCAGAGAAAGGUGAAGGUAGUGAUGAAGAUGAUGAAGGAGAGGGAGGAAGGCUGAUUUCGGCGACCGACGGCCUGCGUAGGCGGCCGGGGCGCCUGCGGCUAGGGCAGGGGGAAGAGAGGAAGGCGGCUAGGGCUCAACUGAGGUUGCUAGGGGGCUAGGGUUAAGGUUUGCUUCAUGUAAACCCUAAUAGCCUGUAUACAAGGUGGUUUAAUUGUGCAUAAGUCCACUGAAACUCAGUAUUUGAUGCUGAGUCCCCCAUAAUGCGGGUAAAAUGCACGGAUGUACCUUCAUGUUCGAAAUCACGCAAAACGAUACAUAAAAUAUGGGGUGUUUUGUGGAUUUUUUGUUUUGCCAAUUUCGACAUCUUUGCGAACAUUUUGAAUUUUUGGGAGAUCCGUCCGUCAGAUUUGCGAACGGACUACGCUAGUGCGUUCAGCACAACCGGGGCAUCGAACUCACGAUUUUGUUUUGCUCGAAUUGAUCGCCGAUUUGUGACGAAAGCUAUCCUCUCUCCAAUUUCGAAAAACCACACAUAUAUAUGUGUAAAUCAAAUAAACCCCAAAUUCAAAUUCGAAGUUGAAUUCCCUACCAUUGGUAGGUACCUAAAACAUCCUCCACCCUACUCCAAGACACACGCACGGAGCACGAGAAGUUUUACAACGCAAGAACAACAAAGAACAAAAACCCUCUUUCCGAUAAAAUCCUUUUUUCUCGAAAAUCGUGCAUCAAAAUUCAAAUCCGUUAGUGUCAUUGUGUACAGGACAGUCGAACUAUUAAAAAGUGCUAUUGGAUCACUAUAAACGAAGUCCAAAACACAGCAAAAGCCAUCUCUACUCAUUAGCCUUUUCGGAAAAUCCGAGUUACUAUUCACUUUAAGUGAUUAGUAAAGGUCGCGUAACUUCUUCAUCCUAACUUGUUUUCUUCUGAAAUUUGAUGAGUGCUUAUGUAAUUAAAUUACACAUAAAAAUAUCAUCAACAAAGAGUUUAGCUACACAGUCAAAUUCUCAGUCCUCACACACAAUCAUCCCAACUGUACAAUUCUUGAUCCAACAAUCGAAAAGACGGAAGCAUCAAAUCAUCUAUAUUUUCGGUAGCAUAGUAGCUCUACACACACACACACACACACACACACACACACAUAUUGGUUUUAUUAUUUGCUUUGGCUUGAUAUCUAAUUAAUUAGACUAGUGCAGGGCCCGCGCUUCGCUGCGGGUAGAUUGUAUUUCAAUCAAUUGACAUAUAUAGUAAUUAAACUUAUAAGAUUAAAAAAUGAUAACUAAAUAAAAACAUUAUCAAAUAGUGUUUCGUACUGUCAUGCCUCAAAGUCACAGCGGAAGCCUACGGGACGCUAACAGACCCACCGAACGGACAGGGUCUCCUCUGUCCGAACGAAGCGGUAAGUCCCAGGUAAACAAGGAAAUAUAUAGCCAAAUACGACAUACAAAUCAGUACCAAAAUCAACAAAACUACGAGAAAACUAACGAUAAGUAUCAUAGCACUAUACAUCAGCUGAACCACUAUACAGCAAGAAACAAGUAACAAAGAUACAUAAAUCCACACCCAAAACCAAGUACAAGUUAUUGGCCCUGGCCCAUGCCAAUCCAAAAGAAAGUAUAGUGGUUCAUUAUCGGGAGGUCUGCUACAGGCAAGUAUGGUGGUAGGAAGGCUAACUAGGCGCAAUCCCCUUACCUCGCACAGCGGACGAUAUACCUGUCACUGAAAAAGGAGACCACAAGAGGGCGUGAGAACUACUAAUAGCAGUUCCCAGUGGGUACGGUCGACGAUAACCAUGACCCUCCUACUAGGUCUAAAUAAGCAAAAGUAAAUGAAAGAGCGAUAACUAAGGAAAGAAUAGAGAGCAAAGCUGCAGCAUAGUGUAAAGUAAAGAUCCGCAUGUAGAAAAGUAAACCCUUGUAUUUAUAUUCCAUGACAUAGAAGUAGAGUGGUACUGACACUUGCAUUUAUAUUCAAGUUAACCUGAGUGGUCGGUGCCUAUGUACUUAUAAUGUCAUUAAUCUCACACUUUCCAAUUGACCUGAGUGGUCGGUACUUGCGUAUUUGAGAGGAUAUUUAGCUUGUCCAUCCUAGUUGACCUGAGUAGUCGGUACUUAUGUUCCCGUAUAGCUUCGAUGACCUAUUGGUGAGUGUGCCCCGAGUGAUGAUUGUCGGCUAUUCGCCGACGGUUGACUAUUGAUCAUAUUCGCAUUGAUCAUCAUAGCUCGAGAACAUUUUACGAACACCAGCGAUCUGAUGCUCACAGGAAGGUGUUCUUUUCUAAAAAAGUGGUUGGUUGCCAACCCGUGAACCCAGCGGCCAUUGCUAGGGUUAUAUGCCAGACAAAGCAGUUGUGGCUUGCCUGAGGUUCUUGGAUCGACACGGCAGUAUAAAUUAGGUACAUUUGGACUUUUCAUGUCACGCCCCGGAUUACCACGUUUCCUCGGGCACGCCAACAGAUCCGUCGUAUAUAUAGAAAUUUUUCGUGUAUACGAAGUGAUAGCCGUACCUGUAAGCAAGUCAUAGCUACAACCAAGAGUAUAGAGCUGCUAGAAUUAAAACAUACAUAUAUAGAACCAAAUGGGUUCACUGUACAUAUACAGGUCUACAACACCUCCUCGCUCUAGCGAGUAACACAACAACAACAACAACAGUAUGUACAAAAACCCAAAACUACCUCUGAUGGGUGCUCCUCUAGCAAACGACCAGGGAAGGGACGGCUCUAGCUCGCGCCUUCCUUGCCUCGAUCAGAAUCCACAACAGUAGCAGCCGUAGAUGAAGGCUCUGCAAAAAGGUGCCAACAACUGGGUGUGAGAACUAUUAUAAAACAGAGUAGUUCUCAAUGGGUACCGUCACUGUAACACACUGGACCUUUGCAAAUUGCGAGGUUCGAGUGUUUGAUCUGUGUUCUGAGCUUUUUCACUUUUUCUAGAGGAUCGUAGAUAGUGUUCCGACCUAUGGCUCACAUCCCGAGAAACGAGGGUUUUAACUUAGCCCUAAGGUCUCCAAAGAGAAGGACUUAGGCUGCUCUCGGGUUGAGUUCUGCAGGGUUGUGUACCGGUACACCUUAAUGGUUGUACCGGUACAGAAGGUUAAUUUCAGCCAACCCGAGCCUCGGAUUUGCGCGUAUAGGGUUUUGUACCGGUACACUUUUUCGUGUACCGGUACACAAUGCAGUUCGCAGACUGCUUAUUUUUUGAUAGUAUUUUUGCAUUUGUUGCUUAUCUAUAAAGCAUCCCACGCCCCCUCUAGGUCUCCCUGUGUUGAGAACAGGAUAAAGCAAGGUAAGGGAGCCCUCCACCCCUUCUCUUUGAUUCCGUUGAUUUUGUUGGGAUUUUUGAAGUUUAAUUACUUCAUUUUGCUCCUUUUUGCUUCUCGGUGGUAUUUCCACCAUUGUUGAAGGCUUGGAGCUUGGAGUUGAGCUUGUUGAAGGAGAGAUCUUCAACCCUUGUGGAUUUUGAGCCUUGUUUGAAGCUUCUCUUGAGGUUAGUAACAUGAUUCUACUUUUAGAUUCAUGUUUUGAUGGUUUCUUUGAGAUGAAACCCUAGAAUGGAAAUUUAGUGUUAGUUUUGGGGAUUCUUGAUUAGAAGCUUUUGGAACUCAAUUGAUUGAGUUAGAACCUUUGUUUAGGUUGGAUUUGGAGAGAUCUUACUCUCAUUUGGGAUUUAAAAAGGAUUCUUUACACUAUAGGUGAGUUUUGCCCCUUUUCUUGAGGUGUUUAAUGUUUAACUUAUAUGUUGUUCGUAACGUUCGUAUAACUCUCCUUUUAUUAUCUUUAGGGUGCUAGGAGAAUUGUGGGCAACUUCGUUCGGCGAAACGAAAGGGUUGUAACGAGACUUGGUGGGUUUGGCCUCACCAAAAUGAGAUAAAUUUCUCAUUAGUUGUUUAUACUUGUCGUAAAAUAAAACUUCAUGCAUAUUCAUACUAGAUAGAAUAAUUGUGAAUUUUAGAAUGCUUUAAAUGCUCAUGUUAUGUACAAUACAUAUUUGGAUCUCUAUGUAGUAGAAUGUAUUUAUGUUGGACUUAUGCAUAUGGAUAGCAUUCUUAUAUGUGAUUUGGGAACAUGUUUCAUACGAUGAAUAUGACAAGUGCAUUAGACUCUUGGACUUGAACUCAUGCUUGGCAUAGGAGAAAACAUAAUGUCAUAAAGAGGCAUUGGGCUUGGAAUUGAUAUAGUAAGCUAAUGUCAUAAAGAGGCAUUGGGCUUGGAAUUGAUAUAAUAAACUAAUGUCAUAAAGAGGCAUUGGGCUUGGAAUACGUAUGGACUUAGUAAAUCUAAGGUCACAAGAGACAUUAAAAUUAAUGUGUGGUUGAACCUUACUUUGGGACAUUGGACUAAACCUUCGGGGUGCUAGUCACUAUUGCCAUGUUAGAAACAGGAUGAUCGGAUUCUUGAGACGAUGACCAUGCUUGCUUGGCAUUUGUGCUCAUUCGCACAUGCUUGUGAGGGCCGCUCCCUACAAGCCAGCACUCCGGAGUUAGCCUACGUGACUUAUGAUCGCUCGUGCGGUAUUGAGAAGCCUACGGGGCUGGGUGGGAUAGACUCAUUCCUCGAGUGGGAAUGCUGGGGCUACUACGAGCACUUAAGAGGCACAAGCCGGACUACCUUGUGUAGGUACUUAAUUGGAAAUGAAAAUCGGCACGUAGUCAUACAAGUAACAAUCACUACUAGACAGUUCAUAGUAGUUGGAUUUAUUGGGCUUUUGGACAUGUAGUAUACUUGAUAGUAUUGCUUUUUGCAUUAUAGCAUACUUGUUUGCCAUGUUGGAGCAUACUAGUCAUGUAUUGGCAUAUUGGACCAUGAUAGAAUAGAUGUACACCAUGUUUACAUUAUGUAUAUUUGUGGCAUUGUAGAUUAGCAUUUCAUUACAUGCUUUUCAUAUUUGCAGUUUACUAGUAGUUUCUUUUUUCUACUCAUGCUUUUCGGCCUAGUGGUGCAUUUUGCUCAGGUCAGUAAUUGUCCACUGGGAACAAUAAAUUAUAGUUCUAACGCCCCCUGUUUUAUGUUUUAUUUCAGAACCUCCCACUCCGGGAGAGGCUAGGGACCGCGGCAAGGGUGUCGCUUCGAGCUAGCGAGCGAUGGAUCUUGCUAGGUGGAUCAUUUUUUCCUUUUGUUUUCGUUGGAGAGAAUGAGAGCGUUUGUACCCUACAUAGAGACUACCAUUUUGGAUAUUGUAGUACUUGUAUUUGGGACAGUUUGAUGUAUUCACUCUAUAUUUUAUCUUAGUUGUUAGUUUCCUUUCUCUCUACUUGUUGUUAGAAUUUAACUUCUACUUGCUCUGAUAUCUCUAGAUACUUAUUUAUUUUUAUCAUUUAUCGCUAUUAUUGUAGACGCCUUAUAUGUGCAGGCAUAUGGCGGGUCUGGGCAUGCUACCGGGAGGGCCUCUGCCUGUCCCAGGGCGUGACAGUCACCGACCUCAACGACUCACCUACUAAGUCUACAGUAUUGAUAUACAUAGAAUAGUAAGGAAGGCUGGAAAACUCUACAGCUACAUACCUCUAUACUAUCUCUACCAAAGCCAAUUAACUGUAGACAUAAACAUGCAUCACCAGCUACCACUGACCUAAUCAUACGGGCUGCCCAAAUGGACCCACCCCGCCUGUAACCAAGGUACACCGUACACCACCCACGGGGAUGGCCGGUUCAAGAAAAAGGUCCAAACAGAAUGGCUGCGACAUCAAUACAAGUCAAAGCCUCACUCUAGAGUGACACUCGUGGGCGCGACCUAACCGAGUAUGCAAGCGUGUCUCUGCCGAGCUCAAUCAGGCUUUCACAGGUUGUAGUCAAUGCAAAUGGGUCAAACUGGUCUAACAAUCAAAGCUCACGUGCCCUGGGCACAAUCUGAUGCAAGAUACAGAAAUCUUGGUCCACCGUCAACCACGACGGCAACCGACAAUACGGAACAAUCUAUACUCUACUGUAAAACGAGUUCAGCCCCUCAGCACGAGCGUAAACUCGCCCUAUACUAAUCUGAGUAUCCCGUACACACUAAUAGCAGGGAUAGAAAAGAACAACAACUCCUGAAGUUAAAUCUGGUAACUUUUCAGAAAAUGACAGUAUAGGUUUAGCGAGUUUUCUCCUAAGUCAAAUCCCAGUUCAACAUGUAUAAUUUCGUCUAAAAUCACUAAUUUAUGCUCCAAAUUCAGAUUUUAUAAAACAUACACAUCGAUGAAUUCAAGCCACUAACAUGAUGAAUAAAGCUAAUAAAACAUGCUGACAAUUCUAUGACUUAGAAGAAAAUCCAACGAUUUCGGUAAACAUUAACCCACCUUGAGCGCCUGUCCAACGUCGGCAAAAAGUCGACAGGAGAAUUCCGCGCGCUCGCCUGACCUCCAAAGGUUCACCCGAGACGACCCAUGCACACGAACGGUCCUCCUAGCAAGCGAAGACUCCACACGAGCUCAACCCUCGACCUCCCCAAUGCACGGCGUAUACCAGCUAGAGAGAGGAAGAGGAGACGUAUCCUGCUCUCUAAAAGCUCCCUAUGCAUUUAUAUAGUCCGGGUUAGGUUGGGAUGAACGACACAUCAAAAGGACCAAAAUGCCCCUUAUCAACUCACUUUUCCACCUGAAAUACUGGUGCUCAGCUUGAAUACCGGUACUCAGCCCCUCAAUUCGCACUCUCGCGCGCUGGGUACCGGUACUAGCCCGAUGCAAUACCGGUACCUGAGCUCGAUACCGGUACUCAACAAUAGGUAUCGGUACUCAGCAUCAGACAUGCGCAAACCCGAAAGCAUCCAAUUCUGAAAUCUCACUAGGGUAUUGGUGCUUCUCCCCAGGUACCAGUACUCAACACUGAAAUCUUGCACUUUGCAGACUUCAGUGUCAGAACUCCACUUUGGCAUCGCGCUGAGUUCGUUUUGCGUCCAUUUCGUGCCAAAACGACUCGGACUUGUCUCGACACCCACCAGAUGUGUCGACAAGCCACAGAUGCUGAAAUCACACAUACUGCUAAACACCAGGGACACUACAUUUCAUCCGGUUGACGCAUAUAUCUAUAGUAGCGAUUGCUGCAUGCUUGCUUACAGUUCAUCGCUUUUUACACUUACAUUGCUACUAUGGGCCUUUUUUUACCUAUACUUGGUUACCGGUGAGUAUGCUUGCCUUCAUCGACUUGUGGUACCCAUUGGGAGACCCUUAUUGGUUUCUCACCCCUAUUUCUCCACAGGUGGUAUGGGUGGGAUUGGUUCGGACACAGCGUGAUGCCGUAGCUAGUAGGCGGUCUUAGAUGUCUCGAUCUAUGGUAUAUAUUUUGACUAUACUCCAUACUUAGCAUAAAUAUACAUGUGAUAGCAUAGUUUACCCUUACAUCUGAUAGUAGAUAUUUAUUUGUGGUUCAAUUGACAUUCUAUACUUGCGGAUUUUUGGAUGAUACACUUAUGAGGUUUUGGAUACUUGUAGUUUUGAAAAUCUUGUGGCUUCAGUUUUGGUUUUCAAACGUGGCUUCCUACCCCUUGUGGUAGUGUUUUCAAGAUAAAGGUUUCCGCGGGAAAUGACUUUCAAAUGAUUUUCUUUGGACUUUCUACUCCUUGUGGUAGUAUUUUCCAAAAUAAAGGUCCCUAGGUGGGGGACAGUUUUCAAAAUAAUUUUCUACAAUUUUUCGUUGAAGUUAGGUUUUCAAAUGAAGUUAUCGUGUGGGAGACAUUUUCAACUAAUAGGAAUGAAUGAAUGAAUGUGAAUGGAUGUGACUAAGGAUGAUUAGAUGUAUAUUGGUGUUGAGCCAAUUAGGCGCGGACAGGUGGUACGCCGGUAUUCCCUUCAAAGGCAUCAAUCUGGCCGUGCACCAGGAGCACCAGAAAGUUUGAAAGUAAACCCUCGUGCCAAUUGAAGAAAGUUACAGUAAGCGCAAGCAGUUGCAUGCGGUUCCGAUCGGCUGGAGGUGGUCCGGAAUAUUAGGAGAUAGUGGCCGAUCGUGUAAGAGCAAUAACUGAUCAAGGGGUGAUCUAUAAAUAGGGCAAUAACGCCCUAAAAAAGGGUCUUUUUACCUGUGAACAAAAGACUACCCUUAAUUCCUCGUAAUUUCCUACAUUUUUUAGGAGUAGUCUACUUGUAAUUUUCUCUUUCUCGCAUUUACUGUUCUUCCUAGGAGUAGUUUUAAGUAGAUCAACCGAGUCUGCAUGCCAUCCGGCACACUUGACCUUUGUACUUCUAAUAAGUGAAUAUAAAGGCAUUCGGCUCAUUCAAGCCGAUCAAUUCCUUUGCUCUAUAGCCAUUCGGCUCCUCGGCCGAUUUCAGCUCUUGCUUUGUCCGUACAUUUGGCUCAUCCAGCCGAACCGAAUUUAGUGUAGAGUUUCGAACCCGGCUGAUCCGAUCCCUCAUAAGCUGAAUCUUUUGAUCGAUCGAAGGGCGCAAACUUCGAGGGUCAAUACUAUAAGCCGUUUCCAUCCCGACACGCUUCGCGAGGAGGGUCUUUGACCGGGUCAAGGACCGGGGAUUUCGGCUACCAAUAAUUUUUGGCACGCCUAGUGGGACACAUUUGAGGUAACUUUUAUUUUUUAUUAAUAUAAUGGCUGACGAUAAUGCCAUGAACUUACGUAAUAGGGCCGUUCCUAGAAAUUCUGGGAGCGAAUAGCCCGGCAAUUCAGAAAAUGUUGCCAAACUCCAAGCGGUUUUGCCUGCUGAAGGUGAAACUAGCGGCCAAUCCGGCCAGCAAGAGCCUAGUUUGGCUCAGGUGCUUGGGCAAAUGACUCGAGUCCUGCAAGUUUUAGAUCAAAAUAGUCAUGCUAGUACUGCAUAGCUAGACGCAGUGUUGGCCGCAAUCACGGCCUCUAAUGAGAAUAUUGCUCGAAUAGGGCAAUUAUUAACUCGUAAUGAACAACCGAUAGCAGGCUUACAAACGCCUGUGAUGACACCGGUGUUACAAAAUCCCGUAACACCAGUAAAUGGACAGCCCCAAUACCAGGGGGCACCUUACCUUGCAGCUUAUAGACCGGUUGUCGUUAAUGCCGGUCAACAGCCAGAGAUAGCAUGGGGUUUACUGCCUCCUCCACCAGUAGCAGUAUAUCAGUCCCAAAAUAUAGGGGCUAGGGGGCAGGCUCCAAAUGUACAAGGAGUUAACCCUGUGGUACAAAAUUUCGGUCUGCCACAAGGACCGAAUCGAGCACAAGCGCAAGUCCCCUUACAGGGGAUUAAUAAUGAAAUAUAUGCACAGAUCGAGGAAGCCAUCUGAAAUACCUUAGGAGUAGGCGCAAGGCCGGCAAUACGGCCUGUAUUCAGAUCACCUUAUCCUACGAAUAUAGACACAGAACACCCAUACUUGGCAAAUUGGAAAAUGCCGAAGUUCGACAAGUUUUCUCGGGAUGAGACCGAAAAUAUGGUUGAACAUGUUGCACGGUUCACGGCACAAUGCCGAAAAGCCGCAGCAGAUCCAUUUUUAAAGUUAAGAUUAUUUAACACCUCACUAACCAAGACGGCGUUCACUUGGUAUACAAGUUUGCCGGCUAAUUCCGUCCGGAAUUGGGACGAAUUAGAAGGAAAAUUCCAUAAACAAUUCUAUAGAACCGAACCAGAAUUAUCGGUUGCCGAUUUGGCUCAGUUCAAACAGAGAACGGGAGAAUCGGUUGAGGAAUAUUUGAACCGAUUCAAGACGGCUAGGAGCCGUUGUUUUGUGAGAAUGCCAGAGUCGGAGUUUGCCAAAAUGGCAUUUAACGGAUUGCAUUUUAAAAUUAAAGAUCAUUUUGAAGACAAAUACUUUUCAAAUCUUUUCGAUUUGGGAGUUCGGGUUGCUCAAUGUGAGCAAUUCCGAAAAGGAAAUAAUGAAGAUAUGCCCAGAUGGAGCCGAAACAAAGAGUGGAACAAAGGGAAGGAGAAAAUUGUCUCAUUCCUUGAAGAGUCUUCGGCUUAAAAGGAGCCGAAUUCGUCUGAAGAGGCUGAAGAUUUGGCUGAUGAAGCCGAAGUAUAUGCAGCCGAGAUUGUAAAAAGUCGACAGCCAUACAAAUGUGCUUUACUGAAGCCGGCUAAGUCAAGCGAGGCAAAAGCACGGGUGUCGGCAUACACAUAUUCGUUUGAUGUAUCAAAGAUCGAUCUAAUUUUUGAUUGGUUGCUAAAAGAUGGUCGAAUUCAAUUACAGGAGGGUCAAACAAUACCUCCUGUGGAAGAAUUAAAACGUAGAUGAUAUUGCAAAUGGCACCACUCAUGGAGCCAUAAGACAAAUGAAUGCACUGCCUUUAAGAGGCAGAUUCAAAAAGAAAUAAAUGAGGGUCGGCUCAUAUUUGCCGACCAAGAAAAUAAAAAUAUGAAAAUUGAUAACAAUCAUUUUCCAUCCCAUGUCAAUAUGGUGAAUACGAAAGGAAAAAGUAAAGCGACUGCAAAAAGGCAGAUCCAAGAAGAAAUAGACGAUGAUCGGCUUAUUUUAGCCGAUCAAGAAAAUGAAAAUACAGGAAUUGAGAAAAAUUCUUUUCUGUUAUAGGUUAACAUGGUGAAUGCUAAAGGAAAAGAGAUUGCGAACAAAAAGACCGCAGAAAAUAUUGCGCACACCAAAAGGAACCUUCGGUUUUGUGUAAGAUGCAAAGUCGAAAUGACAAAAAAAGAUUGGGAAGCCAUUAUCAAUGACAAAAAGAAAGGCAACGAAUGGAAUGAAUUGAUGGCAUUCCCCGAGGAAUGGGAUGACAUUCCUGAAGGAGAUGAUCAAGAAGAGGAUGGCUCAAAUGAAGCCUCCAACGAGACGGAACCGGAAGUCAAUUCGGUUCAAUACAAAAAAGAUUUAUUGAUGCAGAAAGUUCUGCAUGACUACUACCAUAACCGAUGAGAUGAACCUUAUAGCCGAUGGAGUUAUCCAGAAAAACCAUUCGGCUCAAAGCAAAGGUUUCCUGGGUAUCGGCUGCACUGGCAGCAUCAAGCCAGGCCGAGAUCAGAACCGGAGUUCGAAGGAAUGACUGAGAGAGACAUAGAAUUCCUUGGUCGAAGAUUGGUCAAUGAGCUCGGCAUUCAGCCCUGGCCGAGACCUUGGGAGAGAAGAGAAAUCUUAAAAAAUUAUUUAAGAAUAGUGAAGGUACCGGCAAAUGUGCCAGUAGACAAGUGGCAUGAAGUCGAAGUAAAACCAUCGGCCAGAUGGCAAGGGCCGAUGUUAACAAAGACACAAAAACGCCGGCAGCAGAGGAUGCAAGCCGAGGCGAGGCAACAGUACGACAAAGCGAAAGGGAUAAGACUGAAUGUGUGGAGACGGCCUAAUGAACCACCACAUCCUUUUUGCCCGAUGCGAGACAACCACGAGGCAAGUGGCUCAUCGCCUGUUCCUUGGUUAAAGUCGAAAAUUGAAUGGCCGGUUUCGGCCGAGCAGGAGGAGAAGAUGACUAGGAGGGAGUUAGAGGACAAGAUAGCCUCCCUCGAGACAAUCAUUAAACAAGAGAGAUGGCCUUCUAAGGAGAGGGAGGUACGGAUCGAAAGCGAUUCCUCGGCUAAGACAGCUAAGGAGUCUGAAGAAAAGAAAUAAAGGAUUCAAGAAAAAUCGGGUGAUGAAGGACUAGCCAAUGUCAACAUGGUUUAUACUCUGCCACAGUCCUUUAAUGCAGAGUAUACUGAGUAUGAGGAGAUGGAGGAAGAAGUUGGGCUCAAUGUGGCCCAAUUACAGUUAGAGAAUGCCAAACCGGCCGAUGCGGUGGUUUUCGAGAAACCAUCGGCCAUACAGAUGAGGUUCGUGAGUCCUUUGUUUAUUCGAGCCUUAAUCGAAGGUCAGCUAGUAGGCCGAGUCAUGGUGGAUGGCGGAGCGAUGGUCAACGUCAUGCCCACUUCAUUCUUCAAGAAGUUGGGCAAAGAUGAAGAUGAAUUGAAGCCCACUGAUACAAUUAUGACCGACUUCACUGGUAGCGGUUAGCAAGCUCGAGGAGUGCUCACGACCGAGAUAACGGUAGGUUCUAAAACUUUACGAACUGCAUUUUUUGUGGUGGAUGCAGAUAGCCACUACAACCUAUUGCUCGGACGCGAUUGGAUACACGCAAACGAGUGCGUGCCUUAUACCCUCCACGAAAAAUUAUUCCAGUGGAUAAGAGAUAAAGUUGAAGAAAUCCGGGUCGAAGGACGGCCCCAAAUAGUGAUAUCAACGCAGAAGAGGUCGGCCACAUCAAUUGGGCCGACGCUGAUCCAGACCAAAUCUCUUUUAUAAGAGUUACGAAGGAGGGGAUUCAGUUAAUCCUCUCUAAAGACGAAGAAGCUAUGGUGGCAGCCGAAGAGCCACCAAGUUGGCUAAAAUGGAACGUGAAGAAUCAAGAACCAAAGCUUUAGAGGAGCUUCAGCAAGAAGAGACGAUCGACAGGAUCGGCUGUGUGAUAAAUUCGGCCCAACAGGCUGAUGAUAUGGUGUACAACAAGAAGGCCGAAACGGCCAAUAAUGAACAUGUAGUAAAAUCGGUUGUUAAAGCUGAGAUGAAAAAUAUGGGGAAGUCGGCUGUUACAGCAGAAUGUGAUACAUCAGAUGAAAUGAUUAGGCGAACAACUGACUUGAACUUAGAAGAAUCGCCUAUCAAAGUCGGUAAUAAAAAGUUGGAAACUCAGGAUCCACUUAUCGAAGUAAACUUAGGAUCCAAUGGACACAAGCAGUCGACCUAUAUUAGUGCCAGACUUUCGGCUCAACAACAGAAGGAGCUGAAAGAAUUGCUGAAGGAGUACAAAGAUUGCUUCGCCUGGAGUUAUGAAGAAAUGCCAGGUUUAAGCCGAGAAGUUGUAGAACAUAGGCUACCUAUUAAAAAAGGAUAUAACCCUUACAAACAGCCGGCUCGUAGGUUUGAGCCGAGUAUUAUACUCCAAAUUAAAAAUGAAAUAGAAAAUCUUUUAAAGACUGGUUUUAUUAGAGCGGCUCGUUAUGUUGAUUGGAUAUCCAACAUAGUUCCAGUACAAAAAAAGAAUGGCAAACUUAGAGUUUGCAUUGAUUUCAGGAACUUAAAUUUGGCUACACUUAAAGAUGAAUACCCAAUGCCAAUAGCCGAUAUGUUAGUAGAUUCGGCUGCCGAUAAUAAAAUCCUGUCUUUUAUGGACGGCCAUGCCGGCUAUAAUCAAAUUUUCAUUGCUGAAGAAGAUGUAGCUAAAACAGCCUUUAGAUGUUCAGGAUCUACUGGAACCUUUGAAUGGGUAGUCAUACCGUUCGGUUUAAAAAAUGCCGGAGCUACUUAUCAAAGAGCAAUGAAUUUUAUUUUUCAUGAUUUGAUCGGCAAGAUGUUGAAAGUUUAUAUCGAUGAUAUAGUUGUGAAAUCCAAAUCACAAGCCGAACAUUGGGUAGAUUUAAAGCUCACCUUUGAAAGAAUGAGAAAAUAUAAUUUGAAAAUGAAUCCUUUGAAAUGUGCUUUUGGAGUCUCAGCAGGGAAUUUAUUGGGAUUCUUGGUACAUAAAAAGGGAAUUGAAAUCGAUAAAAAUAAGGCGAAAGCUAUAUCAGAAUUGCCGCCACCAAAAAGCAAAAAAGAAUUGCAAAGCUUAUUGGGAAAAAUCAAUUACAUGUGGCGAUUUAUAUCGAAUUUGGCUGGUAGAAUAGGGGUUUUCAUUCCGUUACUUCAGCUAAAAAGUAAAGAAGAAUUUGUUUGGACAGAAGAACAACAAGUAGCAUUUGAAAAUAUAAAGAAAUAUUUAACAAAUCCUCCAGUACUUAUGCCUCCUAAACAAGGACGGCCGAUGAAACUAUACAUUUCAGCUACGGAGGAUAAUUUGGGAUGUUUGUUGCCCCAAGAAAAUAAAGAAAAAGAGGAACAUGCCAUUUGUUAUCUAGCCGACGGUUAUUAGAUACAGAAAAAAGAUAUUCGGCUGUCGAAAAAUUAUGUUUGGCUUUAUAUUACUCUUGUUCAAAAUUAAGAUAUUAUAUUUUACCAGCCGAAGUAUCGGUAAUAUGUAAAACCGAUCUGAUAAAAUAUAUGAUAUCUAAGCCAGUUCUGAGAGGACGAAUUGGAAAGUGGAUGUUAGCCUUAUCUGAAUUCUCCCUCAAUUAUGUUCCGGCAAAAGCUGUUAAAAGACAAGCGAUAGCCGAUUUUCUGGCUGAUCAUCCAUGUGUCGAAAUCGAGGAGCCGAAACAAAAUUUAAUCGGCUGUCAACCUUGGAUACUUUACUUUGACGGCUCAAGAACAGCCGAGUCCGCCGGAGCUGGAAUAAUUAUACAGUCUCCUGAGGGAUAUUCAUGUCAAUUUUUUUUAGCUAGAUUUCGGCUGCUCUAAUAAUCAAGCCGAAUAUGAGGCCCUAAUAAUUGGCCUCGAGAUUUUACAAAAUUUAGGAGUUAAGUCAAUCAAGGUCAUCGGUGAUUCACAGUUAGUAAUUAAACAAGUGAAUGGAGAAUACCGAUGCGAAAACCGGAAUUUGCAAAAUUAUUUAAGAAAAAUAAUAGAAUUGCUUUGCAAUUUCGGAGAAGUUCAAUUUAAGCAUAUGAUCAGAGAGAAAAAUGAACAAGCAAAUGAAUUAGCCCAAUCGGCUUUACGGUAUAAGGAGCCGAAACGAGGUCUAAUAAGAAUUGAAAGAAGGUUGUUACCUUCGAUUCAUGUUCGAGAGCCGAUUAUUACUCCCAUAGAGGUGAAAGAGGAUUGGAGAAAAUCCAUAAUUGAGCAUUUAGAAGACCCCAACAAAAAGGUCGACUAUAAUUUUGAACAAGAGCACUCGGCUAUUGUUUGUUAGAUGGACAGCUCUACAAGAGAACAGCCGAAGAAAUAUUAUUGUUAUUUUAGGGCCUGAUGAAGCUUUAUUGGUGAUGGGGGAAACUCAUGAGGGUUUAUGUGGAGCCCAUUUAGCAGGAAAAAGAUUAAGAUGGAUAAUUCGGCACUUAGGUUAUUAUUGGCCGACUAUGCAUCAAGAUUGCAUAGAAUAUGCUAAGGGUUGCCAAGAUUGUCAAUUUCAUGGAUCGGUACAGAGAGUUCCUGCUUUUGAGAUGUAUGCUAUAAUUAAACCGUGGUCUUUUCGAGAUUGGGCCAUGGAUUUGAUUGGAGAAAUUUAGCCAAAUUCCUCGGCUGGUCAUAAGUUUUUAAUAGUGGCCGUUGAUUAUUUUACCAAGUAGAAGUGAAACCUGCUCGAUUGGUCACUCAAAAAGAAAUUAUUGACUUCAUUGAAGACUCAGUAAUUCAUCGCUUUGGGAUUCCCGAGACGAUCACAACCGAUCAAGGAACAAUAUUCACAGGAGGUCAAAUCCAUGGCCCAACCAGCAGAAGAAAUGUCUGAUCGAUCGGCCAAGUCAAGUGAAAGAGCGCACAGCCGAUCAAAUUGUUCUGGAUUCUGAGCCAAAUAUGGGAGACCUUGACUAUAUAAUCGUAGACACUCAUCAAAUUAUUGUUGAGUGUCUGACGACAUCACAAUGAUAGUUGAAUCAUCUCCUUCAUUAGAAUUUGGGCUCGAAACUAAAAGAGAGUGAAGAGUUGGAGACAGAGGAUCUUCUGGAAUAGACGAUGAAGCUUCAGGAGGCAAAUGGGCAAAUGAGUCUCUGUUCAUGCUCCUUCAACGCCCUUUUCCAAAGGUGCAUUCACAUUUUCUCCUUCUGUUGUUGGCAUUUGUGAUGCUGCACUAUUUGUUGGCAACUCUUGGGUCUUUCCUUGAGUUGCCCUGUUCUUUUCUGCUUCUUGCCUCUUUUUGAGGUGAGCUUCACGACGGAGUUGCCUAUCCAUCUGCGUCUUCAAAGAAUGAGCAAAAUGGAUUCUUUCAGGAGAAGACUGUUUUAUUAGGAGAAAAGAAUAAAUAAAUGAAGAAACAAAAAGAUUGAGUAUAGAUAACCAAAAUUGGUUUACCUCAAUCUCAAUCGGCUCGUUCGAAACAGAGCUUUGCUAAUCUCAAUCGGCUCGUUCGAAACAGAGCUUUGCUCUGCAGCCGAAGAUGAUACUUCAGUUCUUUCUUUUGGAGCAUCAGCCGAAGGUGUUUCUUCGGCUCUUUUUUCUGAAAUUGUAACCGAAGGUAUUUCUUCGGCUCUUUUCUUUAAAAUAUCAGCUAAAGAAACGCCUUCGGUUUGUUGGGAAUACGAAUACGGUCUCUUGACGACCGACUUGCGCCGCUUUGGAGGCGGCAGAGUAGAUUGUGUAGUUUCCGUCGGCCUUUUCUCUGAAGCUGGGACCGAUGGAGAAAUCGGAAUUGACUACAAAAAAGGAAAAGUAAGCACUAUAUAUACCAAGAAAAGAAAAUUAAAAGAAAAGCAGGGUAUAUUACAGAAGAAUGAGGGAUAUCGGAGAUAUGAUCGGAAAUCUCUUCUGAUUCUUCUUGUAGUACAGAUGAAGCGGCGGUAUCAUCCGGAAGACAUUUGCUUGAAAAAGGCACUAUAAACAGAAAAUAAAUAAGCAAGAAUUAUGUCGAACAGAAAAUUUUCUAUAAGUAAGAGACAUACCAAUUGGGUGAAUAGUUUUGCGGUGUGCUUGUGAAGUAGACAAAUUGAAGGUAAUAUUGACAAAACGAUCCCAAUUAACGGUGUAGCAGAAACCUACUACUCCUGUACAAUUCGUCCUGAAGCUUAAUAAUUUGAAGAAUCGCCGAAGACGAUUCCCCAUGGCCGAGAUUCGAUCAGCAUCGACUAUGCUUUUGGUGGGAGGACGAUGAAUGGUAGUAUUGGCCGUAAAGAACUUGGUUGGAGCAGGGAUUGCUUGUGUAAAUCCAAAUUGACGCGCUGCGAACUGGGGAGAGUAAACCUCAGUACUGGGCAGUAGUUUCGAGCACAAUUUCAAACCAACGUGCAAAUCCCUUGUAGCCAAAAAAGAGUACCAGACAUUUGAAUUUUCGCCUGCACGGGAAGAAGCAGUUUCACCUUGAAUGACCUCAUACCUAGCUAAAAACCAAGGUGGGCCGAUGACACGAUCAGCAAGAGGAGACCAAGAAAUGAGGAAAUGAGGACCUGAUUCAUAAAAAGCCUUGAAAUAUGUGAUAAAAUCAAGAGGGUUGCCUGAUGUUAACGGCUGAGGACAGCCGAGAGCAAGCCCAUAAGAGUCAAAAUGAGCAGCCGAGUCUAGAUCUAGAGGUUCUCGGCACAAUUUAUGAAAAUAAAUUUGCAGAAACAUUUGCAAAAACCCAAAACACCACAGCCCGAGCUGAUUGUUACACCAUCUCCAGAGGGUAGUGGUUUAAUGGAAUCAAAGAUUUCUCUAUAGACUAAGGCAAGAAAAUAAGGCCCUAGAGCUAAUCUAUCGCCGUUAGAUAAACCAACGGCGAUUGGGACAAAGUCCCGAUUGAUGUUCUGCGAACGAGUACAGAAGAGAUUGUGGCAUAACCAAUAUAGGAGGAACGCUGUAUGUUCUUUUCUAGUGACAAGGGCAGGGGAUUCGCCUGCAAACUUACGGAGGAACUUGGAGUAAGCCAAGUCAUUGAGGUCAAGAUGAGCCUCAUAGUCAGACACGUCAUCAGGAUUAUAAGCCAUAGAGAUGGUAACGCCAUGAGGACGCAGUCCAACGAUAGCGGCUACGUCAAAAAGAGUCGGAGUAAGAGGUCCCCCUCUGAAAAGAAAAACGUUGGAAACAGGGGAACAAAAACAGAGAGCAGAAGCUAACAGAAGGUUGUCGGCUACAAGAGGCUUCCUAGAUAACCGAAUAGCUUCAUAAAUUCCGAUUUCCUUCCUAGAAUUACCAUAAACAGCCUCCACUCGGUCCAACCAAUCCAAGUAAGCAUCUGAAACACUCGGCCAAGUUCCAAGACUUUUUUCUGUGGAAGCCGAGGAAUACCAAGAGUGAAGAUGAAUGGAUUUAGCUAUAAAUGGAAUACCAUCACUGGAGUAAGGAAAAUCAUCAGGAGUUGGAUCUUCAGUAAAGGAGGGACCCAAGGUUAAUCUAGUGGGGUCUAAAGAGAGAUAUGGUUUAAGUAAAGUAUAAUCUAGCGAAGGACGAGUAAGUAAAGGCGGGAGCGGCGCCAUUACUCGAAACGAAAAGAAACUAUGGAAUGAAGCAGAAGCCGUGAAUGAAAGAAUGGAGAUUAAAAGAAAUCGGAGAAGACGAAGAAGAAGUAAAGAGAAGCGAAAGAGAAGUUUCGCCGGAGAAGACGAGGAAGAAAUAAAAAAGGGAUAGAAAAGACAAAGGGAAUGAGAAGCUUAGGGAAGAAGAAAAGGUCGUCGCGUCGAACCAUCGCAUCAAAACGAGUUCCGAAGUCGGCUAUAAUGAUGAAUAGACGACGGUAAUUAAGAUAACCUAAUUAAUGCCGCAUAUGAGACAAAAAUAGGGAGCGAGAUCGGGGCUGUAAAAAGAAAAUGGACAGCCAAGAUUGAAUCGUACAGAGGAUCACGCCUCGGAUUACGUCAGUUACUCGUACAGAGAAUUUGAAUUUAAUUGGACCGAGAAUCACGCCUCGGAUCGCGCUUGUUAUUGAAGCGAUGGCGGGAUUUUGGUAGCAGAAAAAGUGGACGGUUGAAACGAAACCGUACCAAGAGUUUGAAAAGUAAUCGCGCCUCGGAUUACGCCAGCUACCGAAGCGUUACUUCGAAAGCUGCCGAGGGGGCAAUUGUUGAGCCAAUUAGGCGCGGACAGGUGGUACGCCGGUAUUCCCUUCAAAGGCAUGGCCGUGCACCAGGAGCACCAGAAAAGUUUUAAAGUAAACCGUCGCGCCAAUUGAAGGAAGUUACAGUAACCGCAAGCAGUUGCAUGCGGUUUCGAUCGGCUGGAGGUGGUCCGGGAUAUUAGGAGAUAGUGGCCGAUCGUGUAAGAGCAAUAACUGAUCAAGGGGCGAUCUAUAAAUAGGACAAUAACACCCUAAAAAAUGGUCUUUUCCCCUGUGAACAAAAGACCACCCUUAAUUCCUCGCAAUUUUUUGCAUUUUUUAUGAGUAGUCUACUUGUAAUUUUCUCUUUCCCGCAUUUACUGUUCUUCCUAGGAGUAGUUUUAAGUAGAUCAAUCGAGUCUGCAUGCCAUCCGGCACACUCGACCCCUGUAAGGCAUUCGGCUCAUUCAAGCCGAUCAAUUCCUUUGCUCUAUAGCCAUUCGGUUAGAAGUGCAGUACCAAUUCAAAAUUCAAACAAUAAAUGUUGAAAAAUUUAAAAAUAAGUGGAGAAUUAGGCAGUUUUGAAAAGAAAGUACAAUUAUUUUAUGAAAAUCUCUCUGUUGCGACCACAUAAAAUUCAAACUAGAGAUUGUAAGAAGAGAGGAGGAUGACAUCAAGAAGAAGUAUCAUCAACCCUAAUAUUCUACGUUUUAUUUUUCUUACAUAGGAGUAGGCGUAACCUAAUCUAGCAAUAGUGAUAUAUAGAAGCCUUGGCCAGUGGAGAACUGUCCUUUACCAAUCGCUCACAAUUUCUCGAGCCUUCAUUGGACCACCUCACCUUUUGUUGCCGAAUGCUUUCCCAAGCUGCACGCUUUUGUCAGGUGUAGAAUACCACUUCGAUCGCUAUUCUUAUGUAGUGAUUUUAUUAAGCUCAACUUUGGCUUGGAUCAACGGCCGAAACUUGAAAGCCAAAGAAGUUUCUAGACUUUGGCUUGUUUCUAAAUGUCUCAAGGCUGUCUCUCAAGAAUUAAACUUGAUCGGACUGUUUUCUUUCAGACUUACGUCUGAAAUAAAGUUAGAUUUUACCUCUGUAUCAAAUAAUGUCACACUCUGCGAUUUUAUUUACUAACACUUGUAUUGAAGAAAUAAAAAGAAAUAUACUAACAGACCUAAUUUUACCCACUUCGUUUAUUUUAUUUAGAAAUAAACUUAACUAGAAAUAUGAAUCAACUAGGAUUCGAAUUUGAAACCUCGGAUAACGAUCAUCAAGCCCUUUGCCACUUGAUCUAGGAUGGUUGGUUUGGUUGAGGACUGAAAGUUAAUCCCCAAAAAAUUAUAAUUUGUAUUUGCAAACGAAUCAAGAACCGAAAGAUAGCUAGUAACUCGAAUCGGACCCCGCGCUCGCGGUUCAUCGCAAACCAUGGGGGUUCGCUCGCGUCUUCUCGCAGUUUCUACCUCAGCUCUCCCCCAUCGAAGCCUCUCCGUGUUCCGCCUGGCAAGCGUCGCCGCUUGCUGUCCAACCUCUCGUUAUCGCUCCAAGCUCUUCGCAGUUCGGAUGGCGUCCACCGACUCUUCUGCUCCUGCUCCUGCUCCUGCUCCUGCUCCUCCUCCUCCGCCGCCGCCGGCGCACACCAUCACCUUGCCCGGCGGCGCCGCCCUCCAGAUCGUCGCCGCCGCCGGCGUCUCCGAACCUGAUUUCCGGUGGGCUUCCUGCUUUGUUCCCCUCUUUCUGACAUUUUAUUGCUCGGAUGGAUCGAAUAAACAUCUUCUUGGAAAAAUUGCGCAAUUAGUUCCUGAACUUAGAUCUCACUUUGGUCAUCAAACUCGCGCUUCGUUAGGAUGGAGAGAGAAGAAGAGAAAGCAAAUAAGAAAGUCCGGAGAGAAAAUCAUUCUCUCUCUUUUGGAUUGAUACAUGAGGAGACAAAAAGAAGAGAAAGGUCAAUUUUUUUUUUUUUUUUCUUUUUUUUUCUUUUUUUUUUUUUUUUCUCUCUUCAAGCAUGAGAGAAAAUCACUUUCUUUUCUUUUCUCUUUUUUUGUCUCCUUUUGUUUUCUCUUCUCUCCUAUUCUCUUAUUUCCUCCAUCCAAACAAAGCAUUAGUGUUACAGCAGAAAUACUAUUUUCCCGGUCGUGAUCAAGAAAGUCUAAGGAAAUUUUAGUGAUAAAGCUGGAAGACGAAAGAAACUUGAAGGGAGAAGUUCAGGGGAGAGGAAAUUUGAGUUCCCUUCCUUCAACAUCUCCAACACUUUUAUGUCGGACAUUCAACUUUUAACCUAUUAUGGAUAAGUUUGUACUACUAAUCCCUGAAGUUUUUGGUCAAAUUUCACUACAGUCUUCGAAUUUGCAGGUCGAACAUUUAGCACCUCAAAUAUCACAUUUUGAUCAAGCUUCACUUUAUUAGUCUUCUAACUUAUAUGUUGACAUUGAAUGCCUUGAAUAUAACAUUUUGGUCGAGUUUCACUUCAGUCUUCUAACUUAUAAGUUGACCAUUUACAGCCAUGAGUAUUUGGAAGAAUUUCACUUUAGCUCUUGGGUUAUAUGGACAAGUUUUCUUUGCACCUGGUGUGUCGAUAUAUUCCUUCACAAUCCUAGCGAUGCAUCCAUCCCGUAUUUUUAACCCAAAUGUCUAACCUAAGUGAAAAAAAUGCUGUUGCAACGCAAUGGGUGAUAGUUGUAUGUUUGACGGAUGUGUGAUUGCUAUGAGUGCUGGCAAUGAUUCUUCUUCUAUUAAUAAACGAGGACAACGAUUGAAGUGGAACAAUGUCAAAAGUUUAGGGCGUUGAAUGUCCAACUAAAAGGUUUGAGGGCUGAAGUGAAACUCAAAAUUUUGGGAACCAGUGUUGCAAUAUAUCCAAAAGUAUUGCUAUGCUUCUGUAACUGUAUGUGCCAUGAAUUGUAUCCUUCUUUAUCCAUCUCAUAUUUCAUUCUUACUAUUCAAAUUUUUUUAUGUAGGGAAAAGAUUGCAUCCGAUGUGUUUGAGUUUAUAGACACACUAGAUGAAGGCAAUAAUCUUUUCUUAGGUUAGGAUAAGGACCAAGUGAGACACUUGGUAUUAGUGUCCAACUUGAUAAAAAUAAAAUUGAUGAUCGAAGUGAAAUUUGACUAAAAGUUUGGGAACUUUUAGUGGAAUUUACCCAAAAUCUUUGCCAUACUUUAGAGUUUUAUUGCUUUUUGAAAUAUGUUCAUGUAUAUUUCUUCAUAAAAAAGGGCAUGUUUAUGUUUUAUGCCUAGAUAGAUAACCCAAACUUUCGGGUAUUGCUCAUGGUAAUUUGGUAAUUCUACUCACAGGAAUGCUAUCAGUUGUGCACUAUUUAAGCAGUGGCUGAAUAAUAUCCAGAGUGAAAAAGGCCUUCUAGCUCAUGGCAAGAUGUGUUUAAGACAAGUACAAAUUCAGGUAGUCGUUUCUUGAUGUGCCUAUAAGAUUGUUAGAUAAAAAGAGAGAAAAACAAAGUAUUUACAGAAUUGUUCUUUGUUAUUGAAAACUACUAGGUUUUAAAAUUUAAUUAAUGUUCCAAGUCAGUCCUGUAGAGACUAUCUUUCCAUCAUUUACUCGUUGGAUGAUAAAAUUAUAUUAUUGGCAAAGUUAGUGACUUUUUCUUACGUUUCGUUGCUUCUUAAAGAUACUAGCUCAACCCGGAGGGCUAGAUUCUCACUUUAAAACUAUUAAAAAUUAAAGAUCAGUUCACCUCUUGCCUGCAAUAUAAUAUAACGGUGUCUAGUCUACUACAUAUACUUAAACAAAUAUAAAAAAUGUUUAGUGGUAGAAUAUUAAGAUAGACCAAAAACACUUCAUGUCUUAAGGUAAUUCUGCCUGACGCUCAUGGAAAUAUUGAAAUAUGUGGCUGGAUCAAGCAUCAAUGAAUGCGUUAUGCAUGGAUGUAUAGAUGCACCGCAUGUAGGUUGCAAUUUUUUCUCUAACAGUAAAUGAAGGUAAGGCUAAAGUGAAACACUUCGUGAUACUGAAUGUCAACCUUAAAAGCUCAUAGAUCAAAGUGAAGCUUGGUCAAAACUUCAGGGACUAUGAACUUUGGAGGCAAUUUACUCUAUUACCUUUUACUGACAUUCCAAGUAAAUAAUUUGGAAACUAUCUUUCCCGCAUCUAUUGGUUGAAUGAUAGGAAGAUGUAGAGGCUGUUUGGCCAAGAUUCUUGAAAAGUGAUUUUUGCAGAAUUGAUUUUGAUUUGGAAACAGUGAUUUUUGUUAAAAGCUGUAGAGCGAUUGGCCGAGUCUCAUAGAAAAUGAUUUUUCUGAAGUGAUUUUAAAAAGCAGUUUGGUAAAUUUUUUGUUAACUAAUUUUGUAAUAAUGUUUAACAUUAGUAAUAAUUAGUUACAUACCAAUAUUUAUUUUUAAAAAAGUGCAUGCUAAUACUUGUAAAAGAAAACACAUGCUAAUAUUUGUUAAUAGAUUUCUAGUUACGAACAAAUAUUUUGUAAAAAAAGUGCAUAAUAGUGAAUAUCCUAAAUAUUAUUGACCACAUUUCGCUGUUCAAUCCUAUUAAAAUAAGUGUUAAGUCGGUUCUCGGCAUUGACCUCUUUUACAUAUAUAUCACAAAAUAUUUAAAGCAAUGAUGCAUCCCAAGUAGUUUUAAUUUUAUUUUAUUUUAUUUUAUUUUUUCUUUUUGGAUAGAUGGUUCCCCUUACGAUAAAUUCAUUUUUCAACUUUGCUAGUAAACAAAUAUAUUUUAAUUGAUUUGUUAUGAAUAAAAUAACCAUACAAGAUUUGCUCUCAAGAGGAGAUUCGCUGGAGAAGCUACUUGGUUUGGGGAGAGAGGAAGGUGGGAGUGAGAUAGAGUUAGAGAGAUAUAGAUUGGGAAGAGAGGAAGGUGAGAAGAGAGGUAUUGAGUUUGCUGUUGGGGAGAGGUUGGUUGGGGCGAUGGAAAAGGAGAGAGAAGAGGUGGGAGAAUGUAUAAAAUGAAUAUAACAGGAUUAUGGGAGAAAUAUGUGAUUUGUUUAGGGGUAGUUUGGGGAUUUUUGUUAAAGUUUUAAAAUGAUGAAAUUGAUUUAGCAGAAAUCAGUUUUUUUUUAGUUUUAAACCGCUUUUGAUUCUGGGGCCCUAAAAAUUAGUUUUCUGAUUCUGAAAAGUAGAAUUAGUUUUUCCAUCGGUUGCUUCUAAAUGCUCUAUUGAGCCGAAAAUCACUUUUAGGCCCACAAUCACUUUUCAAAAGCUAGUCCAAAUACCCACAUACUUGAUAAAUUUUGUAGUAGUGAUAUUUGCUUGUGUCCUUUCUUCUUAGACAUGCUAGCUUACGGAUUGAAUUCUUUCUCUACCCUAUUAUUAAUUUAAUGGAAUCAGUGCAACUUCUCCUUUUUUGCCCCUAUUUGGAGAAGGAUAAAGAAAUUAUUUCAACUCGAACCUGGGAUAUAAUAUGACAAUGUCAAGUUUAUUUACUUUAACAAUAAGAUGGGUGGACAUAGCUUAUUAUGAUUAUGAGAAAAACUAGACCCCUGUCUGGAUGCCCGAGCAUCUUGUCAACGUAUCUUUUUUGUCUAUUCAAUGGUCUUGAAGCAGCAAGUCAAUGUAUCUGUUUUGUUUAUUCAAUGGUCUUGAAGCAACAAUGGCAUAGGUAUAUAUAUGGCCUGUAAGUUAUUUUCUUGGAAUAAGAUAAACUACCUUGUCCGUAAAUGUAUGAUCUUGACAAAUCAUGAUUGUCAGGACAUUGUAAUGGACUAAAAGCAAACUCCGAGGUUGCAAUCACAAAGGGAAAUACCUAUAUGUUUUUAUAAUUUCGCCUAUUUCUAAGUUUUCGUCUACUGUUGAAUACUAAAACAUUGGUACAAUUUUAUGCAGGGUGUGGAUAUGUUUGGAAGACGUGUUGGCUUUCUAAAGUUCAAAGCUGAUGUAAUUGAGAAGGAAACAGGGACAAAGGUGCUCCAACUGUUGCUAUGAGUAUCUAAUAGUGUAAUGUGUUUGUUGUUGCAUUAUUAGAUUUCUCUGCAUGUGUAUAAUGCUGUACCCGUGGUUCAACUUUGUCAAAGUUAAGCUCUUUCUUUCGGGUUUAUUGCUUUCUAUAUUAUCUAAAGUGCACACAGAUUUUUUUUAUUCCUCGUCUUAUCCUCCAAUUCUGGUUACUCCUUGACUUCUAAAUGUUUUAAUGUUCUGCAAUCUUUAUUUGGGGAGAAAUUGGAGAUAUUUUGCGUAUCCAUCAGUGACCUUUUUUUCUUUCAAAUUCUAAAGAAUCAUGUGCAUUGUUAAUGUCAAAACCUGAUGUAUUGUACACAUGUUUCAUGAGGUUACAUUCUUAAACUAUAUGCUAUGAUCUUAAGAUACAAUAGCGCAGUACUUAAUGAAUUAGGCUACAAUAACACACUAAAUGAAUUAGGCCAAUGGUUCAACAUAUGUAAAGCCAUAAGGUCUUUUGCUAUCUUGGCCAUAAGUGCUUUAAAAUUUGGAUGAUAGCUAUCAGAGCAAGGAAUGGAGAAAGAAUAGCAAAUAAUGAUUACUAUUCUGUACCUGUACGUAUAUAUAUAUAUAUAUAUAUAUAUAUAUAUAUAUAUAUAUAUAUAUUUCAUUUAACUGUCUUCGAAAGUAGUGAAGAGAAGCGAUGAUAUGACCAUAAUGCACAAGUCUAGGCAACAGUAUAGGAAGAGAGUGAAAGGACUGCUUCUUUGUCCAAGCAAUAUAUGUGAAUCUGCAUUUGCAGCUCCUCAGAUUGUUGGCAUGACCAAGAUCUUCAAUCCUAGGACUGUUAGUAAGACUAGAGUGUGUGAUAUUUGACCUUUUCAGUCCCAUGAAAUAUUUAGUUUCUAAGGACCAUCUGAUAAUUUAUUUAGUCUACUUCUCUUUUAGAGAAGAUUAACUACUUUUUACAUCCUGUGUGAUUUUUUCUCAAGGAUAAUCAUUGGGCUCAGAGGUAGCAUAGUAGCAUACAGACUUAUCUCUAUUAAUCAAUUGUUUUUUUAGUCAAGGUUUCCAUCAAGUACUCUUGGCAUGACACUUAAUGAAAAUCUUAAGCCACAGUGAAUUCUAUAUUCUUUUACUUUCAGUUUUUCUUGAUAAAAUUAUUUGUAUGUUGUAUUUUCCUUGGUCUUGGUUAGAAGUGACGGUAAACAGAGAUGAGGUAUUGUUUAUAGAUGCUUCUUUAAAUAAUGCGACAUAAAAAUGUCUAUCAAUAUUUGUAGUGGUAUUGAAUUAAUACUUCCUAGCUAUAAAUAUAUGGCACUUAUUCCAGCUGUGUGCUUGAGUGCUGUUUGUAGAAACACUUUCUCAUGCUUCCUUCAUUGAAUGGGCUGUCUUACCUUCAUGAUUACCUUAUUAGAGGUACCACUAAGUUUCUUCAGUUCGUUUAUUUAUUUUCAUACAUUCAUUUAGAUUCCAGGAAUUGUGUUUGCAAGGGGACCAGCUGUUGCUGUACUGAUUCUUUUGGAGUCCGGAGGGGAUACUUAUGCUGUACUAACCGAGCAGGUGUGCGAUUAAAAGCCUGUUAAUAUGACUGUUGACUUCCUUUGAUCAGUUUAAUUUCUUGAUGUUUGGAUAAAUUCUCUCUUGGGAAGGGAAAAUUCUGCUCAAUAAAUUUAGAUUUUAUUAGUCCUGGAAUCUAUUUGAGCAUAACUUUGUCACGGUGCUUUUAUUGUUAUUUAUUUAUUUACUUAUUUUUUGGGCAGAGAAUGUAUAGGGGUGUGCACACAGAUAUCUUAAUUUACUUUGAAUUUUUUUUAAUGAUUGUGUUUUGCAUGUGCAAGGUUAGGGUUCCUGUUGGAAAAAUCAUUCUUGAACUACCAGCUGGCAUGAUAGACGAUGAGAAAGGUGAUGUUGUCGGCACAGCAGUCCGCGAGGUAAGAUUUACUGUUAUGGUUAAUUUUCUGGCAUAAAUAAAGGAAAUAAGCUGUAAGCUGCAUUUUCUUGCAUAAAAUCUAAAAAGGAAAAGCUGACAAGUUAUUGACUCUAUAUAAAAAAUACAGAUUGCUGAAGUAACUAUCAGAGGUGGUAAAGUGGAUUAAUUAAUGUAAUAACAAGAAUUAUAGCUAUCUGUCAUCAGACAAUUUUUUCUUAUUUCAUGUUGGUAGAUAUUUCCUCUUUGUGUGAUAGAAACAUGUCUAGGUAAGAAUGGUAUCUUAUGAACUCAUUAUUUUAUUUUUGUAUAAGUGUUCCGUAGACUGACAAUCUUAAGGACCUUAUUUGGUAGUUGAUUAGUGUGAGCAUAGAUGUGUUACCGUAGCUUUAAAAGAAUCUCACUACUAGUUAAAUAAAAACAUGUGAGUCAAAUUCAAGCAGUUGAGGAAAAACUAGAAUUUUUGUGCUUCAGACUGUGCUUAAAGAGCAAUAAGAGGCCAUUCAGCAAGUGAAGCAACCAUCAAACAUUUCCUUAAACAUGAAAAAGUUUAGGCAUAAAUGAAAGACAAAAACGCAAGAGAUAUGCAUUGCAAAAUAUAUUCUAGACUGAGAAUCUCAAAUUGGAGUGCCUGAUAAUGCUGUAACAGUGUUUUUCUUAGAAUGAAGACAGUGUUUUGGAGUGGAGACUGUUUUCGUACCUCUAACAAUGGUAGAAUAGACUAAGCUAGAUAUCUUAGAUUGAAGACGAUGUUCUUUUGAUAGAUGUUGCUAAUAUAUGAAAAUGGAGUUAUAAAUGUUAGGGGUGAUAUUGGGCUGCAUUGCUUCAGGUACUGGUAACCUUGAGACAGAUUGGUUGAUGAAAUAAGUAGGAUUUGAGCUUCAUAUGCUGACUAUUGGUGUUCAAUUUUUGUGUCGAUUUGGGUAGGUACCAAACACUAAAGCCAAUUGAGCCUUGCAUUUUGUAUUGUUUAUAUAAUGUGUCCACAUGAUGGGCACAAUAACAUUAGAAUAAUUAACGUGACCAGGAAUAUAAUUAUUUCAAACUAAAUGAAAGUUUGUAUGUUUCCAAAUUGACUUAAAUUCACAUUGAAGAAGCAAGGUCUUAUUGUUAUUAAUUUUUUUUUCCCAACCAAUAAACAUAGCGAAGAAGAAAACAUAGCGGAGAACUAGAAAAGGCAGGGAAAUUACAAACAAAUUAUUUUUUGUUUGCCAAUAAAAGAUGACUAAGGAUAACUGUGUCAUAUUUCUAAUUGAAAUGUGGGGAAAAAGGGCUCUGUUUCAGUGCAAUUUGAAUUGGAAUCAUACUGGGUUCUAACUCAAAAUUUAUGUGCGUAUCAACUUGAACUCGCACAACAACAAACUCGUACUUAAGCUAACUGCAGGUCAGUUCCAAGUAAUCGGGCCAAGCGACAAACUCUAAUAAACAUAGCUACUGAAGCUAUUUAAUUAUGUACGGUGGACAUGAUGGAGCUACAACCUUAAUAAUUAGAUUUAACUUAUUGUUAUUAUUAUUAUUAUUUUUUGGGAUCUACAUGGUGUUACUUCAAGUGUUCGGCUACUAAUUAGUGACUGAUUGGUACUGAUUGAAAUGUUAGUAGUGUACUAAUGCAGUGCCCGUACUUCGUGAUGGUAGAUCCUAUUGAAAAUCAACUACUAAAAUUAAACAAAAAAUGUACGAAUAAAGUUUCUUCAUCUAAGUAAAUUGAAUAUAUUUGGACUAACCAUCUCGUAAGAAAGGGAAUGGAAAUAUGUAUAGCGGUAAAAAACCCCCCAUGGAAUAAAUAACAUAAAAAUCACAUAUAUAUAUCCAAACUGAAUUAAGAAGGAAAAACUAAAUUACUAUAAUCUUUUACGUACGUUCCUACUGUACUUUGAAAAACAACAAUUUAAAAGAACUCGAGGGGUAUAGGAACAUAAAAGUUGUAACGUUUUUCAUUUAGAAGGUCGAUAGUCCCUAAACUAUCACACGAAGUGUACAAGUUACUUUGCGGUCAAAUUUCGAAAUAAGAGAGUCUAUACUAUUCAACCGAGGAAGGUGGGGUUCUACAAACCGAGGAAGGUUGGGGUUCUUCAAAAGGGAUUAACCUUUACGUUUUUACAAAGUAAACAACGAAACAAAUUCCAAACAUAACAACCAAAUUGACAGUGACAUUAUGAAAGCGAGGAGAAGAAAACAACUUAAAAAUUACAUUACUGACCUGUUCUAAACCUAUUAGAUGAGGCGUUAGUUGAUAAACGUCAGUAAGAAUUCUAGUGGUCGUCACUUCAAAUGAGAUCCAUAUUUAAACUAUAACUAUAAAAUCCGUCCAAAAACAAUAAACCAAAAAUCAAUAAAGACUCAACUUUCUAAAGCAAACACUAAUUGUCCGAUUAGACUCAAAUAAUGUAAAAAUUUCGUCUAGCGUAAUUCAUGGAUUUCUAAAAAAAAAAUAUAUAUAUAUCUAACUUAUACUACAAAAAAAGUACAUAUAUAAAAGAACACUUAACAAACAGUCAAACCUUAUAGAUUGUAAACUAUCUACAAAUUUUUUUAGUCAAACUUGAUCGUAUCGGUAAUGAACUUCUUGAUUAGAGUACUUCGUUCAUCUUAUAAAAAGUUGGUAUAUGUGAUAAAACUUAAAAGGUCCUUAUUUCCUUUACGACGUUUGUUUUAAGAUUUUAGAGACGAAAGUUUUAAGAUAGGUCGAUUGUUUGUUUAUAGACUUCCUUCUAAAAAUAAGUCUCUGUCCACUCAAAAAUAGUUUAACUAUAAACCUUGGGCUUGGAACGACGUCAGCCGAUAGUGUUUUUCUUACUGAAGUUAACUGCUCUACCGUCCCUAGAUGCAGGAAACGACAUUUUUAACUUGUGAUUNAUUAAAAAUUCUUCUUCAAACAAAUAAGCAAUUUACUUUUGUAAAUUCUUUUAUCAUUUAAUACAAAAUUGUCAAAAUAUAAAAAUAGAGUAACUUAAAGAAACUGAAUGCGGAGUUUUGAUAAUUGAUCUUUUAAUUUAUUUUAAUUAAGAGAACAUAAAAUGCAUCUAAAAUAGAGAAGUCAAAAGGAUGUAAUUAAUUAGUUACACUAUUAAGUUUUUUUUCUCAUCUAAGUUUAUCGUUCUAGUACACUGGAAAUUAUAUAUGUUUAGUAAAAUAUUAAUUUAUGCAAUUUUAUACAAUCAAAAAGUACACUCCAUUAGAGUAUACAUCAACGUAGUUUUGUCCUCAUGUUACUAAAGUAGAAGAUGCGGACAUCAAAUUAUUUCAGCAAAAGCACAUAGGCAUUAUUGUUUUGCAUCUAUAUAGUCUUGGACUCUCCUUACUAAAGUAGAAGAUGGAUCCAACAAAGGCACAUUUCCAUUGCUUCUCCUUACUAAAGUAGUAGAUGGACCCCAACUACUUUAGUAGAAGUUAUGGCACUAUUCAACCAGAGUGGAUAUUGAAGGACAUGCAUGUGUAUGUGUAUAUAUAUAGAUAGAUAGAUAGAUAGGGAUGUAAAACGGGCCGGGCGGCCGGCUUCGGCCCGGGCUGGACCGCUCUCUUUGGGCCCGACGGCCCGGCAUGGCACGGCCUUUAACGGGCCUGCUCCAUGUCGGGCUGAGGAGAGGCUUGCGGCCCGGCCCGACACGGCAUGGCCCGCUUGUGUAAGAUAUGGAUUCCGAGGAUCUAAAAGGUAAAUAAUACCUAGAGGGGGGUGAAUAGGUGUAAAACGACAAAUACAAAAAAAACUCUCGAUGCAAAUAAAAGAAAUAGCGAAAAAUAAAAACAGCACACCGAGAUUUUAACGUGGAAAAACUCCAAUCCGGAGUGAAAAACCCACAGGACCGAUCACGCGAAGAAAAUCCACUAAGAAAACUUGAGUACAAGUGAUUUAACUAAAAUACAUGAGUCAAUUUACCGAAUUCCCGUUGUUGAUGGUCUUCGCCGGUCCUCGAUCGAUAGGAAUCCUCCAAUCGACCUCGUCGCAACUCCUUGCUGCGUCAACGCCUCAACUCCUUGAAGCGUCCACCGAAUCCUCGGCUUUACGCGAGAUCCACGCGCCAAACCUCAUUCCGGAGUUUGUAGAAUUGAUGAUUUGUGGUGAUUAAGACUUAGAAUACCAUAAGCAAUGAGGAUUCACCUUUUAAUCAAACAUCUACUUGAUUUUCGAAGAAUAUCUCAAGUUAAAAUCGAAGAAUCAAGUCGAUCGUUGAUUAUAUGAAACUUGGUUAUAUGAAUAACAUCAUAUGAAUGUGAAAACAAGUUUCUAGGAUUUUAGAACAGUAGAAAUUCAAAGGCUUAACCCAUAUGAUGACCCCCAUGGCUUAUUUAUAGGUUUAGAAGACUUAGAAGUAGACUAGGAUUGCAAAAAGUCUAUUUUAAAAACUGGUGUCGUCCUCAAGGACCGGUCCUCUCGAGGAGACCGGUCUUUGGGAGACCGGUCUCUCGAGUAAGAGACCGGUCCCUCGUUGCGUGACAGAAAACACAACGUUCGGGAACCGGUCUCUCAUGCUAGAGACCGGUCCCUCGCUGCGUGACAGAAAAUCCCAUGUUCGGGAAUCGGUCUCUCAGGUCAGAGACCGGUUGCCUCGCCCUGGAGACCGGUCUCUCAGAUCAGGAGACCGGUUGCCUUGAACUAUCACGCAGAGAGGACUCUCGGGAACUGGUCUCUCAUCUCAGGGGACCGGUCCCAGCACAUUGAAAACCUUAGUUUGAGUUUUCUAUAGCAAUCCAAUACUUCUAAACUUAUAUUUAGAUAGUUUAAAUACACCACAAAUGAUCUAACAUUCAUACCUGAGGUGUCUAGCUUUCCGAACAAGUCUUUGAUUCUUCAAAGUGAAUCUUCUCUUCAAACUUCCACGAUCAACUCUUCAAUACUCCAUUCGACUUCAUGAAAUCCGCCAACCUGGAAAAUCCUUAACAAUCUCCCCCUUUGGCGAUUCGUGACAAAACAUAAUACAAUACUCAAACACAACUCAGAAACAAUAAAAAGAAGAACAUCGCAAUCACCAGACGACAAUCUCCUGCAUGAUCGAUCCAAUAAAAACAAAAUUACAUUUUUCUCACAACCUUAAUACAAACUCUAUGACUUAGACAUGGAGUCUUGAAGCCUUGAACAUUCCUGCAAAAACAUUCUUAAAACCCAAUCAAGAUUCAAGAAAACUUAUCAUAUAAAAAGAUAACAUAGUCAGUCAAAGUUCAUCUAAGUAUAUCCACAAAGCAUCUAAAUGUUCAUAACGAAGCAAAGCAACCAAGCAAAAUAAGCAUCAACAAAGCAAAAUAAGCAUCAUCAUCUCCAUGAGCAUCUCUAAGUCAUCAUCUCCCCCUUUUUAUUCGAAAGAGCCAAAAAGGACCAAAAGGAGAAAUCAUGUAAACUCAUUCAGAGUCAUCACCCGGAGGUAGAUCUGCAUUGCAACAUCCUAACUUGUCGAAAAUCGCCUGCAUUAGCCGUUUGAUCUUGCUCACAUCUUUCUUUAUCUCAGCUUGCUCCGCAGACAUAUUUCGUAGUUCCUCAGAUAAACGCUGUUGCUCGCGAUACACAGACGACACGGACACUUCCUCCUCAGAAACAUCCACAGGAGGACGUGAAGAUCCAGGGACAGCAGGAUGUAGAGCAGACGAAGGUGUAGAAGUUCGUUGAGACAGAGACCGAAGCUGCACGCUCGACUUUGCAAAUGUCCUCUCAUUAAUUCGUCCUAAGCUAUGCUCAUAGGAAGUACACAUCGUAUUCACAUCGUUAUAUCGAAGAAUCCGCAUGAUAAUCAACGGAAACGGCAACCUUUCAUUCUGCCCGGAAGUCUUGAUGUCCGUUGCCAUCCGUCGCCAAAUCAAAAAUGGAAUGUUCAUGUUUAUGUUCUUGGCUUGUACAAUGUCCGGGUGUCCCAAUAAGUACAUAUAGAGGACACGAUCCCAUCUCAAUAUCUUCGUGUUAGCUAACGGCAAGAUAUUGUAGCAAACCACGAAGUUUAAAAAUCUAUAUUCCAUCUUGAGAUCCUUAGAAAUAACCAUAAGUGCAUUUGGUUCGGUACCCGGCAUACAUAUCGCGUCCAUAAUCUUUUGCCAAUCUCUAAAUUGAUCGAAACCGGCCUGAAGGUACUCAACCCCAUCUGUGCGAGUCGUCAUCUCCAGCACUGUAGCGAUAGAAUCAGGUGUGAUCGUCAGCUCCACACCACGUACUGAAGUAGUAAACUGGUAGGGGCCUCCAUCAGAGUCACUCAAAUGACCUACCCUCAUGUAGAAUUCUCUGAUCAGCUCCAAACCAAAACCAGUGUGCUCCGGGAAAUCGCAAAUCUGAUGUAAAUUUCCUCUUUCAAAAAGAUCUUGAAAUCCCGGCACACACUCAAUGAUACUAGCGACUCUAGCAUCUCGCUCACCAAUACAGUGCUUUGAUGAGUACAUUGACCUACGACCUGAAGGAACAUCCUGCACACUGAGACGAGGAGGCUCAGAACCUGGCUCUCUGAUCUCAAAACCCCCAGACUUCCUCCGACCUGCAUAUUCAGUUGCCUUUUCUUUUCCCUUGUCCAGUGCUUUUCCUUUUCCCUUAUCAACUGCCUUUCCUUUGCCUUUUCCUUUUCCUUUGUCCUUAUCCUUUUUGACGGCAGCGGGCGCUUUCCCUUUUUCCUUAGAACCUCUGGAGUAAAUGCCUCCCAAUCUGGCUCGUCCGACUCAGAUUCUUCGCCCGGAGCAUAUUCGCUACUUUCAUCUUCUGGUUGUUGCUCAACCGGUCGCUUAGCCGAGGAACGUUGACGUUUGCUGCCUCGACCACCACCAGCCAUCGGAAAUACAAGCACUAGAAACCAAGAAUACAUUUUGAAGAUGCCCCUGUUACAAGCAGUAUGUGAUAUACAUAUAGAACAUAAGAAUAUGACGCUUGUGAAUGUCCAAAAAUUUGUUAAAAUGAUAUGUAAUGAGCUAGAUAAUCCUAGGGCCAUGAUAUUAUGAAAAAAUAUUGGCAAACCAUGCAGCAAACACAGAUAGGGCUCAGAUAUGGACCAAAAAUAGAGAAACUAGGGUUAUGAAGCACAUUUUCGGAGUAGAUGAUAAGAAAGAAAUAAAAUCCGAAAAUCUUACGAAAAACACGUGUAAAACGACGAAGAAUGAAGGUAAAAUCUCUCUGAGGAUGUUAGAAGCUCGUGUGAGAAAGAAGCGAAUGUUUUGAAAAGAGUACAAAAAACACCGAACAAAAACCCUUAUAUCGGGUCAGGCGGAGGGACCGGUCUCUCCUGCCAGGGACCGGUCCCAGAGCCUGGAUUUACAAAAAAAAUUUAUUUUAAGCUCAAAUAUUCCAAAAAAAUUAUACUUAAUUCCAAAAUGUCCAACAUCAAAAAAUAAUCAAUUUCCAUUCCCAAUGACUUCAAACAAAAUUUCAUAAAUAAAUUUUGAAAAAUCAAUUUCAAGGAUAUUCAAUUUGUCAAAAAUUGUUGACCCGAAAAUCAAUUAAAAUUCUAGAUAAGUAUAAAAUAAAAUUCCACACAUCAUGCAAGAUCUAAGAAUUGAUUGUAUUGUCUUAUUGUCAUAUUUGUUAAAAAAAUGAAUAAAUAAAUCUGAUAAUCGUGAAAUUAAAAUAAUACCCUCAAAUUGAGUUAUGCGCAUUAUUCGAGAUAGGAGUGGCUCUUUGAACAUCUUUGAACUAACCACCUUAUAUCGCCUAGGAGAUGUAUUAAACAUAUUAUAUAGAAUCUUACCAUCUCCACAACAUCUAAUAUUUAUUCAUUCUUUAUUUCACCCUUUUAUAUAUAUAUAUAUAGAGAGAGAGAGAGAGAGAUACUUUGCUCAUCAUGUGGUAGCUGCACACACUGACCGGACGACCGGGGUGGUAGCUCUUUCCUCCAUGUGGUGGUAGUUUUCACACUUCCAGCAGGGAUGUAACUCUUUCCACAUCUUUUGAAAUCAAGAAAUUUCAUAACCAUAACUGAAAGGACUCCCCCUAAAUUAGUGCAACCCUCAAGUCAAAAAUAUUAGCGCAAUUUCAAAAACAGAGAAAAAGUUAUUCAUCUCAUAGCUAAUAAUCAAACAAAACAAUUUCAACGUUCAAAGUUCGAAGCAUGCGGUGUUGAAUUUAAUUCAGUAUACUAAAACAGAAUUUCAAUGAUUUGAUCGUUCAAAAAUUAUGACAAUAGAGAAUAACAUUGAUAGUGAUCAAUCAAAACAUAAUAUGAAAUACUUAAAGUCAUAUGAUAGAGCUCACAAAAUCAUGAAAUUGACAACAACACUAUUCAUGAAGAUCAAGCAUCUCUCAAAAAUAAUCAGGAACAACCAAAAACAUGCACAGAAACAAAAUGGAAUAUGCGCAUGAUCUAUGGCCCAAUAGAAUGCAUCUAGUUUGAAAGAUUCAUACCAAUAGCCUUUCUUAAGUGUAAAAAACGUUUUUGAUCCAAAGGCUUAGUUAAAAUAUCCGCAAGUUGAUUUUCGGUUGAAAUAUAUUCAAGUUGAAGAAUGUUUGAUUCAACCAAUUCUCUUAAAAAGUGAUAUCUUAAUUCAAUAUGCUUUGUUUGUGAAUGUAAAACAGGGUUUUUUGAAAUAUUAAUGGCACUCGUGUUAUCACAUAGAAUUGUAAAAGUGGUGGAGGAGAUCCGAUAAUCACUCAAUAAGCUUUUCAUCCAUAGUAACUGUGUAGAGCAACUACCGGCUGCAAUGUAUUCCGCCUCAGCAGUGGAGAGUGCAAUACAGUUUUGUUUUUUACUAUGCCACGCAACUAGACAGUGGCCUAUAUAAAAGCAUGCUCCACUGGUGCUUUUUCGAUCAUCCACAGAACCGGCCCAAUCCACAUCCGAGUAGCCGAUUAAGUCCAUAGCCGAUUAAGUCCAAAGACGUCCCUAUAGGAUACCAUAGACCAUAAGCGGUUGUACCUUUAACAUAUCGUAUGAUUCUCUUAACCGCUUUCAAAUGAACUUCCUUUGGAUUAGCUUGAUAGCGAGUACAAAUUCCCACACUAAAAGAAAUAUCCGGUCUACUCGCGGUCAAAUACAAUAAACUGCCGAUCAUGCUCCUGUACUGUUUCUCAUCCACACUUUGUCCUUCAACAUUCACUCCAAGUCCUUUAUUACUUGUUCCCAUCGGUGUAUCAAAGUUCUUUGCUCCAUCCAAACCGAAUUUCUUAACCAAUUCCUUUGCGUACUUCGUUUGAGACAAAUGAAUUCCUUCCUUUGAUUGUUUAACUUGAAGACCAAGGAAAUAUGAAAGCUCACCCAUCAUAGACAUCUCGAAAUCGCAAAUUUGAUGUAAAUUUCCUCUUUCAAAAAGAUCUUGAAACCCCGGCACACACUCAAUGAUACUAGCGACUCCAACAUCUCGCUCACCAAUACAGUGCUUUGAUGAGUACAUUGACCUACGACCUGAAGGAACAUCCUGCACACUGAGACGAGGAGGCUCAGAACCCGGCUCUCUGAUCUCAAAACCCCCAGACUUACUCCGACCUGCAUAUUCAGUUGCCUUUUCUUUUCCCUUGUCCAGUGUUUUUCCUUUUCCCUUAUCAACUGCCUUUCCUUUGCCCUUUCCUUUUCCUUUGUCCUUAUCCUUUUUGACGGCAGCGGGCGCUUUCCCUUUUUCCUUAGAUAGAACCUCUGGAGUAAAUGCCUCCCAAUCUGGCUCGUCCGACUCAGAUUCUUCUCCCGGAGCAUAUUCGCUACCUUCAUCUUCCGGUUGUUGCUCAACCGGUCGCUUAGCCGAGGAACGUUGACGUUUGCUGCCUCGGCCACCACCAGCCAUCAGAAAUACAAGCACUAGAAACCUAGAAUACAUUUUGAAGAUGCCCCUGUUACAAGCAGUAUGUGAUAUACAUAUAGAACAUAAGAAUAUCACACUUUUGAAUGUCCAAAAAUUUGUUAAAAUGAUAUGUAAUGAGCUAGAUAAUCCUACGGCCAUGAUAUUAUGAAAAAAUAUUGGCAAACCAUGCAGCAAACACAGAUAGGGCUCAGAUAUGGACCAAAAAUAGAGAAGAAUCAAUUUCAUGAUUUUGUGAGCUCUGAUACCACUUGUAAGAUAUGGAUCCCGAUGAUCUAAAAGGUAAAUAACACCUAAAGGGGGGUGAAUAGGUGUAAAAUGGCAAACACAAAAAAACUCUCGAUGCAAAUAAAAGAAAUAGUGGAAAAUAAAAAUAGCACACCGAGAUUUUAACGUGGGAAAACUCCAAUCCGGAGUGAAAAACCCACGGGACUGAUCACGGGAAGAAAAUCCACUAAGAAAACUCGAGUACAAGUGAUUUAACCAAAAUACAUGACUCAAUUUUCCGAAUUCCUGUUGUUGAUGGUCUUGGCCGGUCCUCGAUCGAUAGGAAUACUCCAAUCGACCUCGCCGCAACUCCUUGCUGCGUUAACGCCUCAACUCCUUUGCCCUUUCCUUUUCCUUUUCCUUUGUCCUUAUCCUUUUUGAUGGCAGCGGGCGCUUUCCCUUUUUCCUUAGAUAAAAUCUCUCUGAGGAUGUUAGAAGCUCGUGUGAGAAAGAAGCGAAUGUUUUGAAAAGAGUACAAAAAAUACCGAACAAAAACCCUUAUAUCGGGUCGGGCGGAGGGACCGGUCUCUCCUGCCAGGGACCGGUCCCAGAGCCUGGAUUUACAAAAAAAAUUUAUUUUAAGCUCAAAUAUUCCAGAAAAAUUAUACUUAAUUCCAAAAUGUCCAACAUCAAAAAAUAAUCAAUUUCCAUUCCCAAUGUCUUCAAACAAAAUUUCAUAAACAAAUUUUGAAAAAUCAAUUUCAAGGAUAUUCAAUUUGUCAAAAAUUGUUGACCCGAAAAUCAAUUAAAAUUCUAGAUAAGUAUAAAAUAAAAUUCCANNNNNNNNNNNNNNNNNNNNNNNNNUCAAGGCUCAACAACAGGAAGUGUUACAUAGAAUCUCUCAGGAAUUAAAUUCUAUAAGCAUACACAUGUCAGGGAGGCGACAACAGUGGCCAAAAACAAUACAGGAGAGCCAAGCGAUCCUAAAGAUAUAACUAGUGAAAUAAAGAGAGUACUUACUAACUUAUUAACAAUAGUUUUCCAACAUCAUUUACAUCAUUUUCUUUAAUAUAUAUAUUUGUCAUCAAAAUACAUAGCUCUCCAAAGCCUCACCUACAAAGGAUCUCUCUCGUACAAUAGGUGACUAAUGCAAAAAGUGAAAGCUAGCUUAUACUACGGAGCUCCACGUGCGUCGGGCCGAGGCACCUUGCGGGGGUCCUCCGUCUGAGCGGCCUGAACCUACACCACUAGGAAAUAGUAGUGGGCGGUAGAACUAUCUUCCAUAGUGUUUCCAGUGGGCUCAGUCGCCGCACCUGCCGAUCCUCCCACAAGUUCCAAGUGGGCACAAGUAAAAACAGAUAGGAUAGGAGUAGAUAUGUAUCUAAAGCUGUAAAUGUGAUAGUAGGAAAUACUAUGCUAUAUGCCCAUAAUCAUGAAGUAUGAAUGGAUGCAUCAUAUAAUUAAGUUUGCUUAUCAUGCCCAACAAAUUUCGAUCCAUGUUCGAAUAGCAAUGUUCAAUGACAUUAUUAAACCUUUAACCUUCCAUUUACCCAAUCUGUGGCGAGGCCCUAGGGCUCGCCAUGACUCACCUUUCAAUCCAAAGUGAGGGGAGCUCCAAGUGCGACCCAGCCCGGGAUACCAGUCUGGCGGACGCUCCAUGUGGUCCGACCUCCAAGGGUCCUAGUCGCACGACACUCUCCGAGUACUCACGACAUCCCCUCAUGUGGGAUUGGAUGGCUAUACCAUCCCAAACGUAGACUGUGAGCUAGAUCUAUCCUCUCCAAGUGAGGAUACACUAUCACUAGGGUCAACAACGCCAAUCCAAUCCUCUCCAAGUGAGGAUGCUAUCAACUAGAGUCAAUACCCAUCAAGUCCUCCAAGUGAGGAUGCCCUACCACUAGUGUCACCCCCGGGACCGGCAAGGCCUCUCCGGUAGCGUGCCAGGCCAGACCCGCCAUUCCCAUGUCUAUACCAUAGAGGCGUCUAACAACAAAAGGCGAAGUAAAGCACAGAGAUAGAACAAAUAAAAGAAGUGAAAUAACUAGCAACUAAUGAUAUCAGAGCGAGUAAUGUUCUAUCAUCUUACACCAUAGUAUAGAAAUAAAGCUAGACAAUAAAAGAAACCAUAAGUAGUACAAUAAUCGUCUCUAGUACACAAAAAUGGUGGUCUCUAUACACUGGCAAAACCCUCAACCUCUCGCCAAAAAGUAAAUUAUCGGAGAGAGGAGCCACCUAGCAACUAGUCUCGAAGGAAGCUAGCUCGAAGCAACUCCCUUCCUGCAUCCCUGGCCUCACCCUGCACGGAAAGCUCAUGAAAAAUAUCGAGUAAAAGAGGCGUGAGAACUAUAAUUAUAGUUCCAGUGGCAAUUACUGACCUCAGCUCUAUGCCCACUAGGCCCAAAAGAAAAGGUAAGUACAAUAAUAAAUAGCAUAAUGACUGCGAUAUGAAGCAUAUAUUAAAAUGCUAAAUUACUUAAACUCUAGGUAUACACAUGUCAUAGGUGAUGUACAUCUACGAUAUCAUAAUAGUAUGCCCAAUGGCAAUAGUUAAAUGUCACUAACCUUUAACAAUACAUGAUGCAUAGUUUCUGUCAUGGCAACCAAGUAUGCUUUGAUGCAAUAUAAAGACUAUCAAGUAUACAUACAUGUCUCACACUAUGCUAAAGUAUAUAAAUGUAUUCAACUACUAAAACCUAUCUAGUCGAGGAUUAUCCAUUCCCGGUUCAAUGUCAUUAAUCAAACAUGUUGUAGAUCCUACAUAUGUAAUCCAGCUUGUGCCGCCUAAGUGUCGGUGGACCCUAACAUUCCCACUAGGAAUGAACUAUCCCUCCCGACCCCGUAGGCUUCUCGAUACCGCACGGCCGAACAUAAGGUGCAAGUAGGCUAACUCCGAGUCGGCUUGUAGGAGCGACCCUCACAAGUAUGUGCGAAUGAGCACAAAUGGCAAGCAAGUAUAGUCCAAGUCUCAAGUAUCCAUCCUCAUGACUCUAACAUGGUAUAGUCAACUAGCAUCCCGAAGAUCUAGUUUAAGUCACAAUGUGAAGUUUCAACAUUGCUACCGCCUAGUGCCCUUGAUGACACUUAGGCAAUUUGAUGUUCAACAUGUAUUCCAAAUUCCCUCAAUGGCCCUAUCCACUAGGUUCACACAUGUCCUGGAGCUCAACGCCGCUUGAUGACAUUAGCUCUCUAAUUCACAUGAUUCCAAUUCGGUGACUAUAUGGCAAUCUUGUUAUCUCUCAUGUCUCAAUUACAACUUAGGUUUAAAUGCUGUGAAUCAACUCUCAUUUUCACGAAUAGAAAAACAUGAUGCUAAAUCUCGAUAGGAUGCGAAUCAUAUGCUAGUUACGCAUGUUGUUUCUCUACUAUAUAGAGCGUUUCAAAAUUCAUUACACCAAACGUAGGCAUGUUAAGCAUCCUAAAAUUCACAAUAAAUGUAUCUGAGCAUGAAAUCAAGAAUAAUCAUUUUAUAAAGCAUAAACAAGAAUAUGAGAAUUUCUCAUACAAUAGGCUAGGUCAAACCCACCAAAAUGCGAAACUUUCGUUUCGCCGAACGGAGGUUUCCACAAGUUCCUAGUACCCUAGAACAUCAAAAAUGGGUCCACCCAAACGAACGGAAGAGCAAUAGCUCAAACAUACCUAGAAGCAAAAGCCAAAACUCACCUCACAAGAAGAAAUCCUCUCCUAAGCUCCAAAGGGGAGCUAGAAUCCUUCCAAUCUAUCCUAGAGGAAUCUAAUCCAAUCAAUCAAGCUCCAAAAGCCUAAAAUCAAAAUGCCCAAAUAAGCGCCAAAUCUCCAAUCUAGGGUUUCAUUCACAAAAUUCUCAAUAAAAUCUCUAUUUUAGAGGAAGAGAACAAGUGACUACCUCUUGAAGCUUUAAGUCAAGCUCUAAAUGCUCUAAGUCCCAAUUCUUCCCUUAACAAAGCCCAAAUCCAAGCUCUUGGCUUCAACCAUGGUGAAAUAGCACCAAAAGGAAAAAAAAGAGAGAUUAAUCUAAAGAAAAUCCAAAGAGAGAACCAAAUCACCAAGAGAGCAAGGAGGAACUCCCCUACCUCAAAUACCAGAGUUCUCAAGUCAGGGGAAUGCCCUAGGGGUCGUGGGUCUAAUAGAAGUGCUACAAAAGCCAAAACACCCCUGCAGUUUCGAACUGUGCGAAGUUUGCCGGCCAUGUACGUUACACGGGCCCUUGUACCGGGUACAGGUCCACGAAAUCCAAACUCGAGGCUCGUUGGUGCUGGGCUCUGCGGCUCUGUACCGUACAAGCUCCGAUGCUGUACCGGUACACACCAUCACCUUGUACGGUACAAGCUGCCAGGACUCAAUCCGAGAGUCAGCCAAAUCCCUUUUUUGCGGUUUUGGUGCAAGGCUUUGUACCAUACUUCUCGGGACACGUGCCGUAAGGUCGGAACACAGUCACGACCUACCAAAAAAUCUGGAAAAGCUCAGAACUACGACCAAUCACUCGAACCUCGCAAUUUGCAAAGUCGAGUGUUACAUUCACACCUCCUAAAAAGGAGUUUCGUCGCGAAACUCAAACAAACAAAGUACCUCAAGCUCCAUCUGAAAAAGAUGGGGAAUAGCGCUCCUUAGUGCGCUUCCAGCUCCUAAGUAGCCUCGCGCUCAUCGUCUUGCUCCAAGCACCUCACUAGGGAAUUUUCGGUUCGCGCAAUCUUUUCACCUCGCGAGCCAAAAUUCUCAAGAGUUGCUCCUCAAAGCUUCAAAUCCUCCGCGCAGCUCCAUAGGUGUAGCAUCCAAUACAUGAGCCGAAUCGUGGAUGUACUUCCGAAGGACCGGAUACAUGGAAUACAUUGUGUACACCCGAUAGUUCCGGCGGUAGGGCAAGUCUAUAACUACCGGGCCUAUCCGCUCAAAACCUCAAACGGUCCAAUGAAUUGAGGCUCAACUUGCCCCGGAUGCCAAAUCGUCUAAUUCCUCUGAGUCGGCGAGACUUUCAAGAAGACGUGAUCUCCAAUCUGAAACUCCAAGUCUCGUCGCCGCCUGUCAGCAUAACUCCUCUGCCUACUCUGGGCCGUCAACAAUCGCUCCGCCAAUGCGAACCUUGUCCUCUGCUUCCUGAGCACAUAGGCUAAAGCAAUCUCUCGCCAACUUCACUCCAAUGAAUGCGGUGACCUACACUUCCGUCCAUAGAGUGCCUCGAACGUGCCAUCUUGUGCUUGCUGAUAACUGUUUAUAAGCAAACUCUGCCAUCGUAUAUGCUGCGACCAUCCUCCUGGAAGUCAUCACGCAGGCUCGAAGCAUGUCCUCAAGAGUCUGUAUAGUACGCUACGACUGCCCGUCACUCUGAGGGUGGAAAGCUGUACUGAAGUCCAAACGCGUACCAGAGCUCCUGUAACUCAUCCAAAAGUGGUCGAUACAAAACGGGGUCUCGAUCUGAUACUAUGGAAGUAGGUACCCCGUGCAAUCGCACAAUCUCAUCCAAAUAGACCUGGGGCGAGUCUCUCACCAGUUCAAGUAGUGUGGAUAGGUAUGAAAUGUGCCGAUUUCGUUCAACCUAUCCACAAUCACCAAAUAGCGUCAUGCCGGCCUGUGACGAGGCAUCCAGUCACAAAAGUCCACUUGUGACCUUUUCCCACUUCCACACUGGAAUCGUAGGCUCUGCAACUUCCCCGCAGAGAACUCGUGCUCAGCCUUCACCUGUUGCAAGUCAAAACAUUUAGCAACAAACUCACCAACAUCUCUCUUCAUCCCGGGCCACCAAUAAAGCAACAAACUCACCACAUCCAUCUCAAUGCCUUCGCGUCGUCCGCGCAAUGGCAUUUCACGCUCCACCAAAGCGCGGCGUCAAGAACCUCCUCAUAGGUUUUCAAGCGGAAUGCACGAAUGACUCUUGAAAAUCUCGGUCGCCAACCCCGCCUCAAAUACCUCCCCUCGGUCCCUAUCGCCAUGAACCAAGUCUGGUACGCAGUUAAUCAUGUGCGUGAACUCCCUUUCGUACUCCGCACCGUUCGGCUUCUUGCCUUAGUUUUUCGAAAAUCAUCCUUGAUUUCCUUUUGUCACUCUCGGGGAAAUUCUCCAUAAGGAGCAUCUCCGCGAAACGCCUCCCAAGUGAGAAGAGUGUGCCCUAGCGAAGCGAUUCUUCUUCGUUUGAUUCCACCACAACCGAGCCGACCCAUCCAAACAGUGAGCCGCCUAGUGACACUUAUCCUUCUCGAGGGUAUAGAUAUCCUCGAACAACGCUCCAUCGCGGCCAAUUUCUCUAUAUUCUCCGUCACCCACGGUCCUUCACAUUUUCGCGUUGAAGGUUCGUAGGGUGAACGCUGAUGCGACAAACUGCCGCCAACAGGUCCUCGCUCGGCCUCAAGCACAUCGGAAAUAGGAACCGAUGAACCCGCAUGCCGCCGGAGGACAGCGCGCACUGGCGCUUGCGCGGACCGCGGUGAGGUGGUGCUACAGGGGCAGCCGGUGGGGUGGAUCCCUUGGUCACUGAGGACGCCGCCUGUUGCGCCAUCAUCUCGUGGAGCUGUCCAAUCUGCUCCCCUUUUGUCGCAUAGCCCCGGCCAAAGCCGCUACCUGGGCCGCAACUCGCGUACUUCGUCCGACUCCGACUGCCCGGCUCUUCCCGAGACUCUCCGCCGGUGUGGACCUCAUAACUCCCUUGUGGUGCAUCGCGUCUUGCAACGCAACGCACACACAUUAGCGCUCGUCACACGUGACUCUUACACGUUCCAAGUAGCUACCCAAUUAAGCAAAGCACAAGCCUAAUUAUUUCCACUUUUGGUGUUAUGUGGUCGCCGCCCCACAAGGUCCCUCAAGUAGACAACAAUUAAGCCUCUAGUCCAUCUCUACUUCUUCUAGAGAAGUUAUACAUCAACCCAAUCACUCGCUUUCGCAUAAACCAAUCCACGUCAAGCGUUUUCUAAGUCCUUAGGGUCUCCAACUAUGGUUGCUAGGUCAUUCCUAGACUUUGCUUUCCACUUCGCUCUAAUACCAUUAUAUUUGUCACGCUCCCAAUCCCGCCAAUUUGGUCGGGUCGGUCACGUCAACAGACGCCGAACGGACAGAGCCUCCCCUGUCCGCCCAAGCUCUAACAACAUGUAUAAAUAGGCAAUCAACAAGAGAAUUGCAUAUAUAAUACAAGGCUUGCACGAGGGCAAGCAACAACGGAAGCGAAAGCUCUAAGCUAAAUAUACAUCACACAUGAUAUUUUGAUUUCAUUUAAACCAAAUUCAAGUAAACAAAGCUAUUACAUUCCAUUCAAAUCAUAUCUUUUACAUUUAUGUCAUCACAAAUACAUGAUGUUUACAACUUCACAUCUCUAAUUCAACAAAAUAAAGCUGCUACGAGUACACCAAAAGGGAAAUGACUAUAAAUAUGUAAUGCUACUCGUGGCCGCUACCUACGGCGCUAAACCCUUGCCUCGGUCCUCCGCCGCCCACUCGUGCUAGGACCUGUAGGGUUAGUGGUGUUGAGAACUACAAGACGAAGUUCCCAGUGGGCUCGGCAUCCGACCUCGCCGCGAUUACCACACUAGGUCCAUCCAGGCAUAAGUAUUUCAAAGGAAGGAAAAGUAACCACUACUAAUGCAACUAAUACUAUGCCUUGCAAGAAAGAAGUCAGUAGAUAUAUAUUUCAAUGCGGAUAAUGGAAAUGCAUGCAUGCUCCAUCAUAAUCAACUUUGGCUCGUUACCAAUCUUACCGUUAAACUCUGUUAACCCCAAUACGUCACAACCCAAAAUUCCUUAAUAACGGUGGACUCGAACCUCUCUGGGGACCGUCACUGGUGGACUUUUACCAUGCCAGUUGGUGACCAACUCCGGAGCGCACCGCUCGAGGGGAGCGACCUCCCUCAAGCCAAGACGAAAUGUGAGUACGAUCUAAUCCUCAACUUGAGGACUCAUACACUAGUCACAAUGCCAAUGUCACGAUAGGUCUCUACCUAUUCAUUUCUGCCACUCUCAAGGCUUUACCUUUGACGAGUCAAAAUGGGUUAAACUAUAUUCAACGGUUCCAUCUCUCAAUGCAAUCUUGUUUCUAUGUCAAUGUCACCUUGUUUUCUAUUGUCCAAGUCAUUCUCACAUUCACACAACUUGAGGGUCCAAUCACACAUGUCCAUUUUGGUUCUAUCAUCCUCUCUAUGUUCACUACGUUAGAAGCAUAUAAUGAAGUCAAACCAAGUUCCACAUGUUACAACCCUACUAUGCAUGAAUGGUAUAUAUAAAAACAUAUAUGCUCAAAAAUUAGAGAAAACAGACAUAAAAGGGAAUCCAACGAUUCGGCGUCACACCCCCACCUCUAUUGGUUGUGUGGUGUUAGAUUACGAAGGCUCCCGCACUUUACGAAAGCCGAUUCGCGCCCUAUAAUCAAAAUAGUGUCAUAUUAGGCCUUUUGUACAUGAACAUACUCUAUCAUUUUCGCAAUGUUAAAUGAAGUUGCCCACGCGUUUAGACACCCCCAAUUAGUUUCUACGGCGGGUCAAUUUGUCCGCCGAAAAAUCCUAGGGCAAAAGCCCCAAAUCCAAGCCCUAAUAUUUCAUUUAGGUUUCCCAUGAAUCGAUCCCAAUCCUAAGCAAACGAUAGCUUAGAAUCAUCUAAGAAGCACUCUAGUAAGGUUUCUAACCGCUUUGGAACCAACCCUAGCGGCUUCCAUGACAAACCCUACCCAACCACCAUGAGAGCACUUGAGCUUCAUGGGUUCCAUGGAGUUCAAGCAUAUAGAAGGCUCCAUGGCCAUAAAACAACCAAAGCCUCCAAAACAUAUGGGAUUAAAACAAGCUCAUAGACUCAUUUCUACCAAAAACUCACCUAGCCCAAGCCCCCCAAGUCCUUUCUUGUAGGAGAGCUUGUAGAACCCACCAAAGCCUCCAAAUCCACCUUCCCUUGCUUCUUCUUCUUUCUUCCCAAGCCCUAGAGCAAGAGUUCUAGAGGAGAAGAGAGGGAAAUGGGAAAGAAGGGUGAAAAUGGCUGUGGAGAGAGGGGAUGAGUCAUAUAUAGUGUUGUAACAAUUGCACUUAGCCCGGUCCCACUUGUUUCUGCUUGGGAACUGCCCAGACUGGGCAUUUUUCGCCUUCGGGGACCGGUCUCCCCGACCAGGGACCGGUUCCCGAACGGGGGUUUUCCAGGACUUAGCCAAAUUUUUGAGUCUCUCAGCUGUUGCGCAGCGAGGGACCGGUCUGCCCGUCGAGGACCGGUCUCCCGAGGACCGGUCUCACCACCAGCGACCGGAUGCCUCAGGAUUUCCUGGCAGGCUACGCGCACGGGGACCGGUCUCUCCUUCAGGGACCGGUCCCCGAGAGCUCAAAAUCUGGGACUUAGCCAGAUUUUCAGAUUUGCUCUCCGGAUUCCUUUUUGCUCCAUUUAUGAACUCUAAUGCACUUAGGGUCCACUCUAACUCGUUCAAUUUCGUGUUCCGUUCGCUUUGACGGAACUCGGUACGAUUUACGAGGGAUGUGGUAUGUUACAGGAGAGCUAUGUACUUGAUGAACAUGUAUUCAUUUUGGAGAAAAAUGUAAAUGUAAAAGAAUGUGAUGUAAUUGUAUACAAAAUGCAAAUGUGAUGUAAUAGUUAGUAAGUUCUCUCUUUAUUUCACUUGUGUAUCUUGUGGAUUACUUGGUCUUUGUUGUUGGCACUGUCUGUGCCCCGUUGAUUGUGUACUUAUAGAAUUUAAAAUCCUGGGUAAAUUCUUGUACUCGAUCUAUUGUUGAGCCUUGGGCGGACAGGGGAGGUGCUGUCCGUUCGGCGUCCGUUCGCUGCGCUCGAACCGUGCCAAAUUGGUAGGGGUUUCGGGGCGGGGCGUGACAGUCGGAUUGGCUUUUGUACAGUCGUGAUGUCGGAUCUCUGUUCAUGCAUUCUAGUGCAUUAUAGGGUCAUUGGUUGGCUUAAUUUUGUGUCACAUCUCCAACCUUCUGUUGGCGAUGGAUCCGCGGGUAUUUUACCUUUCUUUCGAUAAGUACGUUGGCUGCAGACAACGUAGUGUUGAAAGUUAGGACAAGAUACCCUACCCAUUUUGGGGAAUAUCUGGAUUGGGUCGAUAUUUCUUUUCUCUUGCAUGAGAGGUGACGGUUAUCUUUGAUCAUCUAGUGAGCCUGGUGGUUGGCUCAAAUGUCGCAGCUUGUGAUGUUGUACAAGGUAUACGUUUUGCUUUAUCGUGGAUACCUUAGAUUAGAUUGGGUUGCUGUUCGGUCACUUGGUGAGAGGUACAUCGGAGUCUCGUUGAGACUGGCAUUGAGUGUUGCAAGGAACAUCGAUCGCUAGGGUACCUUGGGGAUGACAGCGAUAGGGUCUCGUAGAGACAGAUGUUGGGCAUCACUGGUGGUCUGAUCGCAUGUUGCGAGUGGCAACUCUGUUCACCUAGUGACGGACAUGCAUUGGCUUUAUGUUGAUUGUUUGUACCUGAAUGAGUGUUGAGCAGGCUAAAUUGUCGGCCUAAGUAGUACUGGCAGCCUUAGACCUUUUUGGUCUAGGCGGAUGGUUAGGUCUUGGACCUCAGAGAGUCGGGUGCCAUCGAAGGGUUCCGAUGGUUAAGGUUUGACUCUGUCUGAUUAUAGUUCGGACUGCUAGGAGGUUGUAGCCUCCGAGGUGAGUGUUGGUACUUAGGUUUAGGGGUUUUCCUACCUUGGCACUAUAGCCGCAUUUGGUGCGUUAGUGGAUUGUUAACCGAAAUUAUUUUCGGUGGUGUGUAAGCGAGUUUCGGGGACGAAACUUUCUUUAAAGGGGGGAUAAUGUAAGGACUGAGAAUUUGACUGUAUAGUCAGACUCUCUGUUGACGAUGUUUUUGUGUGUAAUUUAAUUACAAAAGUACUCGUCAAGUUUCGAAAGAAAACGAGUUAGAAUGGAGAUUUUACGCGUCUCCAAGUUUCACUUAAAGUGAAUAGUAACUCGAUUUUUCGGAGAAGCAACGGUGUGAAGUUGGCUUCAGGCUCAUAUCGGACUCCGUUCAUAGCGAUCCAAUAGCUCGUUUCGAACGGUUCAUCCAUUCUGGAACCAAUGGCGCUGACGGAUUUUGGGUUUGACCCAUGGAUUUCGAGAACUUCUGAAAAUACAGGUAUUAUAUGUAUUUGUGCGCUGUUUCACCUUUCGGAGAGAGAACGGGUUCCGCUGUGAAUCCGUGACCGAUCGAGGUGAACCAAAAUGGUAGGUUUGUUGUCUCCGUUGUGCUGAUCGCACUAGCGCGAUCCGUUCGCAAAUCUGACAGACGGAUCUGCGGAUAAUGCGCGUUGUUCGAGGAGGGGUCUUAGAUGGCUAAACGGUAUUUUUGCGAAAGGUGCGACAUUUGAUGUACCGUUUCGCGCGAAACCAGAUGUGGAGGUGUAUUCGCGCGUUUUACUCACGCGGGGGAGGGCUCAGUAAGAAACUCUAGGUUUUCAGGGACUUGUGUGCAAAAUUGCACCUAGUAUAUAUGUUUGCUUUAGGGUUUGCACUAUGCAAACCCUAACCCUAGCCCUACUGCGCCCCUAGCCACCUCCAUCUCUCUCCUCUCCAUCUUUUUUUCUCCCUCUCUCUCUUUCCCUUGGGUUUGAGACAGCAUCUGAGGCUGCAUUGCCUCCCUACUCCCUGCCGGCGUCGCUCCGACCUGAGGUGGUUAGUCACCGCCGCCCCGAGCCGCCCUGAGCGCCGCCGCGCCGUUACUGCCAGCCUGUAGCCUGCCAGACUGAGCUCAGGCUGAGGCAUCUUGCGGCUUUUCCCCUCGCACUGCCGCCGCCUGUGGCUGCCCCCGCCGCCUUUCCCGGAGCCCCGACGACCUUCCCCGUCGCCCACCGCCGUCGCCGAACGCUGGCCGAGCCGGCCUUCUUUGGCCUCCGGCAGUCCAGCGCCGUCGCCCCUGAGCUUCCCGCUGGCCGCCGUGGCCGCCGCUGCACUUGGAACCCGAGCCCGAUCUCGUGCGGGCUUAGCUGGCUCCGCCGACGCCGCCGCCGCUCCCCGCCACCAGCUANUCUCGAUGCAAAUAAAAGAGAUAGCGGAAAAUAAAAAUAGCACACCGAGAUUUUAACGUGAGAAAACUCCAAUCCGGAGUGAAAAACCCACGGGAUUGAUCACGCGAAGAAAAUCCACUAAAAAUACUUAAGUACAAGUGAUUUUAACCAAAAUAUAUGACUCAAUUUAUCGAAUUUCCGUUGUUGAUGGUCUUCGCCUGUGACGCCCCAACUUCCUAGGGGUUCACCCAUCCUAGGACUACUUCCGUCCUAGCACGCUUAACUCUCUUAACCUCUUGGGCCUUGCCACCACCCAAAAUGCUUAAGCCGGGUUAAGACUUUAGCCCUAUUAUAUCUUAUAUAUAGGGCUAUCUGGGGUCUCACAAUCUCCCCUCCUUUAAGCCCUGACGUCCUCGUCAGGCUCAGACUCACAAGUACCAGGCGAUGUGAGACUCGUCUCGCUAGCCCGUCAUCCAGACCCUGGCUCAGCCGAGACUCAUCUCACACUUCCGGCUGGUAAUUGGCUCUGAUACCAUCUGUGACACCCCAACUUCCCAGGGGGUCACCCAUUCUAGGACUACUCCCGUCCUAGCACGCUUAACUCUCUUAACCUCUUGGGCCUUGCCACCACCCAAAAUGCUUAAGCCGGGUUAAGAGUUUAGCACUAUUAUAUCUUAUAUAUAGGGCUAUCGGGGGUCUCACAUCGCCGGUCCUUGAUCGAUAGGAAUCCUCCAAUCGACCUCGCUGCAACUCCUUGCUGCGUCAACGCCUCAACUCUUUGAAGCGUCCACUGAAUCCUCGGCUUCACGCAAGUCCACGCGCCGAACCUCCUUCGGGACUUUGUAGAAUUGAUGAUUUAUGGUGAUUGAGACUUAGAAUACCAUAAGCAAUAAGGGUUCACCUUCUAAUCAAACAUCUACUUGAUUCUCGAAGAAGAUCUCGAGUUAAAGUCGAAGAAUCAAGUCGAUCGUUGAUUAUAUGAAACUUGUUAUAAGAAUAAAAAUCAUAAGAAUGUGAAAACAAGUUUUUAGGGUUUUAGAUCAAUAGAAAUUCAAAGCCUUAACUCAUAUGAUGACCCCCAUGACUUAUUUAUAGGUUUAGAAGACUUAGAAGUAGACUAGUAUUGCAAAAAGCCUAUUUUAAAAACUGGUGUCGUCCUAAGGGACCGGUCUUCUCGAGGAGACCGGUCUUUGGGAGACCGGUCUCUCGAGUGAGAGACCGGUCCCUCACUGCGUGACAGAAAACACAACGUUCGGGAACCGGUCUCUCAUGCCAGAGACCGGUCCCUCGCUGCGUGACAGAAAAUCCCAUGUUCGAGAACCGGUCUCCCUUUCCAGAGACCGGUUGCCUCAACAUCCCACGCAGUGAGGACCUUCGGGGACCGGCCUCUCAACUCUGGGACCGGUCCCAAAACACUUAAAAGUUCAGAUUAUGUGUUUUAAAGCAAUCUAAGUCUUCUGAACUUAUUAUAAUUAAAUAACUUCACCACAAAUGAUCUAUUCUUCAUACCUGUGGUGUCGAGCUUUUCAAAUGAGUCUUUGUUCUUCAAAUUGAAUCUUUUCUUCAAACUUCCGCGAUCAACUCUUCAAGACUCCAUUCGACUUUACGAAAUCCGCCAACCUAGAAAAUCCUUAACAGAACGCCGCUGCCGCGCUACAGCCGCCCCUGUGGCCGUCCUGCAUUAGUUUCGCCGAGCUUGGCCCAUUUCAGCCCCGCGCGCAGCCGCCGCCCAGCGCCGGCCGUGUCGCCCUUCUCUGGCCUCCGGCAGUCCACCGCCGUCGCCCUGAGCUUCCCGUCGGCCGCCGUGGCCGCCGCUGCACUUCGAACCCGAGCCCGAUCUCGUGCGUGCUUAGCUUGCUCCGCCGACGCCGCCGCCGCUCCCCGCCACCAGCUAAGGUGAGCCCUAUGCUCCUCUCUUCCCCCGCACCCAUGCCUGGCCCGCACGUGCUUCGCCGUGCUGCCGGAAGCCGGCCGGAGCAAGCUUGCUCAGGCCAAGCCCGAAAUAGGGCUAUUCCUUGGCAGUUUGCUGUUCCGAGCAACCCGUGCCUCCCCGAUCUCUGCGGAAGGGAGCACGAUGAUCGUGGCAAAUUGCUGAUCAUCGUGCUCACCUUAGAUUCUGUCGGGGAGACUCCAUUCCACUGUUUUGGCGGUUUCGACCCUGUGGAGCCUUUUUGGCUGCUGUUGCAGGUUUGCGCGCACUUUUUCGGUGAUCCGAGGCUGUCCUGAUGCCUCCGGAGGUGAGCACGGUGAUCGUUGGUCAGUACCGAUCACAGUGCUCACCUCACUUUGGAUCAACGGAUUCCGGUUAGUUCUGUUCGGCGCGAUUUUCCCCGAUUGCGCGCUGUUCGCAGAAGUUUCGGGUUGCUCCCACGCCUCCCACAGUGAGCCGUUGUGCUCCGGACCAUGAGCACGGCCUCCGACACGUCGAAACCUGUCAGUACGUGUCUCGGCGAAACUCGAAAGUCCUCGGUUUGCGUGGACGAGCCACUUGAUCGUCCAAUUUACAUAAAAUAAUAGGAUUUUAUGUAAAUAAAGGGACUUUUGCACAAUUGGGCACCUUGUGGCUACUGUGGGUAGUGUGUAUGCUUGUGUGGUGACCUCUGGACUGAUUGUCCAUGAUCCGAUAGCCUUCGCAGAAAUCGAAGAGUCGAUUUCGGUGCGUUUUUCGACAAAAUUCGCCGAAAGAAUGCGGUUUCGGUUCGGAUUUCUUCCGACGUUGGUUUGGUUGUCCCGUGAAUUGUCACCAUCAUCAUAUUGUGGGUUCGGUGAUGAUGGGUGAGCGACAGUGGAUUCCGGUGUCGAAAUAGACACUUCCUGGAACUCGGAUCCGAACAACUAUCCAACGAUAAUUGUUAGGUUGUGUUACCUUGUGUUUGCUGCCAAGACAUCCAAAUUGGUGUGUUUUGUGGCAGCAGGUGACUCAUGGUAUGAGUCAGUGAGUUUCGGAACACUUAGUGGUUCCCGAUGGCGUCCCGGUAUGGUUUUCGGGACUUCCGGUGAGUUUCGGUGAUCGGUUUUGGAAAACUGAUUCGAGUACUUGUGUGUGGGGGGUUUGUGAGUUAUGUACUUCAGGUUAGUGGGUUGGAUACUGACCUGGUGGAUCUUCGUAGGUCCGGUUGACUGUACACACCCAGGUUUCGACGCUUUUGUGACAGGUGGGUGCUUCGAGCUGGUAGUCGGUGAGAUCGUUUCACCCUUCCUCUGUUCUUUCAUAUCAGUAUCGUAGUCUCUACAUGUCAGUUGUUUGUUUAUCGUUCGUUCAUCUAUAUCUCGUUGAUUGCAUUAUGAUAAUUGUAAAUAGACAUGUAGAGUAGGCUUGCAUAUAUACUGUAAAUCUGUGGAUCUUGGGUCCAGGCAACACAUCGACUCCUUUGUCGUGUGUUUCGAUCUAGUUGAUCGUGGUUCGGCAUUGUACGCCCUUGCACUUGGCUUCGGCCAUGGCACUGGUCUCUUUUUGCCGGUUUUCGUUUUGAGCAUAUCAGCAUGAUUUAGUCACAGCACUGUGUAUUUUAGACACCUGGUUGGUUUGGCCACUAACCAGGGGUGUACGUAUCCGGAUAGGUCGUCGGUGACGCAUGAAUAAGUUGGCAGUGUCUGCUUUGUGAUAGGCAACGCUUGUGUGGACCAAUAUAGCAGCAUCAGAUUGGGUUUGGUUUUGGACUAUUUACCCUUGAGGCAUCCGUUCAGUUGAGUUUUUGUUACAGUAGUAGUUUUAUUCUUGCUCAAUUAUUAUUCUCUUUCUAUUACUACUGUAGCUGCUCUUAUAUCAUAUCCUGUUCAUACCUGUUGUUCUAUCUCCUUUGGUUUUUGGUGAUUAUGACUUGCCUUCGUGGCUCUGUCGUACCCACUGAGAAACCUUGAUUGCGGUUUCUCACCCUCCAUUCCUCCAGGUGACAUUGAACGAGGAGUUGGUAUUUGGGCUCGACGGGAGGACGUUCUAGCUAGACGGCAGUAGCGAUCGUUACCCUGGUUAUAUUUCUUCCCGCAUUUAAUAGUUGUUAAUAAUAAAUGGUUCAGUUAGAUGUUUGAAUGUUUGUGAUUUCCGUUAUGCACGAUUAGAGAUUUUGUGGAUCUAUAGUUUUGGUUUUAUGGAUAUUCAAUUCUUGGAUUUGUAUAUUUAUACGGAUUUACAUAUUGUGGUUUCUAUCCCUCGAGGUAGCUAGUUUUCAAAAUAGAGUUUUCGUGUGGAAAACAGUUUUAAAAAGUUUUUUGAAUGGCUUUUGCUGAAUGAUUGAAUUAGAUUUAAAAACAAAGCUUCUGGGUGGGGAGCACUUUUAAAUAGGAUGCUUGUUGUAUUGUGCAUUGCAUCAUUCAGCGCCUAAGGAGUGCUUAGAGGCAUGCAUCAUCUCUAAGGAUCGUUAGCUGUAUGGAAAUGCAUAUCAUGAAUUGGUUGUUGAUUGGUAAAUGUAAGUUGUGGUUGAGAUCCUGUUGUACAGUUGGUACGCCGUGCAAAUACAAAGAAAAUUUUGUCCGAGUGGAUAGAGGAACUUCGUAUUUGUGGCGGGUCUGUACGUCACGUAGGCCAGGUUGAGAAAAAAAAAAUUUGGCACGUUUUUUGCAACUCUGGUUUCAAAGAUUGAAAAAAGCUUUUAAAAUUGGCCCCGGGGCGUGACAGUUUUGCGGACGAAACUACUUUUAAGGGGUGGGGAAUGUAACGUAUCACUUUCCCGAGAAACGUGCCGAGUUCCGUCGAAACGAGCGGAACGCGGAGUCGGACAAGUUGGAGCAAGUAAUAAUGGGUUCUAAGUGCUUUGGAACCUAUGUAUAUGGUAUAGGGACCCGAGAGAGUAAGAUUGGAAAAUCUUGCCAAGUCCUAGAUUUUGGACUCUCGGGGACCGGUCCCUGCGGGGAGAGACCGGUCCCCGUAUGCGUAGCCAGCCCAGAAAGGGUGGAAAAUCGGCUAAGUCCUGAAAGUUUUGCUCUCGGGGACCGAUUCCUGCAAGGAGAGACCGGUCCCCGUAAGCGAAAAUGGCCCCCAGCGGCUAAGUCUUGGAAAACCCACUCUCGGGGACCGGUCCCUGCGGGGAGAGACCGGUCCCCGUAUACGAAAAAUGCCCAGUGAGGGCUGAUUGUAAAAAUGGAAUUGAGAGAGGCUUAAGUGCUAUUAUUGCAAAGUGAAUGGUUAUAUGGGCUAGGGCUUGGGUGAGAGCUCAUUUGCUCUCACUCCAACACUAAAACCUCUCCCUCUCUCUCUCUAAAACCUUCUCUUCUCUCUUCCUCUUUCUCUAGAGCUUGGACAAUGAGGAGAUUUGGAGGAGUUUGGGUAAAGAAGAAGGCAAAGUUGAAGGUGUUGCUUGCAAGAGUGCAAGUGUACAAGGAAAGCUUGGACUCCAAGGUGAGUUUCACUCCUUGAUUUUGAGUUAGAGUUUUGAUGUUUGCUUCUAGUUGAAGCAUCUAGGAGCUCUUAUGGUGAUUUUUCCCAUGUUCCUCAUGUAUAAGGACCUAGUUUGGGGAAGAUGACAUUGUUGAAGGACCCAAAAUUGGGGUUUUUGGAUUUUGAGGUCAAAGCUUGGGUUUGAUAUCUUUUUAACCUAAUUGAUAGGUCAACGAACGUGUUGGUGCGCUCGGUUCGGCGAUACGACGAGCGUACGCAAAGAUAUUGAGAAAACAAGCUAAAUUGGUACAGAUCAUCGCAGCUUGCGGCGUAGAGGUCUAAAAUCCACGAAAGCAGGACCACGACAUCCUAGCAUACCCACAGGUAAGGGGUGCUAUCCGGAAACACCGAAUUUCCUUCUAUGUCUAUGUUAUCAUUUUUGAGCAUAUUAAUGUUAGCAUUCAUGCAUAUAGGGUAGUGUGAUGAAUAUGAUUGGUUGAGAUUCAAUUGUAUGCUAGGGAACAUAUGAAUUGAUAUAGAACCAUGCGAACUAAGAAUGUGAAAAACCCUAUGUGUAUGUGAAUGUAUGUAAAAGAGACUAUGACAAUAGUAAACAAUGGUGACAUUGACAUUAGAUUGGCACCGAGAAUGUAAAUGACUAAACAAGGUUUAGCUUAUUGUGGCAUCAGGACCAUUGUGGCUCAGGUAUAGUGGAAAUGUGAUAUGGUAAUAACCUAUCAUGGGCAUUGAGGCUUUGUGCAUUAAGACAAGUUUGGCAAUUACUUCCUCAAAUUGAGGAUUGGAUCGUACUCACACUAGCUUUGGCUUGAGGGAGGUAGCUCCUCCUCAAGCGGUGUACUCCGGAGUGUAGACACCACGGGGAGAGGCCCCGUCAUCGUUCCCUCGGGUGGUAGUGCUAGUAGCCUCCCCCGGUAGACGGGAAUUGUGGACUGUGAGUUUGGGGUGGACCAGGAGUACCCCGGGAUGAUUGGGUAAAGGCUAAAGAGAAUGAGAACAAGAACAUGCAUGCAUAAUUAUCAUGUAUUGAUUAUCUAUCUACUGACAGCUUUCUUGCAGGUAUUGUAUUAGAAGUGCAUUAGUUGGUUUGUUAUCUUCCUUAUUGAAAUACAUAUGCCUGAAUGGACCUAGUGGGCGAGUCGGUGCGGUCGGCGACCGAACCCACUGGGAACUUCGUUUAGUUCUCACACCACCACCACUAACCCUGCAGAUCCAUGCGCGAGCGGGGCGGCGGAGGAUCGAGACAAGGGGCUAGCGCCAUAGAUAGCGACCUCGGAGUUUAUAGGCAUACCCUAUAUGUACAUUCAACUUUUGUAUGUUGAACUAGUAAUGUAAAGAGAUGUAAUCAUGUAUUUUGGAUGAAAGCUAAUGUGAUGUCAAUGUAAUGACGGUUUGCUUGUGUUUGAUUCAAAUGUAAUCAAAUGACAUGUAUGUGGAUAAAUGCUUAGUUAGUUUCGAUGCAUUCACAUGUGAGUUGGUUGUUGUUUGCCCUCGUGCAAACCUAGUAUAAUUGAUUGUAUUAUACUUGUUGAUUAGAGCCUUGGGCGGACAGGAGAGGUGUUGUCCGUUCAGUGUUUGUCGGCGUGCCCGAACCGACCAAAUUGGCGGCCUCGGGGCGUGACAAUUUACAUGUCCAAGUUCAUCUUUUGUUCCUCGACACUAUAGGAUUCCAUGUCAAGACCCAAUCCUUAUGUGUCCACUAAAUCAAGUGCUCAACUCACUAUAUGAUUUCUACUAUGGAAACAUGCAAGGAAUUGAAGUACAACUACUUAAUAUAACCUAUAAUGCAUGAUAACAAUAUAUAUGAACAUAUGCUAUGAUAAACAACUCGGACAUAGAAGGAAGUUCAACUGCUUCGGGAUGGACACCCCCCACCUUCUGGUGAUGCCACGAAGCUAGACUCCAACUUUCGUAAUUUUCCGUCGCCUAUCUCUCUCGACUGCGGCAAACGAAGCCAAAAAUAGGCUUUCCUUUAAUAUCUUCGCGCCUACUUGUCGGAUUGCCGAACCGAGUUCACCAGCGCACGCGACUACCUAGCAAAUAGGUAGAAAAGAGAUCAAUCCCAACAUUAGAUCUCAAUUUAAUAAAACCCUUUUUCGGAACCCUAGAUGUUCGAUCUUGCAAGAAUACGCCAUAAAGAUCCUCGAUUCAAGCAAAUAACAUCUAUCUAGCAUCAAAGGGUUUCCGGUUUGUUAUUUUAUUUCAGAGCCUUCCACACCGGGAUUCUCUGUUGACGAUGGACCAAGAAUAGCUGAAUCUGUUUUGUUAUUUUAUUUCAGACCCUUCCACAUCGGGAGAGGCUCAGGAUUGCGGCAAGGGUAUUGCCUCUAGCUAAUUGCGAGGAGCUUCGCUUUUAGGUGGUUCACCACUCUUUUAUUUAUUUGAAGAGGAUGAGAGUUUUGUACUUUUAUAUAGAGACCACCAUUUUUGUAUAUCCAGCACUUGUAUUGGAGAUCUUGAUGUAUUAACCUCUAUGGUUUAUAUUAGUUGUUUAGUUUUUUUAUCUAUCCACUUGCUAUUAGAAUCUAGUUAAAAUCAUACUCUGAUAUCUCUAGAUAUUUAUUUAUUGUUGCUUUAAUUAUCGCUUUGUUGUAGACGCCUUAUAUAUUGUAGGCAUAUGGCGGGUCUGAACACGCACCGGGCGGGCUUCCGCUGGGUCCCGGGGCGUGACAAGUAUAGUAGCCGGACUAUAUAUAUAUAUAUAUAUACAUAUACGUGUAUGUAUAUGUAUAUAUACAUAUACAUAUGUAUAUGUAUACAUAUGUAUAUAUAUAUAUAUAUAUAUACACGUGUAUACAUAUAUAUAUACGUAUAUACGUAUAUAUAUAUACGUAUAUACGUAUAUANNNNNNNNNNNNNNNNNNNNNNNNNNNNNNNNNNNNNNNNNNNNNNNNNNNNNNNNNNNNNNNNNNNNNNNNNNNNNNNNNNNNNNNNNNNNNNNNNNNNNNNNNNNNNNNNNNNNNNNNNNNNNNNNNNNNNNNNNNNNNNNNNNNNNNNNNNNNNNNNNNNNNNNNNNNNNNNNNNNNNNNNNNNNNNNNNNNNNNNNNNNNNNNNNNNNNNNNNNNNNNNNNNNNNNNNNNNNNNNNNNNNNNNNNNNNNNNNNNNNNNNNNNNNNNNNNNNNNNNNNNNNNNNNNNNNNNNNNNNNNNNNNNNNNNNNNNNNNNNNNNNNNNNNNNNNNNNNNNNNNNNNNNNNNNNNNNNNNNNNNNNNNNNNNNNNNNNNNNNNNNNNNNNNNNNNNNNNNNNNNNNNNNNNNNNNNNNNNNNNNNNNNNNNNNNNNNNNNNNNNNNNNNNNNNNNNNNNNNNNNNNNNNNNNNNNNNNNNNNNNNNNNNNNNNNNNNNNNNNNNNNNNNNNNNNNNNNNNNNNNNNNNNNNNNNNNNNNNNNNNNNNNNNNNNNNNNNNNNNNNNNNNNNNNNNNNNNNNNNNNNNNNNNNNNNNNCAAGUGACCGAACAGCAACCCAAUCCAUUCCAAGGUAUCCCCAAAAAUCAAAACGUAUACCUCGUACAACAAUACAAGCUACUACAUCAGAGCCAAACACCAGGCUCACUAGAUGAUCAAAGAAGACUAACACCUCUCAUACAAGAGAAAAGAAAUAUCGACCCAAUCCAGAUAUUCUCCAAAAAGGGGUAGAGUAUCUUAUCCUAACUUUCAACACUACGUUGUCUGCAGCCAACGUAAUUAUCAAAAGAAAGGUAAGGUACCCACUGAUCCGAUGCCAACAACAAGUUGGAGACGAGACACAAGAACCAAUCGACCAAUAACCCUAUAAUGCUCUUAGAAUGCAUGAACAGAGAUCCGACAUUACAACUAUAUAUUACCCAGAUCAGACACACCACACUGACAAGGAACCCACAAAGGUCGAAACAUCCGCCUUGGUAACUCCACCAGCAAAAACCAUCCAACAAAACUCAAAAGAAUGCACCCAGUGCCUGCGGAUUGACCAGCAACAACUUCCAUAUCCCGUGUUGGAGGUGGGGCAGUAACAAUACCAGUAGCAGUCUGAUGACACCUCACUGCUCAGAACUAGUCCGCUCACUGUCCCCACUCCUAGCACCAAAACAAGCACAUGCCAUAACCUGUAGCACAAGAACACGAGGUAAUAAACACAAAUCAACCCUCGAACCUACCAGCUCGAUAACCUGGAGACUAAAUCUCGUAUGCCCCGCGCUCGUACGUGCCUACGAUUUUAUGGUUAUCCUAUGGUCAACCUAACCAGUGGUUCAGUUCAUUUGGUUCAGUUCAUUUACUUUUCAAAACAACCUGUGAAUGGUGUUGUGGUUGUAAUUAGGCGCUGAUACCACUUUAAUCUGUCACGCCCCGGGGUCCCUUUAGGUUAAAAACACAGCGAAAAUUUUUUUUUUUUUUUUUUUUGAAAACCUAACCCCAGGGAAUGCCAGAUCCGCCAUAAAUAUAGGAAAUUCACUGUUCACACGGACAGAGUCUCCCCUGUAUUUGCACGGCGUCGCACAAGUACAAGAAGUAAUCCAGGUACAACCACAACCAAAUGAAUAUAGAAACGACUAUGCAAUCAUUCAUUCACCAUUCACAUCACAGUUAUACGUUCAAUAUUUAAACAUAAAUCCACAGAAAAUCCUUUGAAAACUGUUUCCUACACGGAAACCUUUAUUCUUUAAAAACGUUACCACGAGGGGUAGAAAACCUUUUAUUUACGAAAACCAUGAAUCCUUUUUAUUACAUUCAUAAAGCCAAAUGAAAAUAUGAUAGUUAACUGAAAUAUCCAAAAACUGAACCAUAUAAACUAUCUAAGCUAUAUCAACAGGAUAGUAAAGGUAGAAACUAAACCGAAUAACCUGGGUCGAAAGCUCUAUCGACCGCUACGUACGUAUCUCACGUCUCGUCUCAACCCUCACCGCCCGCGAUACCUGAAAAAUAGUGGGGGGGGUGAGAACAUGUAAACAUGUCUCCCCUCCCAGUGGGUACCGCAAGCCGAUGAAGGCAAGGAGUACUCACCGGAUCAGGAAGAGCUAAACAACAGUACGGGUCAGUAGAAAAUACAGUAGCAAUAAUAAUGAAUGAAAGAGACGUAUAUAAAAGAAAGUACAACUACCGCUACUGUAAUGAACAACUGAAUGUAUACAUGUAACAAGACUAUAGUAGCAAGACAAUGUAACGAAAGAACUGAAGAUAUUCAAGCGACAACUGCUACUAUAGUUAUAUGCGUCAACCAGACGAUAAGUCCAAAUAUACCCAAUCUAAAAUCUGCUGCUCUGUUGGUCCGCGCCGGAACCUCAAGCCUGUGCCCUGGAGGUUCACACCGGAGACCUCCGCUCUACCAUGCAUCUAACCCCUCUAGGGCUCACGGGUCGACACCUGCAACCACUUUUCCGAAAAAGAACACCCUCUUGCGGUGGAUCAAACCGCUGGUGUUUGUGAAAUGCGAACGAGUCUCAGGCGGUCAAUGCUGAUAUGCUCAAAGGCCAAACGUCGGCAACCAGCAGACAAUCUUGCCCACAGGGCUCAUCGACCGUAUAGGUCAUCAACUGUAAGGAAGCACAAGAACUGACCACUCAGGUCAACUAGGAUGGGACAACAUCAACAUCCUCUCAAACAUAUGCAAAUACUGCUCAAUGAACCACAAGGACUGACAACUCAGAUCAACUAGGAUAUAUGCACAACGAAUCAACGAAAAGGUCGUCAGGGUGUAUCAAUAGAAUCCAGAACUACCGUCGGCCACUAGCCAACAAUCCAACCCCUCUAGGGUAUAUCGACCACAACGGUCAUCGAACGACAGAAGUCAAGGAACCGACCAAAAGUGUCACAAAUACGAGAUACGAGAACCAACCAACCAAGUCACUGGUACGAAGUACAAGAAUCGACCUACCAAGUCACUGAUACGAAGUAUAAGAAUCGACCUACCAAGUCACUGAUAUGAAGUACAAGAAUCGACCUACCAAGUCAACAGAUACGCACAUAGAUAGAACCACUCUACUCCUACUCAGGAUACUAAGCAUGCAAACAACGAGUAGAGUAUAAUGGAAUAACAUGGGUGCAAGGCUCAAUAUAUACUAUGCAAUAAUAACAACAGAAGAGUAAGGGUAAGAAACCAUCACCAAGCGUGCACCACUGUACCGACGUCGGAUCGAAGUACCCACCUUUAAGGAUGUCGCGUCUGUCUCCUGACUGCAAAAGAAUGUCGAUAGGACCUAUAAAGGGUCCACCGGGUUAGUAUCUAACCCACAACUAAUAACCACAGUAUCCACAACCCCACAAACAAUUUCACGAAGAUCGGUUUCCCAAUACCGAUUACCGUAGCUUGCCGGAAGUCCCGAAAACUACACCGGGACGCCGUCGAGACCCACUAAGUGUCCCGAAACUCACCGACUCGGGUCACGAGUCACCUGCUGCCCCAAAACACUCCAAUUUGGAUGUUUUGGCAGCAAACACAAGAUAACACCACUACACAAUUAUCGCUGGAUAAUUGUACGAAUCCGGGUUCCCAAAAGUGUCUAUUUCGACACCGGAACCCACCGUCGCUCACCCAUCAUCACCGAACCCACAAAAUGAUGAUGGUGACCAGCCAACAAGGCUCAGCAAUAACUAACAAAGCAACUAAACGACGUCGGAAGAAAUCCGAAUCGAAAUCGCGUUCUUUCGGCGAAUUUCGCCAAAAAACGCACCGAAAUCGACUUUUCGAUUUCCGCGAGAGUUAACGGAUCAUGGACAAUCAGUCCAGAGGUUACCACACACACACGUGCACUGCCCACAGUAACCACAUGAUGCACAAAUGCAUAAAAUCCUAUCAUUUUCACAUGAUGCCUCUCAAUUUACAUAAAAUCCUAUCAUUUUAUGUAAAUUGAGCUAUCAAGUGGCUCGUUCACGCAAACCGAGGACUUCCAAGGUCCGCGGAGACACGUACAGCUUGGUCUUGACGUACCGGAGGCCGUGCUCACGAUCCAGAGCACAACGGCUCAUUGUGGGAAGCGCGGGAGCAACCCGAAGGUUCAGCGAAAAGCGCGCAGCCACGGAGAAACGCGCCGAAUAGGACUAACCGGACACUGCUGAUCCAAGGUAAGGUGAGCACUGUGAUCAGCACUGACCAGCGAUCACCGUGCUCACCUCCGGAGGCAUCGAAACAGCCUCGGAUCGCCGGAAAAGCACGCACAAUCACAGAACAGCAACCAAAAAGGCUCAACAGGGUUGACAUCACCGAAACAGCGAAACGGGGCCUUCCCGACAGAAACCAAGGUGAGCACGAUGAUCAGCAACUUGCUACAAUCACCAUGCUCCCUUCCAGAGAGAUCGGGGAGCCUCGGAUCGCUCAGAACAACAAACAACCCACAAACAGCCCUAUUUCGAGCUUGGCCGGAGCAAGCUUGCUCCGGCCGGCUUCCGGCGGCACGGCGGCGCGCGCGGGGGCCAGGGAUGGGUGCGGGGGAGGGAAGGAGCAUGGUGCUCACCUCAGGUGGCGACUGGAAGCGGCGGCGGCAGCGGUGGAACAACCCAAACCCGCACGAGCUAGGGCACGGUUCCAAAGGUUGCUGCAGUCACGGCGGUAGCCGAGGCAGCUCGGGGGCGUCGGCGGCGGGUCCCCAGAGGCCGGAGGGGUUGCCCUAGGGUGGCCCAAGAUGGCGGCGGCCCGGAGGAAAGGCCGCACACAGGCCUCGGCCUGGGCUAGGGCUGGGGCCGCCGCGCGCAGCAGGGCCAGCAGCGACGGCGGUCGGCGACGGCGGCGGUCGGCGGGGGAGGUUGCCGAGGCUCCGGGGAAGGCUGCUGAAGGGGUUACAGGCGGCGGCGGCGCACGGGGAGGGAGUUGGGGCUACCUUGGCCAGAGCUUGGCCAAGCAGGCUGCAAGGAGCAGCGGCGGCCGCGGCGGCGCGAGGAGGCGGCGGCGGUCGGCGGGGAGGCUCGCCGAGGGACAGGGGCAACACCGACAAGGGCCUGGAGGCAAGGCAACCUCGGCCUGGCUCCAACCCGAGAGAGGGAGAGAGAGAGAGAUGAAGAGAGAGGAAGAAGAUGGCUCCGGCGGCGGCUGGCCGGCCGGGGUUCAGUCGGCAGCGGCCUGGGCGUGCACAGCAGGGCAGGGAAGAGGGAUGGAGGUGGCAGGGGGCGGCUAGGGCAGCAGGGUUAGGGUUUCCAAGGUGAAACCCUAGAACAAGCUUAUAUACAAAGGUGCAACUUUGCAAAUAAGUCCGCCAAAACUUAGACUUAUGAACUAAGUCCUCCACAGCACGUGUAAAACACGCGAAUACCCCUCCACGCGCGAUCUUACGCGAAAUGCUACAUAAAAUGUUGCGACUUUUGCGAAAUUACCGAUUUGCCUUUACCGACCUCUCCUCGGUCAACGUGCAAUCUCCGCAGAUCCGUCCGUUAGAUUUGCGAACGGAUCGCACUAGUGCUAUCAGCCCGACGGAGACAACAAAGCUACGAUUCCUUUUCACCUCGAUCGACCACGGAUUCACGACAAAGUCCAACCUUUCUCGCCAACAGAGGAAAUAACACGAAAAUACAUAUGAAACAUGUAUUUUUGGAUUUUCUCGAAAUCCGUGCGUCAAACACAAAAUCCGUCAACGCCACUAGUUCCAGAACAGCUGAACCGGUCGAAACGAGCUAUUGGACAGCUAUGAACGGAGUCCGAUACGAGCCAGAAGCCAACUUCCCACCGUGGCUUCUCCGGAAAAUCGAGUUACUAUUCACUUUAAGUGAAACUUGGAAAUCGCGUAGAAUUUUCUUUUUAACUCAUUUUCGCCCGAAACUUGACGAGUGCUUUUGUAAUUAAAUUACACACAAAAACAUCGUCAACUGAGAGUUUAGCUACACUGCAAAAGUUUCAGUCCUUACAGAGACGAACCAAGAGAAGAAGAAGAAGAAGGUGAAGAACAAGAAGAAGAGUUGAAGCAACUCUCUCCCCUCCUUCUCUAGCUUGGAAAAGGAGCAAGCUUAGAGGUGAAGAACGAGGAGUCUAAAAAUCCCAAGAAAAUCGUCGGAGCACCUUUGAGAACCUACGAGGUGGGUGGUGCUAUCCAAACCCGUUGAACUUCCUUCUAUGCCUAAUGUGUCAUUUAAUUGAGCAUAUGUUAUAUACAUUAUUGCAUGCAUUGUAGGGUAAAUGUGAUGAGAGUAAUGUGAUGUUGCAUAUUGUGAGUACAAUUUGCCUAAUGAGAUGCUGAGAACUCUUAUGAAUGUUUAACCCUAUGUAUGCAUGAGAUAAAAUGUGAGCACCCAAGUGAGGCAAAAGAACAGAGUGACACAAUGAGACAUAGAUCGAGUGGCAUUCGAUAAUGUAAAGUAAAGUGACACUAGAGUUAGUGUGAGGCAAAGAAUCAAUGUGAUGUAAAGAGUAAUGACAAUGACUAAAGUUAAUGUAAAGUGGGGCAUAAAGAACAUGCAAAGAGUAAAGAACAUGAUUGCUAGAGAUAGCCAAAGGUAAAGAAAUGUAAAGAACCAUGAUUGCUAGAGUAGCAACAUAAAGUGAUGAAAAGAACACUAGAGUUAGUGUAAUGACAUGAUUGAACUUAUAAUCCUUAGAGUUAAGGAUUCGAUCAUACUUGCUAUGAGUUCCGUGCUCAAGGGCGGUCGCUCCCCCUCGGGCGAUGCGCUCCGGAGUUUUUGCAUCACGGGUUGGAGUAAACCCGAGGACGGUCUUAGCGGGAGAAAGCUGAGGGCCCACGAUGAUGGACUUAAUGUGAAGCAAGUUAAUGUGGCGAAACCCCCGGGUUAGCCGUGAGAUUAAAGAACAAAGAAUAAAGAACAAAGAGUAAAGAGAAAGAACAAAGAACUUGUAUAAUCUGCAUGAGUUUUAUGUUGAGCAUACUUCUUACUUUAUUGUUCGGGCAUAUUAGCAUCAUGUUAUAGAUGGGUUACUAUAUUCAGCUUAUCCUUUCUAUUAUGCCUGAGUUAGUCCUAGUGGGAAAGUCGGUGAUGUUAGGGCCGAACCCACUGGAAACUUUGUUGUAGUUCUCACCCCACUAUUCCACAGAGCCGGGACCGAGUGAGCCGGCGAGCGACCGCGGUAAAGGUAUCGCACCAUAGUCAGAGGCCACCAAAGUUGGGUUAUUACAUUUUGUUAAUAGUUUACCCUUUUAUCAUCUUUUGUAUUUGAUGAUUUAAGAUGUUGAUGUAUAAAGCAAAGAAAGAAAAAAAUGUAAUAUUUAUUUGGAGCAAAUGUGAUGUAAAAAGAAAUGAUGCAAGCAAUGUAAAGAAUCAUGAAUAUACAAUUUGGAUGAAAUGGAUGCAUGUAUGUGAUCAAAAGUUGAAUCAUAAUACUUGUGUAGAUGUUUAGUUCCCUUUCUUUCACUCAUGGCUAUUGCUUACCCUCGUGUAAGCCGUUUAUGUAUGUUUCCGUUAGUGCACUUCUUGUUUGAAAAUGUACAAGUGAUGAGCCUUGGGCGGACAGGGGAAACGCUGUCCGUUCGGCGUCUGUUUGACUUGCUCGGGCCGGCCCAAAUUGGUAUCGAUCCCGGGGCGUGACAGAUAUUGUUAUAUCAGAGCCAAGAGUGAAAGAAUAGGAAUGGACCUAGAGACCCUUAGGAUUGGAAGACCUUAAGGAUCUAGGGAACGUGAGUGACGUGGAAUUAAAGUUAGCGAAAGCAUGUGAUUGGGUUAAGUUAGGACGUCUCUAAUGUGAUUAGAGGCUAAGUUUGAUUUUCAUUUGUUUCCUACUCCUUGUUUUGUGUCGGGCGGCCGACGACAUAAUGCUUGGGGCAAGAACGAAUGCAUAAGUUGCUUUCGCCGGAUUGGGUAUGGUCAAGGAAUGUUGGUCAUGUAGCUAAUGCGAGUUGCUUCUUUUCAGGAAGCAAUGGCACCUCGUGGACGACCGCAGACAAGGUCGAUGCCGGAGGAGCCGAAUGCGGGCCCGAGCGAUCCGGAGCGAGUGGCAACGGAGAGCUUAGGGAACAAGUGGCCGCGCUUAUCGGCGUAGUGCGGCAACAGGCAGAGUCUAUUCAACGCCGAGGGGAGCAGAUUCAGCGGCUCCAGGAGGCUUUGGAGCGUCGGCAGGCGGCGGCGGCCCAGGCGGGUGUCGAGCAUGUCGCGCCCCCUGUGGUAGUGCCGGGAGUGGACGAGGGAGUGGCGGCAGCAACGGCUGUUCCAGUUACGUUAGUACCGGCCGGAUCGGGAACCUCAAAUCCCGAUAGCACGGCGGUAAAAGCGAAGCGAGAGCGCACGUUGGCGGCUCUCAUUCAGUUCAAGAAAUUCAACCCACCUACCUUCGAGGGCAAUUUGGUGGAGCCGGCGGUCGUGGAGUCGUGGAUCGACUCAAUGGAAACGCUCUUCGAGGACCUAAAUACCUCGGAGAAAGACAAAGUGUAUCUCGCCACCCAUUGUCUAGAGAAGGCGGCGAUGGUGUGGUGGAAGCGAGUUAAGCGGGAUCGACCUACCGAUAUUCCGCUUAUGCUUUGGGAGGAGUUCAAGAGAGCAGUCUUCGCGAACUACUUCCCCGACACGGUGAAGCGGAGGUUGCAAGAGAAGUUUCACAAGUUGCGACAGGGCGACCGAUCGGUGGGAGAAUAUGAGCAAGAGUUCUCCCACAUUAUCGACUGUGUUUCCGAUGUUGUUAGAGAUGAUCGGGACAGGGCUGAUUGGUUCUUGCGAGGACUCCAGCCGAGGAUUUAUGAAAAGGUGCAGAUCCUGAAGCUGAUGACCUUUGCGGAGGUCUUCGAUAGAGCUUUAUGGGCAGAGCACGGUAGCGCCCAUGUGCGUGAAGAAAGGGAGGCUAUGGCCGAAAGCAAAGAAAAAGGCAAGAUGUCACGCCCCGAGCCCGAUCCUUUUUGGCCGGUUCGAGAACGUCAAACAGACGCCGAAUGGACAGAGCUUCCCCUGUCCGCCCAAGGCUCAACACUAGUAUCAAUAGAGUACAAAUUUGCAUAAGCGGAAGCAUACACAAUGGCUUGCACGAGGGCAAGCAAUAGCCAAGGGAAAGAAUUAGCAAUUCAAUACACAAGUAAUAUGACUAAUUUAAAUCACAUACAUGCAUCAUUUCUUCUUUUUUUUUUACACCUCAUUUCUCCCAAAAUAUAACUUUUGACAUUUAAAGUAAAUAUUCUUUACAUCAUUCAUUAAAGCAAGUUCAUAAUACUAAAAUCAUCAAAUACAAAAGAUGAUAGUAAAGGGUGUGCAACUACAAAAUGAAAUCCAUCUCGGGCGGUCUCUACCUAGGGCGCGAUGCCCUUACCGCGAUCAUCUGCCGGCUCGCUCGGUCCCGGCUCUGUGGAAAUAGUGGGGUGAGAACUACAACAAAGUUCCCAGUGGGUUCGGCAACCAACCACGCCGACUAUCCCACUAGGUCUAAUCAGGCAUAAUAGAAGAAAGAAUAGAUAAUAACCAACUAACAAAUGCAGCUAAUAUGCCUGAACAAUAAAUAAAACUAUGCUCGAUAGAAUGCUCAUGAUGAAUGCAAGAUUAACUUUUCAUUACCCAAUCUCAUGGCUAGCCCGUAGGUUUCGCCCUCACAAACUCACCAACCCAAAUCCCUAUUGUCGGGGAGAUAACCGCUACAACCCGACGGGACCGCCCUCUGGGGAGAUAACCGCUACGACCCAGUGAUGACAACUCCGGAGCACAUCGCCCGAGGGGGAGCUACCGCCCUCGAGCAAGGACUAUUAGGUGAGUACGAUCAAUCCUUAACUUUAAGGAUUUUAAGUUCAAUCCAUUCCUUGACUUCAAGGAGAACCAUGUACAUAUGACCCUUAAUUCUAAGGUGUUUAUGUCAUAAUGUCACUACUUGUUCUUGUUCUUUGUCAAUGAUGCCACACUUGUUUUCUAAGUCCUCUAGACUCAUCAAUGUCACUUGCUAAAUCUAUGUCAACAUGUCACAUUUGUUUACUAACCCUUCUAGGUUCUUGUCCCUUGUCAUGCAUAUAUAGGGUUACCAAUUCUCAUUCAUUUACUACUAUUUCUCAAGCAUUAGAACUCAUAUCAUGCAAAGAAAAUUUACAAUUAACCCUACUAUGCAACAUGCUCAAUAUAAAUACAUAUGCUCAAAUAUGACGCUUUAGACAUAAAGGGAUUUCCGAUGUCCUUGGAAUGCACCACCCACCUUAGAUGGUCACAAGGAUGCUACGGUGAAUUUCUUGGAAUUUUUGAAGCCCUAGUCCGCGUGCUGCGGCUAUCUGUACGGAAAAUGACGUUUUUGUUAAUAACUUUGCGUACACUCGUCGGAUUGUCGAACCGAGCGUUCCAACGCGUUUAAAAUACCCUCAAUUAGGUUUCUACAUGAUCAAAAUAGAUCAAAACCCAACUUGGGCAAAACCCCUCUUUGGGAUGCCCUAACAUGUUAUUUUUGCAUUUCUCCGAGAUUGAUCUCAUUCCUAAGCAAAAGAUAGCUUAGAUUCACAUGGGAAGCUCUCUAAUAAGGUUUCUAAGCUUUUAGAACCAUCCCUAGGGCAUCUACUUUGAGCCCUAGUGAUCCACCAUGAGAGGGGUCUAAGAAAUCCAUGUUUUUCAUGGAGUCAUGGUCCUUAGAGGAUUUCCUCACUUGUAGAGAGAUCAAAACCCAAAAAUCUAAGGUCUAAACCCAAACCCUAAACUCAUUUUUGCAUAAGGACUCACCUUUGCCCAAGCUCCACCAAAGCCUACUUGUUGGAGAGCUUCUAGGACCACCAAAGCCACCAAAAUCCACUUCUCCAAGCUCUUCUCCACCUUCUCCAAGCUCUAGGGCUUGCUUUCUAGAGAGAGAAAGAGAGGAAAAUGAGAGAGAGGGUGAAAUGGGUGUUGGCUGUGAGGGGAAGGGGUAUUGGGCUAUUAACAUGUUGUAACAUUUGCCAAAAAACCCUCCCAAUCUUUAUAUUUUGCAGCAGACCUCGUUUUGCUGUCGGGCCCAAAGUGUACCGGUACACUUUUUCGUGUCACCGGUUACACGACUACGCAGAGGCAAACCCGAGAGCAGAUCUGUCAGUUUCGCCCAAAGUGUACCGGUACACUUUUUCGUGUCACCGGUUUCAGCAUGUGUAACCGGUGACAGGUCGCUUGCUGUACCGGUACACAUUGCUCCAGACCUGAUUUUGGUUCCGUUUCGAUUCUAUUUUGCGCCGAUCGAUGCCAAAACCCUUCUAACACUUCUAGAACUCAUUUUUAACCCUCCCAACAGUGUUGGUAGGUUAAUUGGAACUCGCCCAAUUAAUCCAUUCGCGCACUUUAGUCAGUUUGCCUAAAGUUCGUCAUUUUUAUCUAGGUUUCAAUACGUUACACAAGAAGCGGACGGCGGCCGGUGCUUGGGGCCGGCCAAAUGCUAAGAAACCCCCUCGGUAUCCCCGACAGCAGGCGAGGAACUGGAGACCUCCUCGAUGCGUCAUUUGUGGCGGAGAGCACUGAAUGUCGACUUGCACGCAGCGAGAUGGCAAAUGUUUCAAGUGUGGCCAGCCGGGACAUCUUAUCCGGGAGUGCCCGACGUGGACGUCGUCUGCGCCGACCGCGGCAUCAGCACCGUCUACCCCGAGACAGCUUGCGGGGUUGCCACCAGCAAUGUCGGCUGGGCGCGCGUCAUCACCGCGUCAGCCGGAGGGAUCGAGAGCGCCUAGCAGCCGAGUCUUUGCCGCUCAGGUGGAGGAGCAGCAACCUGCAGCACCCGACGACGUCGUGGUAGGUAUAAUUGUAAUUAAAGGCACUAGAGCUAGAGCAGUGUUUGAUAUAGGCGCAUCUCAUUCAUUCAUUAGCACAUCAUUUGCUAAAACUCAUGGCAUAGAGAUGGUGUACAAUGAGGAUUACUGGUGGGUGAACGCCCCAGAACAUUCGUUCAGUGUCCACAAUGAGUGUUUGGCGUGUCCAGUGCAAAUAGGCGAUUGGAUUAUGCCGAUUGAUCUGCUAAUGCUAGAUCAGAUGUGGGGAUUCGAUGUUAUCUUGGGGACCAACUGGCUCUCUAAGUACUACGCGGUUAUAGAUUAUGAAAGCAAGGUGAUCACUUUUCGUGAGCCUAACCAAGAAGAAUUGGUCUACCAAGCGUGCAAAAGUAGAUGCUUCGCGGCGACCAUAUCGUCAGUAAGGGCCAAAAGAAUGAUCAAAGGAGGGUGUAAGGCCUAUUUGGCAACUAUGGUAGACGCUCGAAAGGAGUACCGUGAGUUGGGGGAUAUUCGAGUAGCGUGCGAGUACCUAGAUGUAUUUCUGGCGGAGUUACCGAGACUGCCACCGGACCGGGAAGUUGAGUUUGUCAUUGACUUGAUUCCCGGGGCGGAACCAGUUUCGAAGGCUCCGUAUAGAAUGGCACCAGUGGAGUUAAAGGAGCUAAAAGGCCAACUACAAGACUUGCUCGAUAAAGGCUUCGUGAGGCCGAGCGUGUCACCGUGGGGAGCUCCAGUGCUAUUUGUGAAGAAAAAGGAUGGCACACUUCGACUCUGCGUAGAUUAUCGCGAGUUGAACAAAGUAACGAUAAAGAACAAGUACCCGUUGCCAAGGAUUGACGACUUAUUCGAUCAGUUGCAAGGGUCCAAGGUGUAUUCGAAGAUUGAUCUCCAAUCAGGGUAUCAUCAACUAAAAAUUAGACCAAAAUAUGUGCACAAAAUGGCGUACCGUACGCGGUAUGGCCAUUAUGAGUUUACGGUAAUGCCGUUUGGGCUUACAAACGCCCUGGCAGCAUUUAUGGACUUGAUGAAUCGAGUCUUCAAGCCGUUAUUGGAUCGAUGCGUCGUGGUGUUUAUAGACGACGUGUUGGUUUACUUAAAGGGUGAAGAGGAGCAUGAAGAGCAUCUGAGAGCUGUGUUGCAAAUACUCAGACAGGAGAAGCUCUAUGCAAAGUUGAAGAAGUGUGACUUUUGGCUAAAGGAGGUCACAUUCUUGGGUCAUGUGGUGUCGGGCGACGGAGUGUCGGUAGACCCGAAGAAAGUAGAGGCAAUAAAGGAUUAGCCUCGCACGACGAAUGUAGCGGAGGUCCGCAGUUUUCUUGGACUUGCGGGCUACUACCGGCGGUUCGUGGAGGGGUUCACCAAAAUAACCACUACACUAACGCGCCUUACGCAUAAAGGAGUAAGGUACGUGUGGAGCGACGAUUGCGAUCAAAUCUUCGAGGAGUUAAAGAACAGGUUGACGUCGACCCCGGUGCUUGCCUUGCCGACUCCGGGGGAGACUUUUGUAGUAUAUAGUGAUGCCUCUUAUGUUGGUCUCGGGUGUGUACUAAUGCAAAAUGGGCGAGUCAUUGCAUAUGCAUCGCGCCAAUUAAAGAGCUAUGAGAAGAACUACCCGAUUCACGACCUCGAGUUAGCCGCGGUGAUCUUCCCGCUGAAGCUUUGGAGGCAUUACUUAUAUGGUGAACAUUGUGAGGUAUACACCGAUAACAAGAGUCUCAAGUACUUAUUCACCCAGAAGGAAUUGAACAUGCGACAGCGGCGGUGGUUGGAGUUGUUGAAGGACUACGAUGUCACUAUACUAUACCACCCCGGGAAAGCCAAUGUCGUGGCUGAUGCUCUGAGUAGAAAAUCGGCGGAGAACUUAGCGAUGGCAAUUACGCCUCAGCCGCUAUUGCAAAAGGAAAUGCAAUGACUUGGGUUGGAAGUGGUGGCGCCGGGAGUGCCGGCUACACUUGCCGCAUUAGUUAUGCAACCGACCCUAUUGGAAAGAAUCAAGGAUCUUCAAGCUUCGGAUCCUCAUCUUCAAAAGGUGCGGAGUGAAGUUGAGAAUGGUAGUGCCGAAGAUUUUGGCAUUGGAGCCGACGGCGCACUUCGAUUUCGAAAUCGAUGGUGUAUGCCUAAAGAUGAUGAGUUACGAAGGGCGAUUAUGCAAGAAGAGCACCAAUCUCCCUAUAGCAUACACCCCGGCGACACUAAAAUGUACAAGAAUCUGAAAGGGCAUUAUUGGUGGCCGGGUAUGAAAAGAGAUAUCGGAGAGUUCGUGGCGCAAUGUUUAACGUGCCAACAGGUAAAAGCAGAGCGCCGAUUUCCUGCGGGAAAGCUACAAAGUCUACCUAUACCCGUUUGAAAAUGGGAAGAUAUAGCGAUGGACUUUGUUACCGGUUUGCCUCGAUCACAAGGCGGACACGAUGCGAUAUGGGUGAUAGUGGAUCGAUUGACAAAGUCGGCACACUUCUUACCGAUACAUACUACGUGGUCGGGAGACAAGUUAGCUCAAGUUUACCUCGACGAGAUUGUGAGACUUCAUAGGGUUCCAGUGUCGAUCAUAUCAGAUCGCGACCCGAGGUUCACGUCUCAUUUCUGGAAGAGCUUACAAGACGCGCUAGGCACACGGCUCGAUUUUAGUACAGCGUUUCAUCCUCAGAGUGAUGGACAGUCGGAGCGAACGAUACAAAUCCUCGAGGACUUGCUUCGAGCAUGUGUGUUAGAUUACAAGGGAGGAUGGCAUGAUUUCUUGCCAAUGGUGGAAUUCGCCUAUAAUAACAGUUAUCAAGAAAGCAUAGCGAUGGCGCCAUUUGAGGCACUGUAUGGUCGGAAGUGUCGUUCUCCUAUCCAUUGGAGCGACGUGGGCGAGAGAACGGCUCUUGGCCCGGAUGUGGUACGGAAGGCGGAAGAAAAAGUUCGUCUUGCUCGUCAACGGUUAGCGACGGCGCAAUCUCGGCAAAAGAGUUAUGCCGACAAGCGAAGGAAAGACUUAGAGUUCGCGGUUGGAGACCGCGUAUUUUUAAGAGUAUCGUCGAUGCGAGGAGUCAAACGAUUUGGGGUCCGUGGGAAGCUAAGUCCCCGUUAUGUUGGACCAUUUGAGAUAUUAGAGCGUGUGGGUACGGUAGCGUACAAGCUAGCACUACCACCGAGACUCGCGGGAGUUCACAACGUGUUUCAUGUGUCAAAUCUUCGAAAGUAUAUUCGCAAUUCGACACAUGUAUUGGAGUACGAGCCCGUGGAGUUACGUGAGGAUAUGUCGUAUGACGAGUACCCGGUGUGCAUCCUCGAUCGAGAAGAAAGGAAGCUGCAGAGUCGCAGAAUUCCGUAUGUGAAGGUCCAAUGGAGAAACCAUGCUGUGCGAGAAGCCACUUGGGAGCUCGAGGAAACCAUGCUGAGAGAGUAUCCGCAUCUAUUUGAGUCGACGAGUUAAGGUAUGUGUAAUUUCGAGGACGAAAUUAUUUUAAGGGGUGGAGAAUGUAAUAUACCGAGAAUUCGGAAAAUAAAUAUCGAACUUUAGUCAAAUCGACCAAAGUGCGAGGAUGGUACACUUCGGAAAGUCCGAAGAUGUUAAGGUGAUCAAAAGUGCAAUGUGUUAAGGUGAUCAAAAGUCCAGAGCUCGGCCAAGCAGGCUGCAAGGAGCAGCGGCGGCCGCGGCGGCGCGAGGAGGCGGCGGCGGUCGGCGGGGAGGCUCACUAGGGGACAGGGGCAACACCGGCAAGGGCCUGGAGGCAAGGCAGCCUCGGCCUGGCUCCAACCCGAGAGAGGGAGAGAGAGAGAGAUGAAGAGAGAGGAAGAAGAUGGCUCCGGCGGCUGGCCGGCCGGCCGGGGCUCAGUCGGCGGCGGCCUGGGCGUGCGCAGCAGGGCAGGGAAGAGGGAUGGAGGUGGCAGGGGGCGGCUAGGGCAGCAAGGUUAGGGUUUCCAAGGUGAAACCCUAGAACAAGCUUAUAUACAAAGGUGCAACUUUGCAAAUAAGUCCGCCAAAACUUAGACUUAUGAACUAAGUCCUCCACAGCACGUGUAAAACACGCGAAUACCCCUCCACGCGCGAUCUCACGCGAAACGCUACAUAAAAUGUCGCGACUUUUGCGAAAUUACCGAUUUGCNNNNNNNNNNNNNNNNNNNNNNNNNNNNNNNNNNNNNNNNNNNNNNNNNNNNNNNNNNNNNNNNNNNNNNNNNNNNNNNNNNNNNNNNNNNNNNNNNNNNGAUCUAGAUAUAUUGAUAUCUAAUGGCCGAAGGCGGUAACAUUAAUCGACCACCACUCUUCGAUGGCACGAAUUAUGCCUAUUGGAAAGUUCGCAUGAGAGCUUUUCUAAUCGCAAUCAAUGACCGGGUAUGGAAAGCUAUUGAAUUCGGAUGGAAACAUCCUACCGAAGUUGUCGAUGGUGCUACCGUCUCUAAACAACGAAACAAGUGGACAAAAGAUAAAAAUGAGUCAUCUUCGUUUAACGGUAAAGGAAUUAAUGAUUUAUUCAACGCUUUAUCGCAAACGGAGUUUACUCGGAUUUUGGCAUGCGAAACGGCCAAGGAAAUUUGGGAUACUCUACAAAUUACACAUGAGGGUACUAGUUUAGUAAAAAUUCAAAAGCUCCAAAUGUUGACUAGUCAAUUUGAUUCUAUUCGUAUGGAGGAGCAUGAAUCUUUUACCGAUUACUACACUAGGCUUCAAGAUAUCAUUAAUACAUGUGCUAAUUUGGGAGAGAAAAUUUCGGAUUCUAAAGUUGUUCGUAAAAUUCUUCGAACUCUUCCGGAACGUUUUCGGGCUAAAGUAGCCGCGAUCGAAACGGUCAAACAUCUGGACGAGAUGAAAGUCGAGGAAUUAGUAGGUGCUUUACAAACUUACGAAAUGACCUUUCCUACUAAUCAAUCUUCUUCCAAGUCUUCUUCUAAAAGCAUAGGUGUUGCAUUGAAAUCUACAAAGGAGAAGGACGAAGACUCGAGUUCCGACGAUGAUUUAUCAAUUGCGGACUUUGAACAACAAUUGGCGCUUCUUACGAAGAAGUUUCGUCGAAAUUUCCGGAACAAGAAUAGAUUGGACAAGGCUUCAUCAUCUACGCGACAAUCUUUGUCUAAAUCAUCUUCAUCUUCAAAGUCUAAGGAUAAAAACCGUGCAAAGUCCUCAAAGGAAAAGGAUGUAUUUGAAGGCAAGAUCCAAUGCUUCAAGUGCAAAGGCUACGGCCACAUUGCGACGGAUUGUCCUUCAAAGAAGACGUAUAGACAAAAGGCUAUGCAAGCAAAGACGUGGGAUGAUUCAACAUCAAGUGAAUCAUCGUCAAGUGACGAAGAAAAGAAUGAUCAAAUUGCUUUAUUUGCUAAUACUCCUUCGUCGAAUGUUGUGUGUUUAUCCUCUUUUGCUACUAAUUCCAAUAUUUCUCUUUCUUCACAUGAUUCUUCGAGCAACAAUGGCGAAAGUGAGGAGGAAUCACACGAAGACGACAUAGCGGAAGCGUACAAUCAACUUCUCAUUGACUCAAAGAAAAUGGCUAAACUCAAUAAGAAGUUGAGACGUUGUUUGUUGGAACUUGAGGAGGAAAACAACAACAUGAAGACUUUGAAUAAGAUUCUUGAGGAGGAAAGGNNNNNNNNNNNNNNNNNNNNNNNNNNNNNNNNNNNNNNNNNNNNNNNNNNNNNNNNNNNNNNNNNNNNNNNNNNNNNNNNNNNNNNNNNNNNNNNNNNNNNNNNNNNNNNNNNNNNNNNNNNNNNNNNNNNNNNNNNNNNNNNNNNNNNNNNNNNNNNNNNNNNNNNNNNNNNNNNNNNNNNNNNNNNNNNNNNNNNNNNNNNNNNNNNNNNNNNNNNNNNNNNNNNNNNNNNNNNNNNNNNNNNNNNNNNNNNNNNNNNNNNNNNNNNNNNNNNNNNNNNNNNNNNNNNNNNNNNNNNNNNNNNNNNNNNNNNNNNNNNNNNNNNNNNNNNNNNNNNNNNNNNNNNNNNNNNNNNNNNNNNNNNNNNNNNNNNNNNNNNNNNNNNNNNNNNNNNNNNNNNNNNNNNNNNNNNNNNNNNNNNNNNNNNNNNNNNNNNNNNNNNNNNNNNNNNNNNNNNNNNNNNNNNNNNNNNNNNNNNNNNNNNNNNNNNNNNNNNNNNNNNNNNNNNNNNNNNNNNNNNNNNNNNNNNNNNNNNNNNNNNNNNNNNNNNNNNNNNNNNNNNNNNNNNNNNNNNNNNNNNNNNNNNNNNNNNNNNNNNNNNNNNNNNNAUGUAGUGCAUUGAUAGGUGCUUGUUGCAUAAUUUUAUUCGUUGCAUUACAUGUUUAAAUGAUUUUUGGUGCUUUGAAUUUUGUUUGUUUAAAAAUCGGUUUGAAGAAAGGUAUUUGGGGAUUUCAAAAUCUUUGAGAAAGGAGAUGAUUGAGAAUCAUUUUUUAUGAGAGAUUUUUUUAAGAUUGUUUAAACGGUAUUUAAAUUCACAAACAUAUUAAGUUAAAUUCAUAUUAAUUAUCGGUUUUACUCAACUUUUUAUUAUUUUGACGAUAAAUUAAUAUAUGAUUUCUUAAUGCAUAAAUUCAUCAAAAUUUUGAAAUCAAAUUUGAUUUCUUGGUGAUUGAUUCAUCUUGGUUGUGAGUGUUGGAUAUGAUGAAUGGAUAUUCUCUAAUUGACUAAAAUUCGUCAAAAUUACUUUCAACUGUGAGAUUGUCUAAUUUAGGGGGAGUUUGAAAUUGUUUAAAAUUUAAAAAAAAAGGGGGAGAAAAAGAUACUCCUAUGUUUGAAAAGAUGUGGAAAGAGUUACAUUCAAAAGGAGUGUGAAAACUACCACCACAUGUAGGAAAGAGCUACCACCCCGGUCGUCCGGCAAGUGUGUGAAACUACCAUAUGAAGAUUAAUUGAGAAGCAUAAAAGGAUGAAAAAAAAUAAAAUGAAUAUUUUAGAUUUUUCGGAGUAAUAAGGUGUUAGUUUGAAAAAGAUGCUCAAAGAGCCAGCCCCGGUACCGUAUUGGUUAAAUCUCUAUUUUGAACAUGUUACGACAAAUUGGUGUCAAUUUUAUUGAAUUUCUAAAAAUCAUUUUUCAUCAACUUACGUCUUGAUGGUUUUGAAUUAUUAAAUAAUUUUUGAUAAUGAAAUUUUGAUGUUUUGAUGGAUUUUAAAAUUUUAUAAUAUCUUAUUUUCAUUAUAAUAAUUUUUGGAGUAAAAGCCUUAAUUUAUAUGAAAUUAAUUUGAAUUUGAUGGAUUUUUAAAGAAAAUUUUCGAAAUCUGAGAUCGUGUACCGGUACACAAUCCAGUACCGGUACGGGUACUGUAGCCGCGGAUAUAUAUCCGAUUACAGAGCUAUUGUUCUCUCUCUAAUCUAAACCAAACCUCGAUUUCUCUCUCUCUAAAAAUCUCUGGAGCCUUCCUCUUGCAGAUCUACACGUUUUCCCUUAGAAAUUUGUGAGUAUUUAGCUUGGAUUUAAUCGUUUCAUCGCGUUCAUGUUUAUUUUUCGUAAAAUUUCGAGUUCAUGCAUAGAUCUCUGUUUUUGAUCGUUUUUGAUGCAAUUUUUUGCUGUAGAUCAGUGCUUAAGGACAUUAUCUUGCUUCUAGAAAACUUGAAUCACAUCUAAACACGUUAUUUUUCGCCGAUCAAUGUUCUAAGCUUCAUUUUUCAUGUAAUUUCGGGAUUUUUGUAAAAUGUCAUUUUUUGACGAAAUUUUUUGCAUGAUCUGGUUAGAAAUAGCAUUUGUAUGUAUUCUAAUGUUAUUAGAAAUUUUUUCGCUAUUUUUACAGAUUUUUUUUAAGAUUUUGUUCAUGCGAGGUUAAUUUUUGUAUAGGAAAAAUGGCGUUUUCAUUCGUAUUGCUGAUUUUGGUGCUGAUGGCUACGAGACGUGGUCGAGGUGGUGGUAGAGGUCGUCGAGGGGCCUCUAAGCGGGCACGUACAACGGAAGAGGCGUCCGGGUCUGAUCCGGAUUAUCAGGAAAGCUUUCCUGAAGAGGCAGAAGAACCUGUUGGUGCUCUUGAUAAGGGCAAAGGAAUAGUUGGCGAAUCCUCACGUGGCGGUGGUUCUCGUGCAAGAGAAACUCGGUCGAAGCAUGCUGCGGAUGUUCCUCCUGAGCGACGAAGGAUGUACAUGAGCAAGUCUUGCAUUGCGGAGCGUUAUGUUAACUUCAGUGAUCUUAUACAUGACGUUCCUGACUUUGGACGACUACUUCAGUGGGUUCCUAUUGAGCCAGUUGGUAGGGUUCCUGCUCGGGCUCCUUUUUGUGUGGAACUCAUUCGUGAGUUCUAUAUGAACGGGAAGGUACUUGCAGAAGACGAGGAGACCGGGACUUAUCUUUUUGAGACAGUCGUCCGACAGCAGAGGGUCGUCGUUACCCCAUAUACUAUUGGAGAGCUUCUGGGGAUGAAUGUGGACACGACGGGUCUUCUUUAUACUUCAAGAGGAUUUCAGUCAUCAUCUCACUGGGAUAUCGUUGUAGCAGCUAUCUGCAAAGCUGGUGUGCAAACGAAUCGUGCUUAUGUAGAGUCCAAGGAUUUGCGACCAGAGUAUCAUCUACUGUCCUUGGUCUUGAGCUACAAUGUGCAACCAACGAUUGGAACAAAGAGAAUUCGUUGGGAUCGUUUGCUUCUACUGUUUCUACUUGGUCACCCGGGGCAAGCAUCUGGACUGAACAUCAACAUUCCCUUUCUGAUGUGGCAGCGGAUGAUUCAUGUUAUUCAGGCUUCUGCUCGUCGAGAUUUACUUCCAUUUCCUCUUUUGAUCACACGGAUUCUACAGGACAAUGGAGUGGAUGUUUCUUGUGACAAGUAUGAUUUUGGUCUUGGUCCAAUUGAUGCUGUUACUUGGGCCAAGUCAGUCAGCAUUCUAAAGACGUUCCAGCAAGCAAAAGGACCAUCUCGAGCAGCUCCUAGCCAGGCACCUCCACCACGUGCAGAGCGAGAAGGAUCUUCCAGUUCAGGGGGAGAAUCACUUCGCCAUGAAGUGCGAUCUUUAAAGAAGAAAGUGGCUGAUCUCGCUAGAAAGGUGGAAGUGGGUAUGAAGAGGAUGAUGGACAAGUUGGGCUGUCGACAUGACGAUAUCUUCCCUCCUCAGCCUGCCUAUACUAGGUCUACUUCACGACAUCCUCUUAUCCCUCCGUCUACUGGAGCUUCAGGUGCAGGAGGUUCUGGAGCUGCCGCUGGAGAUGAUGAUGAUGAUGAUGACGAGGACACGGAGUGAUCUCUUCCUUGCACUUAGUCUUGCUACUUUACUAUGUUUACUUUUUAGGACGAUGUUUUAGUUUUGUUUGCUUGUCUUUUCUUUGCAUGUUUUUAUUUUUGUUUAGGCCUGUAUCUAUGACUAGACUACUCUUCUGCUUUUUAGUAUGUUUUCUCUAUUUAUUUGCUUUAUUUUGGCAAUUUUUGACAAAAAGGGGGAGAGAGUAGAUGAACAGGGGAGAGCAUGGAUGAGCAUGGAUGAACAGGCAAUGAACUAAGCUGAGGAUGAUGAGUUCAAGAACAAAGGGGGAGAUGUGAUCGAGAUGUGAACAAAGGGGGAGAAGGUAUAAGAAUUUAAGGUUAAUCAUUUUUUAAUGAAUUGUUUUGCAGGAAAUCAAGACUUCAAGACUCCUAAUUGCGUUUAAGUCAUAGAGUCUAUUUUAGGAGUUUUUGUUGUAAUUUUGAGUUUCAAAUUGUAUUUGGAUUACACGCGAGGAGUUCAAUGUUUUGGUGAUGACAAUUGAACUUCGUUUUUCUUUAUGAUGUAAUUUUUGAGUUUUGUGAGUUUUGUCACGAAAUUGCCAAAGGGGGAGAUUGUUAAGGACUUUGUAUUGGCAAAUUUCGUGAAGUGAAUCGGAGUCUUGAAGGAUCGAAGCGGAUUGAUGAAGAUUGAAGAAUUCAAGAUUUCGAAGAUUGUGAAAAAUUGCUCACAAUGUGAAUCACGACGUAAAGGUAGAGUUUUAAUUCAUGUUACUGGUGAUUCAUACUUAGUUAUAGGCAUUAGAAUCAUAAACUCAAAGUUUAAUGGAUUAGAAAGUGCCUCGGAACGUUGUGAAACCCGAAACAGUGCAAAGGCUGAAAUUUGCACUGUGUACGGGUACACAUGAAAGUGUCACCGGUUACACACUGUGUACGGGUACACAUUGAAAGUGUACCGGUACAAAAUCUGUACCGGUACAGCAAGCGACUUGUCACCGGUUACAGCAUUACGCAGGUUUUUCGUUCCGUCAUCGUGUAACCGGUGACAGCCUAAAGUGUACCGGUACACAGUGUAAAAUCGUGAAAACUUUCUAAUCCGACUCCAAUUGAUUCUAAAGUCUAUAAAUAAGCUAUUGGGCUUCUCUAACACAUCAAGCAUCAUAAGAAUACAUGUUUGAGAAACCCUAGAGGCUCGGAUUUCAUUCUAAACCUAUUUUCUACAAAUUAGCCUCUUUAGAUCAAAUCGAGAUAUCGUUUCGCAUUCUCUAUAUGUCGAUUUGAUCUCCGCUUCGCUUGGAGUUCUAUUCCCUGGUUUUCUACGAUACUCCUAAGCGAAGGAUCACCAUAAUCAUGAUGCUCUUCAUGAACGGCGUCGUGGAUUCGGCGUGAACAAAGGCGGUUCGUGGAUUCGGAUCGUUGGCUCGUGGAUUCGAGUGGCGUCGUGGAUUCGGCGUGAUUGAAGCUUCGUGGAUUCGAAGUGGAGGCGUUCGUGGAUUCGAACGUGAGGGCGUGGACAACCCGGAGGGUAGCGCGAAGAUUCAUAGGAGGUUAAGAGAGGUUGAGUCCGUGGAGUCGGUAAUCACCUUGUAAUCUUUUCUCUUAGUGAAUUAUUUUUUCGCGUGUUGGUCCCGUGGGUUUUUCUCCAAGUUGGAGUUUUCCCACGUAAAUCUCGGUGUGCUUUUUAUUUUCCGCAUUUAUUUUUAUUGCAUCGAGAUUUGUGGUUUUUGGCCGUUACACCUAUUCACCCCCCUCUAGGUGAUAGAUACAAUCUAGAUAGAUCCUUGGGCUCCUCAAAACUUUCAAUAUUGGCCUUGCUUUAACCUCCUCGCCUUUACGUAGAGAACAUUCGCACUCUCUGGAGUGUAUUAUUUGCUAGGAGCCCAUUGGCCCUACUCUCAUCUCAUACAGUUUCUUAAUUUCUUGCAGAUAUUUAUUCUUAUCGUUGGAUUCUAAUGUUUUUCUGUCUGUACUGUCUGUUUCAUGGUAGAGCGGAGCACCAAAUUGCCCAAAGCAAAUGAAACAUUCCAGAUAGUGCGAAUCAACCUUAACGCCUCGUUGCUGAAUCGAUCGUACCCUUCCGAUCGAACCUCCUCCUCCUCCUAGCAGUCUCCUUCGGCAGUCUCCUUUGGCCAAUACCUGUUUGCGUCGGCUAUUUGAUCAUGGAUUUGCAGAUAAACUUCGAUGAUUACAUAAUCAAUCUUAUGAAGAGAUUGUUAUAGUUGAUGUAAUAGAUGGUUGCAUUGUGAUAAAAUCAUGUUUGUAUUUUAUUAAGUACUAUAAAAUCAUGUAAUCGGCUUUACAGAUAAUGUAAUUCUAGUUCACAGAUUAAUGUACUCCUUACGAAUUUGUUACACUAUUUACAAGUUACUCUUUUUUAUCAAACAUUGUUGCACUGUUUACUUCAUUUUAUAAUAUUAAUUUCAGCUUUUUUGCACUAUUAUGUUCAUGUUUUCAUCUAGCCUAGGAAACGUUAAUAAGGAAUUGUACUAUUAUGUUAUUGUUAUCAACUAGCUUGGGAAACGUUAAUAUGAAACUGCGGAAGCCAUAUUUAAACAAAACCAAAGUAUGUUUGAAUAGUCGCUUUUACUUUUCCCGAGGCAGCUUCGAUAUAACCGCCGGUGUCUCCUAUCCUCACAGAAGAGACGCUAUAAAGUAGACGUUACGCUACGUACUUUUAGAAGCAUUAAAUGCAUGCUGCGCUGGGAGCGUAUAUCCACGCUAUUCGCCAGAACAUGUGUUUGCUCUUCCAUGAGUCCAUUAUACUAUUAUGUUGACAUAGUUGCACCCUUAUGAACUUUGUUCUACUAUUUUACCCUACGUUGCAUUAUUAACCGCGUUGCGAACUGUUUCCUUUCGCCUCACCGGAGAGACACUAUAACGUACACGUUACUGUACAUAUGCUUCAGCAAGCAUUAAAUGCGCCCCUGCGCAUUUAACGUAAUAUUCCACGCUCUUCGACACACCGAGUGUUUGCUGUUUAGAAUCUUCUCCGACGCCUCCGCUUCCUGAAAUCCUUGAACUAUUCUAUUGACCACAUUGCACCAUUACAAUCACCGUUGUAGUCUUUUAACCUACGUUGCACUAUUAAUCGCUGUGCGCGUCGCACGGUUAAUCCCUGUCGUAUUUUAAUGCUAGUGGCAGGCACGAAGAAUGACGUGUACGUUAUAUUUGGUUAAGUGAGGAGAAGAGGCACCGGCGGGUUUGUCAGCCGACGAUUCGUUUUGUUUAAAUAUCAGUUCUUCAGAUGCAUCUUCCUUUACGGAGACAUAACCUUUGGUGAAGGAGGUGAAUCGACAACGGCGUUCCCUGCAAGAGGAAGCGCAGCGCCGAAGUACGAGAUGGAGCCUCCUCCUACUCCGCCGCGCCGCUUCCUCCUGCCGGGAACGCCAUUCAUCGCCUUCGCAUCCUUGACCAAUAGUUGCGUCGCCUUAACCUCGUCGCCUUUACGAAGAGAUGAGUCGCUGCAGGCGCCACAACGACUGGUACCAGGCUACAGUUUGUCCAUGACGUUUAGGCAACGACGGUAGAUGGCCGAAGCAGAGUUCGAGAAGUAGGCAGCUCGCUCCGAAGGGAGCCGAAGCAGAGUUCGUGGAGUAGGCGGCUCGCUCCGAAGGGUACCAUCCAGCAAUGAGGCGUUAAGAUUGAUUCGCACUAUCUGGAGUGUUUUAUUUGCCACAAGCCCAUUGGCCCUCCUCUCAUACAGGUUCUUAUAUUCCUGUAGAUCUUUAUUGUUAUUGAUGGAUUCUUAUGUUAUGCUGAUUGAACUGUCUGUUUCAUGGUAGAGCGGAGCUUCAAAGGGCUUGAGGCAAAUAAAGCACUCCAGAUAGUGUAAAUCAAUCUUAACGCCUCGUUGCUAGAUCUACCCUUCCGAACGACCUUCCUCCUAGUUGCAGUCUCCUUCGGCAGUCUCCUCCUCGCAGUCUCCUCUUAGCAAUCUCCUCCUCGGAGUCUCCUGCGGAAGUCUCCCCUGGCCUGUACCUGUUACCUUAGGCUAUGUGCGCAUGAAAUUGCAGACAAACUUCGAUGAUUACAUAUUUCUGUUAAAUAAUUAUAUUAUGUUUAGUUUGUUACAGUUGAUGUAAUAGAAUUUUGCAUUGUAGGCAAAUUCUUUUUGUAUUUUGCAAACUUCUAUAAAAUCGUGUACUUGGCUUUAAAGAAAAAGUAAUUCUUGUUCACAAAUUAAUGUACUCCUUAGGAAUUUGUUACACUAUUUAUCAGUUACAAUAUUUACUAAACAAUGUUGCACUGUUUACAUCAUAGUAUAAUAUAAAUUUCGACCAUUUUUGCACUAUUAUGUUCAUGUUAACACCAAUUCUGUGAAAAUUUUGUGCUANUAAUAUUUUUCUGUCUGUACUGUCUGUUUCAUGGUAGAGCGGAGCUCCAAAUUGCCCAAAGCAAAUGAAACAUUCCAGAUAGUGCGAAUCAACCUUAACGUCUCGUUGCUGAAUCGAUCGUACCCUUCCAAUCGAGCCUCCUCCUCCUCCUAGCAGUCUCCUUCGGCAGUCUCCUUUGGCCAAUACCUGUUUGCAUCGGCUAUUUGAUCAUGGAUUUGCAGAUAAACUUCAAUGAUUACAUAAUCAAUCUUAUGAAGAGAUUGUUAUAGUUGAUGUAAUAGAUGGUUGCAUUGUGAUAAAAUCAUGUUUGUAUUUUAUUAAGUACUAUAAAAUCAUGUAAUCGGCUUUACAGAUAAUGUAAUUCUAGUUCACAGAUUAAUGUACUCCUUACGAAUUUGUUACACUAUUUACAAGUUACUCUUUUUUAUCAAACAUUGUUGCACUGUUUACUUCAUUUUAUAAUAUUUCAGCUUUUUUGCACUAUUAUGUUCAUGUUUUUAUCUAGCCUAGGAAACAUUAAUAAGGAAUUGCACUAUUAUGUUAUUGUUAUCAACUAGCUUGGGAAACGUUAAUAUGAAACUGCGGAAGCCAUAUUUAAACAAAACCAAAGUAUGUUUGAAUAGUCACUUUUACUUUUCCCGAGGUAGCUUCGAUAUAACCGCCGGUGUCUCCUAUCCUCACAGAAGAGACGCUAUAACGUAGACGUUACGCUACGUACUUUUAGAAGCAUUAAAUGCGCGCUGCGCUGGGAGUGUAUAUCCACACUAUUCGCUAGAACAUGUGUUUGCUGUUCCAUGAAUCCAUUAUACUAUUAUGGUGACAUAGUUGCACCCUUAUGAACUUUGUUCUACUAUUUUACCCUACGUUGCACUAUUAACCGCGUUGCGAACCGUUUCCUUUCGCCUCACCGGAGAGACACUAUAACGUACACGUUACUGUACAUACGCUUCCGCAAGCAUUAAAUGCGCCCCAGCGCAUUUAACGUAAUAUUCCACGCUAUUCGACACACCGAGUGUUUGCUGUUUGGAAUCUUCUCCGACGCCUCCGCUUCCUGAAAUCCUUGAACUAUUUUGUCGACCAUAUUGCACCAUUACAAUCACCGUUGUAGGCUUUUAACCUACGUUGCACUAUUAAUCGCCGUGCGCGUCGCACGGUUAAUCCCUGUCGCAUUUUAAUGCUAGUGGCAGGCACGAAGAAUGACGUGUACGUUAUAUUCGGUUAAGUGAGGAGAAGAGGCACCGGCGGGUUUGUCAGCCGACGAUUCGUUUUGUUUAAACAUCGGUUCUUCAGAUGCAUCUCCCUUUAUGGAGACACAACCUUUGGUAAAGGAGGUGAAUCGACAAUGGCAUUCCCUGCAAGAGGAAGCACAGUGCCGAAGUACGAGAUGGAGCCUCCUCCUACUCCGCCGCGCCGCUUCCUCCUGCCGGGAACGCCGUUCCUCGCCUUCGCAUCCUUGACCAAUAGUUGCGUCGCCUUAACCUCGUCGCCUUUACGAAGAGAUGAGUCGCCGCAGGCGCCACAACGACCGGUACCAGGCUACAGUUCGUCCAUGACGUUUAGGCAACGACGGUAGAUGGCCGAAGCAGAGUUCGAGAAGUAGGCGGCUCGCUCCGAAGGGAGCCGAAGCAGAGUUCGUGGAGUAGGCGGCUCGCUCCGAAGGGUACCAUCCAGCAACGAGGCGUUAAUAUUGAUUCACACUAUCUGGAGUGCUUUAUUUCCCACGAGCCCAUUGGCCCUCCUCUCAUACAGAUUCUUAAAUUCUUGUAGAUCUUUAUUGUUAUUGAUGGAUUCUUAUGUUAUGCUGAUUGAGCGGAGCUCCAAAGGGCUUGAGGCAAAUAAAACACUCCAGAUAGUGCAAAUCAAUCUUAACGCCUCGUUGCUAGAUCUACCCUUCCGAACGACCUUCCUCCUAGUUGCAGUCUCCUUCGGCAGUCUCCUCCUCGCAGUCUCCUCCUCGCAGUCUCCUCUUAGCAAUCUCCUCAUCGCAGUCUCCUGCAGAAGUCUCCCCUGGCCUAUACCUGUUACCUUAGGCUAUGUGCGCGUGGAAUUGCAGACAAGCUUCGAUGAUUACAUAUUUCUGUUAAAUAAUUAUAUUAUGUUCAGUUUGUUAUAGUUGAUGUAAUAGAAUUUUGCAUUGUAGGCAAAUUCUUUUUGUAUUUUGCAAACUUUUAUAAAAUCAUGUACUCGGCUUUAAAGAAAAUAUAAUUCUUGUUCACAAAUUAAUGUACUCCUUAGGAAUUUGUUACACUAUUUACUAGUUACAAUAUUUACUAAACAAUGUUGCACUGUUUACAUCAUAGUAUAAUAUAAAUUUCGACCAUUUUUGCACUAUUAUGUUCAUGUUAAUACCAAUUCUGUGAAAAUUUUGUGCUACAUAACGUACUGUUACACGCUUUAGCGGAGAAUCUUGAACUCUUUUGAUCUGAGUUACACCACUUAAAGACUUCUUUAAAUAUAAAUUUCAUUUCACCCCACCUUGCGUUGCACUAUUCUCGGCGUUUAAAGUUGCAGAAUUUUUAUACGUUGUAUCCACCUCUCCAACGCACCCUUACAAGCUUAGUACGAGUCUUUUUCUAAACAUUGCACUGGUAUUACUACGGUAUUGCACUCUUACAAGUUUCGUUGCACUCGUUUUUUAAUCCAUUACACUGUUAUUCCCCGUAUUGCACUCUUACAAGCUUCUUUGCACUCUUUUGAAAAAUAUUGUUCUGUAAUCACACUGCCUUGCAUUAUUAUUCGCGUUUAACUGUCAACUUAUUUAACAGUUAAAAGAACGCGUGAUCUUUUAUAGGAAAACUUUAUACAAUCGUUUAGCCGUUAUGUCGCGCCUCUCGAACUCCGAACCCCGCCGGCUACCGUCCAGUCCCGCUAGCGAGCUUUCUGGCACGCCGACUCUUAUAUCGUACAUCGCCGACCGCGUACGCCGCAGCGACUGUCCUGCGCCGCCGACGCUUGGCCUGCAUUUGGAGGGGACGCCGUUCUUCUGCACUUUUAUGUUCAGAUUAUAUUAAGAAAUAAAAAAGUAAAAUUUUGCCUGGUUAAGGAAAGGUUGCCUAGUGAUGCACUGUUAGAAGGUAUGUUGCACUAUUUUUCCUGGUGUUGUUCUUUGCGUUGUACUAUUAUCCCUGUUGCGGGCCGUGCAGAUUUUGUCAUUUAUCGUGAGUAAUUGUAUUAAAGUCUUAAACCCGAAUAGGAAACAGCGGGGCCGGCGAAUAGCGGGGGCGGAUGUGGUCCGGGUUCCGAGAAAUGUGCGAGAUUGCAUAAGGCGGAAGCGGCGCAUUUAAUGCGCGCCAGACCGUACGGCAGGGUAGUAAGGUAGUAUACGUAUGUCAAGAAAUACGCGGGCGGCUAUUGUAUAGGAGGGGCAUUUUGGUCAGGCGGUGGAAAAAGCGGAUCGAAUCUGCAAAAAUGAAAAAGAUGAUCCGAUUUUGCAAAAGUCCAAAAUAAGUGAAUUUUUUAUGCAAAUUGGCCUUUGUUUAAAUUAUAAAUUGUAAAUUAUAAAUAAAUAAUAAUUAACAAGAGAAAAAAUACCGCUUCCCAUCUCCUGGCGUUUCUACGGACGAAAGGCCUAGUUGGCACUUGGCACGCGGCGCCAACGUGCCAAAUUCUAGGGUUUCCAUCUCUCGUCCAGCCUAUAAAUAUUAAAACCCUAAUUCUCUUCGCCUCCUCUUUCCUCCUGCAGAUUUUCGCAGGAGUUGUAACCCGCCACCCCGAUCUCCACCCCCUCUUCUUCUUCUUCGAAUUGCCAUGCCGUCUCUACCGCUCUCCUCCUCCCCCGACGCUGAGGAGGCGAAGAUGUCGAAGCAGAAGAGGCUUAAGAAGCUCGAAUCCACAGCGCCUGAGAUCGUGGACGAGGAGAAGAAGAACAAGAAGAAGAAGAAGAAGAAGUCCAAGGACGCUGAAUCCUCUGAUGGCGAGAUCGAAAACAGCGACGCCGCCACCGCCUCAGGGGGUAAAGAGGUGAAGGAGGAGGAGGAGAAGAAGAAGAAGAAGAAGAGAAAGGCCUCUGAUGACGAUGACAAGAGCGAUACCAGCUCCGACCCCNCUGAAGAGGUGACAAAAUUUAUAAAUACAACUAUCAGCUUCAUAUUACCAAACAGAAGAAAUGUAACUGCAGCAGUUGCAACUGCGUAAAACCAAACAGACUAGGUGUAGUUACAACUGCAGCAUUUGCAACUGCAUGUAUUUCCAACUACACUGUUUCUGCAACUACAUCCAACCAAACGGCCCCUUAGUACGAGUCUUUUUCUAAACAUUGCACUGGUAUUACUACGGUAUUGCACUCUUACAAGUUUCGUUGCACUCGUUUUUUAAUCCAUUACACAGUUAUUCCCCGUAUUGCACUCUUACAAGCUUCUUUGCACUCUUUUGAAAAAUAUUGUUCUGUAAUCACACUGCCUUGCACUAUUAUUCACAUUUAACUGUCAACUUAUUUAACAGUUAAAAGAACGCGUGAUCUUUUAUAGGAAAACUUUAUACAAUCGUUUAGCUGUUAUGUCGCGCCUCUCGAACUCCGAACCCCGCCGGCGACCGUCCAGUCCCGCCGGCGAUCUUCCUGGCACGUCGACUCUUAUAUCGCACAUCGCCGACCGCGUACGCCGCAGCGACCGUCCUACGCCGCCGAAGCUUCGCCUGCAUUUGGAGGGGACGCCGUUCUUCUGCACUUUUAUGUUCAGAUUAUAUUAAGAAAUAGAAAAGUAAAAUUUUAUCUGGUUAAGGAGAGGUUGCCUAGAGAUGCACUGUUAGAAGGUAUGUUGCACUAUUUUUUCUGGUGUUGUUCUUUGCGUUGCACUAUUAUCCCUGUCGCGGGCCGUACAGAUUUUGUCAUUUAUCGUGAGUAAUUGUAUUAAAGUCUUAAAGCCGAACAGGAAACAGCGGGGCCGGCGAAUAGCGGGGGCGGAUGUGGUCCGGGUUCCGAGAAAUGUGCGAGAUUGCGUAAGGCGGAAGCGGCGCAUUUAAUGCGCGCCAGACCGUACGGCAGGGUAGUAGGGUAGUAUACGUAUGUCAAGAAAUACGCGGGUGGCUAUUGUAUAGGAGGGGCAUUUUAGUCAGGCGGUAGAAAAAGCGGACCGAAUCUGCAAAAAUAAAAAAUAUGGUCCAAUUUUGCAAAAGCCCAAAAUAAAUAAAUUUUUUAUGCAAAUUGGCCUUUAUUUAAAUUAUAAAUUGUAAAUUAUUAUAAAUAAAUAAUAAUUAACAAGAGAAAAAAUACCGCUUCCCAUCUCCUGGGGUUUCUACGGACGAAAGGCCUAGUUGGCACUUGGCACGCGGCGCCAACGUGCCAAAUUCUAGGGCUUCCAUCUCUCGUCCAGCCUAUAAAUAUUAAAACCCUAAUUCUCUGCGCCUCCUCUUUCCUCCUGCAGAUUUUCGCAGGAGUUGUAAUCCGCCACCCUUCUUCCCCGAUCUCCACCCUCUCUUCUUCUUCGAAUCGCCAUGCCUUCUCUACCGCUCUCCUCCUCCCCCGAAGCUGAGGAGGCGAAGAUGUCGAAGCAGAAGAGGCUUAAGAAGCUCGAAUCCACGGCGCCUGAGAUCGUGGACGAGGAGAAGAAGAACAAGAAGAAGAAGAAGAAGAAGUCCAAGGACGCCGAAUCCUCUGAUGGUGAGAUCGAAAACAACGACGCCGCCACCGCCUCGGGGGGUAAAGAGGUGAAGGAGGAGGAGGAGAAGAAGAAGAAGAAGAGAAAGGCCUCUGAUGACGAUGACAAGAGCGAUACCAGCUCCGACGUCGGAGAGCCCGUGGCGGCGCCGCCGAAGAAGCCGAAGCUGAUGAAGAAGGAAGGGAGGGCGUCCGAUGACGACGGAGAAGUCACGGCGAGCGGAGAGGAGGACGGCGCCGGGGAUCCGAACGCCCUGUCCAAUUUCAGGAUAUCGAAGGCCUUGGGGGAUCGAUUGAAGUCCAAGGGGAUUAAGGCGCUGUUCCCGAUCCAGGCUAUGACGUUCGAUCUAAUUCUUGACGGAUCUGAUUUGGUUGGUCGGGCGCGGACUGGUCAGGUAGGGUUUUCUUUUGAUGUUUAUGCCUGCUUCGUUUUUUGAUUUUCUCAUUAUAUGGACGCGCAACACAAACAAAAUAUGCAAAAGUAAAACGGAUGUAAUACAUAAUAGAUUGAUUUUAGUUUUAUUGUGUUCUUGUUAAUUGCUUGAGGAGAUUAUCAAUUUAAACUGUGAAAGGACAAAACAGUUAACUAAUCUUACAGGGAUUGAACAUAAUUGUUAGGUUACUGAUUCAAAGUAGUGUGUCUGUCUUUGGUGUUGCUUUGCUUUGAUUUUAUCUGUCUUUGGGAGGGAAACUGUAUAAUUUCUUUUAUUUGAUAGAUUUUGCUGUUUUGCACUGCUUCUAUGGUUCAGUUUACAGUAUGUUUGAGUUUCGAAUUUUCCAGUACCGGAUAUUGAAAAUUACGGCACCUGAAUUUCUAGAAGAAUGAUACUUUGCACUGCAUAUUAAGGGUCUCUUUUCUGUUUCAGUAGAACCCUCUAUUGUCAUUUAUUGAUUCUCUUGCUUCUUCCAUAACUGCAAGUACACGAGAUCAUCCCUUUUGGACAGAUAAACAAUGCCGAAGGCUUUAGUCUCCAUCUUGUUAUGUCGAUCAUGCUUGUGGGUAUUGGUCAUGUACUGCAAGAAUAGCUUUCUAGAGAAAAAUGCCUUCUCAACCCCCUUUUUUGUUUGUUGAAAUGUGAGUAGCCCACCUGCAUUAUCAUAAUCAAACUAUUGAUAUUGCAACUUGAACUUAUCACACCACUUGUACCUAGAAAUAUACUGAAACAAUUCAAAUGAGCAAGGUGGGAACGUUACCACAAAUUUGGUCGUGACAUAUUGCCAGUGUUUGAAAAGGCGCCCCUGAGGCGCUGGCCUCGGUGCCUAUGCGCGAGGCGCUCUCUAAGUCGUGCGCCUAGGCUAUGAGGCGCGCGCCUCAGACGUGCCUUGUAAUGUUUAAGUUUAAUAGGUCUUGAGUUUGGGUUUUCGGGUCUUGAAUUUUUUCAAUAUAUUUUAAAUUGUUAAGGGAUUAAAAAAUUUCCUAAUUUGAACCAUUUCUUCCCCUAUUCUCUUGGUCUCUCUCUCUUCCCCCCAAUGGCAACAAGGUAGCAAGUACUUUUACGUUGAAAGUUGAAACAUAAUUUUUUUUUUGUUUUAGUUUGAGAACAUUUAUGCAUGUGAUUUCUUUAUUUUUUAUGAUUAUUUUGUUUUUGUAUACUAUUUUGGAUUUUUUUUUGUAAAACAUCAAUUUAAACUAGGCUUGUUUAGAGUGUUUUAUUUUUAUUAGAAGUGCACCUCAUCUUCUUCAGGCGCGCAACUCACCUUCUUGAGGUGCGUGCCUUACCUUCUUGAGGCGCGCGCCUCGUAGUGCGCCUCACGCCUAGGCUCGAGAAGGCCUUUGCGCCUUUUUGCGCCUCACGCAACACUGCAUAUUGCUUACGUGUUAUUUGCUGUUGAUAUGUUCCUCCAUAUUCUUGUUACUUGCUGCAGUUAAUUGGUUAGGACAUGAAAUUUGGUUCAUUCCUAACAAGAUUUGCUUACAUGUUAAUAUCAUACUGUAAUACAUCCUCAAUCAUUUACAACUUCUUUUACUUAUACCACCCUAUGGUUUUUCUUAAACUGCGGCAGUAGACCACAAUUCAAAUCAAAACCCUUUCUUUCUUCUCCCUUUGGUUUCCCUAUCAAAUCACAGUACAAUCCCACUUUGUGCUACGUCAGCAAGUGUAUUUAUAGGCUGAUUAAACCUGUUCGUACAAUUGCUUUUGGAUUCUCCACAGCAUGUCAUUUAUAUGGUUCAAAUAUGAGCUACUUGUGGCGGUUGUUUCAUCUUUUAUUGAUCGAAUCAAGCUUCCAGGAGAGCAUGCUGGUUUACUAGAGUAAUGGAGAUCAUGGAUGAUCUGAAUUUUGUUGUUUGGACAUUAGAUAAGAGUUAAAAAUUUCUUCACUAAGAUAUUGCUAGACACACGUAAUAUGCAAUUUCUGCUGGUGUUUUGAAGGUGUGGUGAGUCUUUAAUAAGUUCUUGCUGAUGCUAUUUAAUUGCACCAACCGUUUUCUAACAUUGUGCAUAUGCCGGCGAUGUCCUAACUUGCUAUUAAGCAGUCUAUACGCAAUAUGUUUUUCCUUCUUUAUUUCUAAAUUCAGUUAGAGCACUUUUUUCAUCCCUAUUUCGUCCACUAUAAUGUAAAUUAUAUGUUAGAUUUUACAAGCAUAACUGAUCUUUGUAGUGUUUUUUCUUCAAAAUAACUAUUUCAGUUUCAUUUUUGUACUUUUAGUUCACACCGUAGUGUAUGUUACGAAAUGGAUAUAGAUGUAACAUUUUAAUGUCUUAAUUUUAACAUUUUAAUGUCUUAAUUUCUUUCUGCUAUAUUGCUAUGUUGCUUUGAUUUGAGAUCUAGAAUGCUAUUCCUAACUUUGUAUGAUUUUCUUUGUCCUUAUCGCAUACCUUUUUUCCUGUUUACCAACAAUGUUGAUUUGUUAACUGUGUUUUCCUAUGACAGGGUAAAACUUUGGCAUUUGUGUUGCCUAUACUGGAGUCUUUGACAAAUGGGAAACAUAAGGCAUCUAGAAAAACGGGUUAUGGAUGGCCGCCAAGUGUGUUGGUACUUCUGCCAACUAGGGAGCUGGCAAAUCAGGUAGAGCUGGAGCCAGAUCAACUUACAUUGAAUCUGCGUAUCAUCUGCACUUUUGUUUUAUAUGCUACGUUACCCUCUUUUUCAGGUACAUGCUGACUUCGAAUUUUAUGGUGGAGCAGUGGGGCUGUCUUCAUGCUGUUUAUAUGGGGGGUCUCCUUUUCGUAGUCAGGAGCUUGCCCUUAAAAGAGGGGUUGAUAUAGUUGUUGGAACGCCUGGGAGGAUAAAAGUAAUCACCUGCCUUUGUUUUUUUUUUCCAAUUUGAUUCUUUAAAGUUGUCCUUAUCUAACAUAUGAUCAUUUUCUUUGCUAAUCUGGUACAGGAUCAUAUAGAGCGAGGAACUCUUGAUUUGAAAUCGUUGAAGUUCCGCAUCCUUGAUGAAGCUGAUGAAAUGCUCAAUAUGGGCUUUGUCGAAGAUGUUGAGCUUAUUCUUAGUAUGUAUUUCUAUUUUUGUUUUUGUUAGUUGUAUUUGUAGGUUACAUUGUAUUGAUACUGAUGGGAGGAGAUAAGCAUUUGAUUACUUUUCCUGGUUAAUAAUCAGUUUUCAACGGAUAGCUAAUUUCAUGAAGAUUUUGAUUAAUUAUGCAAGUAUAUUUAAAAGCUUAUAAUUGAAUGAGCUUUGCAUAAUCAUUACAUAUGGAGAACUAUGAGAUGUUUUUCUGGUGCAAACCAUCUUUAGUUUUCCAUAUGCAACCAUUUUGAAGGUUCUUUUAGUACAAUUGGUGCUAAAAAUACAUUUGAAGACUUGCAGAAAUUCAUUUUUACCGCAUGUUGAAGAUCAACAAAUUUAUAUGUUACCAUUCGACAAAUUGAAAUGACCAUGGUCGUUCUUCUUUGUAUUUGAAUGUCAGGCCUUUAUGUUCUUAUAUGACAAUUUAAGUGUAGGCUAAAACUAAUAAUGUAUCCAGUCUUCUUGAUUCUCGCUAAUUUGUUAUUAAUGAGUUGUGUUACAGACAAGGUUGAGGAUGCUAGCAAAGUUCAGACACUCCUUUUUAGUGCUACUCUGCCUGGCUGGGUGCAGAAGGUUUGUUUCAAAAAUCAAACUGCGGCUAUUAUUGUUGAGAUUUUGAAAAUUCCAGUUAGGGGAUUUAUUCUCCUUAUUAUUAUUUUUUGAAACUUUCUGAUAUAUUUUUGAAUUUUUAGAUUUCCGUGAACUUUCUGAAAUCUGGUAAGAAAACAGUUGAUCUUGUUGGUAAUGAGAAGUUGAAGGCUAGUGCAAGUGUUAGACAUCUAGUUCUUCCCUGCACUCGUAAAGCAAUGCCUCAGAUUAUUCCGGAUAUCAUUCGGUGUUAUAGCCGGUUAGUAUAGUGAAAUCGUGUGCUCUCAUCUUUAAAAUUUUUGCUGCUCUCUUUGGCUCGAUAUUUAUUAUUUUUAUUUUUCUAAUUGAAAACUUUGAUUAAUCAGUGGUGGCCGCACAAUUAUUUUCACUGAGACAAAGGAAUCUGCAUCAGAACUUUCUGGCUUGAUACCUGGUGCGCGAGCUUUGCAUGGAGACAUAAUGCAGGCUCAGCGUGAAGUAAGUAAUUUGAUGAUCAUACAUGUUGGAUGUAAUAAAACAUAUCAACUUUAGGGUUUUAGUUACUCUUCCAUUAGGAUAUAAAUGGGAACUUUGAAAUUUCAGUUUUAGGAUGUAGAGUUAUCCAUAUUUCUUUGUGAUAAACAGCACUGUAAAUAUUUACAUAUUCAUAUUUCUAACUAUGCAUGAUUUUUCAUCACUAUUCAUAGAAGUGAUUAUUAUGAUUUCUUGGUUCUGUUGUGCUAUCAUAUUUCUCAGAAUAUUGUUGUACUUACUGAAGUGCUGAAGACUAUUCUCUGUUAUAUUGCCUAGAGCUGUACUCCAGCAUUUUCGUUUUCUACAAUACUGAUACUGUUUGUACUUGUCUCUUUUAACUCUAUAAGUGGAUAUUACGCAGGUCAUCCUUGCUGGAUUCAGGUCUGGAAGGUUUUUAGUUUUGGUGGCUACAAAUGUGGCAGCUCGUGGCUUGGACAUUAAUGAUGUACAGCUGAUUAUUCAGGUAUCACUUAUUUUGUCGGGAAUAUUGCAACUUGACUGUCAAUGAUUUUUUAUCAUCCUCAAACUCUGUUCUUCAAAGGAGUGCGAGAAUACGAUCAAGGGUUUUUUGGUUUCCCUUUAGAGCAUAAAGUUUAGCGCAUGUUUAUAAGCAUUUUGCUGUUUUGGUUGUUCACAUCAAAUGCUCCAUCAUUGACAUAUUUUGUUGUUCAGUUGUUUAUAUAUAUAUAUUAAUUUGUAAUGUUUUUUCUUUUAAAUAAUUCUUUUGUAGAGGGCUGUGUGCUACAUGAUGCUCUCUCAACCUUUUUAUUUUUUUUCGUUUGAAUUUCUGGGGUGAAGGGGGACCAAAUAUAUGUAGCUGCUCUGUUCUCACAAUUUGGACCCUACUAUCUCGUCAAUCUUUCUUUUGUAAUACAGGAAAAGCUUGCUUCUAUUUGUUUACUAAACUUUACCUUAACAAUAAAGAUGACUCACCCUUCACUAUGGACCAUUCCUCCAUCUUAUGCUAAAUGUGUUUUCCCCACUGUUAUAAAAAGUAGUGUAUACAUCCUUAUAUGCAUCAGCAUAUGCGAAUGCGGUUAGCUGAUAGUCCCUCAUAAAAUGCAUCAAAAUAAUUGAUAAGGAAAUAAGGAACACAAAUUAAGCAAUCUAUUAUCAUAAAAUUUAAGCAGAAAUAAGUAGGUUUAGCAUGAUAUCUAUCGUUACCUGCUCAUAUACUUGGAAUAUCAUAUAUGAUACGUAGAAAAUGCCAAAUGUGAUAUGUAUAAUAUUGUUCAUUUAUUUCGGUGAUCAAUUAUUUUGUACCUUGAAUAAUUUUAUUUAAUAAGUAACUUGAAAUUUUGUACGUAUAAUAUCACAAUGUUGUAAAAAUUAUCUAAAUAGGUCAUCAAAACUUCUUAUGCUUUCUCUUCCAAGGAGGCAAAUGAAUGCAGCAAAUGUAGACUAUCGUAACCAUUGAUUAAAACCACUCUUUAGUCUUCUGAAAAAUGAUAUUUAAUCUGGUCCUUGAAACCUCCGCUCGUGCUUUCUUUGCAAAGGAAGCAAAUAAAUGCAGCAAAUAAGGACAAUCAUUGAUUAAAACCACAUUUAGUCUGCUAAAAAAUGAAAUGCUGAGGACUUGUAUUUGUAUUUCAGUGUGAGCCACCACGUGAUGUUGAAGCUUAUAUCCAUCGUUCAGGACGUACUGGGAGGGCAGGUAAAUAUAUUGCUAUCACUAUUUGAUACUUGUGUUUCUGGCUAAUUGUUUUGCUGAUAAAUCUAAGUAAUUUUCAGGCAAUACUGGAGUUGCUAUUUUGCUUUAUGAACCCAGGAAUUCAUUUAGCAUUUCAAGGAUUGAAAGGGAAUCUGGUGUUAAGUUUGAGCACAUCUCUGCUCCUCAACCUUCUGAUGUUGCUGAAUCUGCUGGUUCUGAAGCAGCAGAUGCAAUUUCUAGUGUUUCAGACAGGUUAAUUAUUGAAUUACCAAUCCAAAAUAUGUUUAUAUAAAUUCAAAAUAUAGCUCUCACCAGUGUUCUUUUUUAUUGUGUAAUCAAUUUAAGAAGUGGUUUUUAAUGCAGCGUGGUUCCAAUUUUCCGGAAGCAAGCAGAGGAUCUCUUGAACGCCUCUCAGUUACCCCCUGUGGAUUUGCUUGCGAAAGCACUUGCUAAGGCUGCAGUAAGAACUUGUCCUCUUUACCUCUGCACAUCUGUUGAUGUUACUUUUCCCCUUUUUUAACUUUACAAAUUCUCACAGGGAUACACUGAUAUAAAGAAGAGAUCGCUGCUCUCUUCCAUGGAAAACUACGUGACAUUACUUCUUCAGGCAGGGAAAACUAUUUAUACACCAUCGUAAGUACUGGAACUUGAUAUUCUAUUUGAUUUGAAUUUAUCAGUAGUGUUUAAUCCAUUAUUAUGUUAUUUCAUAAUAUCUCCAAUGGUACCUAUUUUUGUGUCUAAAGUACUUUUAUUUAAUAUAUUUUUAGGUUUGCUUUUAGUAUCUUGAGAAGAUUCUUGCCUGAUGAGAAGAUUGAGGGGGUGAAGGGCCUCUCUCUCACUGCUGAUGGAAUGGGUGCAGUUUUUGAUGUACCUGCUGAUGAUGUGGAUACAUUCCUUGAAGGUACGCUGCAUGGCCUUUCAGACUAUGAUUUUCUUGCAUUCAUUUAAUUUAUAUAUAUCUUUUCCUUCCACGAGUUUUCUGCCUGACAUUGCUGUUGGUAAUGCUAAAAAUCAUUUUUUAAUGAGUAUGCGCAUGCCAUUAGCAAUUGAUAUGAAAAUAUUUUUUAUUUGGUAACUGAGGCACUCCCAAUUCUAAUAGCCUUUUGCUAUUGCAUCACAAUAUAUGUUUAGGGCUUUUACUCUCACAAAUAUUCCAACCCGUGCAAAUACUCCUGCAAACUCGGUAUUAAAAUCGCGUCUGUUUGCAGUAAUCUAGUGCCAGGGAUAUAUAUGCUGUAGUAUUUUUUCCCCGGCGAUAAUACAUGAGCUAAGCAGCAAAAUUUUCAGGGCUAGACUUUCAGAAUGGCGCCUAUCGUUCAGGGUGCCUCCUUACAUUUUUACCUCAAACCUGUUAGAACCUGUGUUCUUCACAGCGAUCUGACUCCUUAAUGUUGUUUUUUUUGUUUCAUCCGCAGGUCAAGACAACGCAAGCAUGGUGACUAUUGAGGUGCCGAAAAGCUUGCCUCCUUUGCAAGAAAAGGAGCAGGGGCGAGGCGGUAAUAGUGGGCGUGGCAGAUUUGGUGGCGGUGGCUUUUCGGGUGGCAAAAGAGACGGCAGUAGAUUCUCUGGCGGCGGCAGAGGCGGCAAGGGCGGUUCAGGUAGAAGAGGAGGAGGUGGAGGGGGAUUUUUCAGCAGGGGCAAUGGAAAGCAAAGUGGCGGAGGUGGUGGUAACAGAUUUAACAAGAGGAAGUGAAGCAGCAUGAAUUUUAUUUACUGUAUACUCUGGCAGAGUAAUAUUUUUGGGUGCUAUCUAGGAAACUCGUUAUUAUAUUGCGUAAUAUAGAGUUGGGCUCUUGAGAAGCGGCCUGAGUCGACAGUAUUUAAUUUGUUUUUCGAUAAUGUAUUGCCUAACAUUGUAACGUGAUACCACUUGAGCAAUUUUUAUGAGUGUCACAAUUUUGCGACACAUUUGAUUCUAACAUUUUAUGUUAUAAAAAAAAGGCAAAAUUCAGGUUCAAUUUAUUUACAUUAAGAAUUAUUCUAUAUGGCGUGUUACACAUCUGGGCUGGGCUCAAACGCAGCUGCCGAUCCCGUCUACCCACAAAAUUUACGCUCGCCCCCUCAUAUUAUUUUGUAGACUUUAAAAUAGGGUUAAGCUACUACUAACCCUAGUUACAUUCAAAUUUAAAUUUAAAGUUUAAACCUUUCAUUCAUAUACUCCAAAAGAUUUUGGUUUAAAGAAUUUCUAACCUUCAAUGGAAGUUGAACUUUUAAAAGUUUUAACUAGAUAAUUGACAUUUAAAAUAUAAACCAAUUCCGAAGUUAUACUUCCAAAAUUUAACUCGGUCGUAUUCGUCUUGACCCGAAGAUUGUAUCCAAAUACUUUAUUUCUCCCGAAAUUGCCAAAUAUUACAAAAGAUGUUGCCUCAGCGGAUCUGAUUAUAUCCACCUGCGAGCUAAACUCGCAGUUGAUCAGUCAAUUUAAGAUUUAUCUACCAGCCGAUCGAGUUAGGCCCAACUUUUGAGUGCAAGCGUAAACUACGCUCCACUGAAUUACUACUAAAUUUUUAUAGACAAGUUUCACAUAUCACAUGUUAUUCGAACUUUGACUCUCCAAUUUUCAUAUUAUAUUCCCAAUUCUAAUUAACUAUAUUCCGCUCAAUCUGAUAACAAAUUAACCCAAAUUUUAUUUCAUAAGCCCAGUCUAGAGUUAGCUAUUUGCUGUUUUAAUUCCACCACAUUAAACUACUUUGUACAUAAAAUAUAGCGCCAACUAUAUUGUGCUCAAUUUUAAAUUAGUAACCACUAAUAUUUCUUAUUUAGUUUCAACAACUUAGAUUUUGAAAUUUUUUGGGUGUUACAUUCAGUCAUGAUUUUAUUGGCAAUCUUCUUUAUUUCUUUUAAGUGCAACGCACUUUAAUCAAAUGUACAUGUUGUUCCUUUUGAAAGAUUAUAAAUUAUGUUUUCCUUAACGUUUAGUUGGCGUCAAUUAUUGCAUUUUCCUAAAAUGUUCAAUUUUUUGUUAACUCUUCUAUAAUUUAUAAUUGGCCUUUUUGCAUAAAAAAUCCACUUAUUUUGGGCUUUUGCAAAAUCGGGUCACCUUUUUUGUUUUUCAAGAUUUGGUCCGCUUUUUCAGCAAACUGAUCAAAAUACCCUUAUUACUUUUUCUCUUCCCUCUUUCUCUCUCCUCUUCGUUUCUGUCGGUUUUUUUUUUCUCACCGAAAAAAAAAGAGGCGGAUCGGACCGUCGCCUUCUUCUUCACCGUCGCCUCCUUCCUCACCCUCCUCUCCACCGCCCGCGACAACCUCCUCCUCUUGUAGCACACUGGACCUUUGCAAAUUGCGAGAUUCGAGUGUUCGAUUGGUAUUCCGAACUUUUCCACACUUGGUGGAGGGCCGUCGAUGGUAUACCGGCCUAAAAGUUCGAUCUCGAGAGUUUUGGCAGAGUCCUGAGAGUUUUGACUCUCGGGGACCGGUCCCUGAUAGGAGAGACCGGUCCCCCAGUGAACAGUGCUGCGUAGCAGGCGAGGCAACCGGUCCCUGGCAGUUGAGACCGGUCCCCGAGCGCGUCUGCGCGGGGAGAGACCGGUCCCACGCAGGGAGAGACCGGUUCCCGAACGCUGGUUUUUCGGGUUCGCAGCGAGAGACCGGUCCCUGCUGGGGAGAGACCGGUCCCUCUGGGCGAAAACUGCCCAGUGUCGGAGCUGAAGGUAAAUUUGAAUUUUUGAGGGGCCUGUUGGAUUUGUUACUUUAGAGAGCUAUAGGCAGCUCUCCUCCCCUCUCACUUCAUUUUUCUCCCUCACACUACUUCCUACACUUCUAGAGAGAGAAAGGGAAGGAGAGAAGAGAGGAGAAGAGGAGAAGGAGCUUGCAUAGAGGCCUCGGAGCAUCAUCUUCUUCCUCAUUUCUCGCCUUUGGAGUUUCGAGCUUGCGAUUGGACUUUGUGGAGGAUCAAACCUCAACCCUACUUGGUUUUGAGCUUGAUUGGGCUUCUCUUGAGGUUGGUAGCUUGUAAUCUCCAUUUAAUACUUGUUUUCCUAGGUUUUUCUAGAUGAAACCCUAGAUUUUGGGAAUUUAGGGUUUAUUUUGGGUUUUUUGGAUUUGAGGGUUAUGAUACCUAAUUGAUGGUUUGAACCUUAUAUAGGUUAGAUUGGAAGACCUUCUACCUUCCAUUUGAGGAUUUAGAGAGGGUUUUCCACUUGAGGUGAGUUCUCCCAACCCUAGCUUGAGUUGGUAUUGUUUGAGCUAUUCGCUCUUCGUUUCGUUUGGGUGAGACCUAAUUUUUGAUGUUUCUAGGUACUAGGAGCUUGUGGAUAUCUUCGUGUCGGCGAAACGAAGAAGUCGAUUAUUCGGUGGGUUUGACUUCAUGAAAAUGGGGCAAAAUGGCCCUAUGCCUUCUAAACUUUUUGUAAGUAUUUUCGAAUGCAAAUUCAUGUAAAACAUGUAUUAUAUGAAUUUUUAAACACCUAAUUUGCAUGCUUCAUUUAUCGUAAAAAUUGUACUCCAUAUAGUAGAGCUAUAUCCGUAUAGAUUGCAUGCAUUGUUGGAUAGUGCUUUGGUUUUGCCAGAUUGAGAACAUGACUCCAUGCUUGAAUUGAGUGUACUAUGCAUCAUGAACAUGUAUAUGCCAUGCUUGGCUCGUUGAACAACAGUGUCAUAAAGAGGCACUUGGAAUCAGUAAACCAUAAAAUGCAACUAGAGACAUGAUGAUAGGCCAUUGUACAUCUGCUAUAUAUUCCAUGUUAGAGACAUGAUGACAUAGAGAUAGGGCCCUUGGACAUCAUCGAUACAUUCCAUGUGAUUAGACAUGAGCAGGACUUGGUACAUGCGACAGAUUGUUUGACUACUUGCCAUUGUGCUCAUUCGCACAUGCUUGUGAGGGUCGCUCCCUACAAGCCGGCACUCCGGAGAUGGCCAUCGCGAUACAUAUUCGCCGUGGGAUUCGGCGCCGAAGUGGAUUGCCGUGGGACAGGCUCAUUCCUAGGGUGGGGAUGUUGACUACCACUGGGCAUUAGGCUCGGCACCGGCCAGACAGCCUACGGGUGGGUUCAGGGCCAUAACAGUCUUCGGUGGGUCUCCUUCAGAUUCGACUUGAGUAUUCAUUAUGACAUGUGGACAGAUGAUGACUUAGAGUAUUAUUUGGACAUGACUAGAAUAGUAAACAACGGAACCUUUACUAUUUCGCAUUGUGAACAUUAUGAUAGUUGAGACUUUACUUCAUGCAUAGCUGCUUUCCUACUUUGCUAUUUAUGAUAAGUAGAGAUAUCAUGUUGUUAAGUUACAUUUUUACUAUACCUUUCGCUUUUCUACAUUUAUAGUCACUGACAUCUCUGGUAGCUUUGGGCCUUGUGGUGCAUCACUGUACUCUAUAUUACCACUGAGAACUAUUUUAAUAGUUCUCACGCCCCUGUUUUAUGGUUUCCUUUUCAGAGCCUUCUGCACCGGCGGAGGCACGGGAUCGCGGCAAGGGGAUCGCUUAGCUAGCUAGCGAGAAGCGGUACUCUGCCUAGGUGGUUUACUCUUCUUUUUGUAGUUGAGAGUGAGUGAGAGUUUCUGUAUCCAUGUAUAGAGACCACCUAUGUAUCUACCUAUAGCACUUGUAUUUGGGAUUUCCUAUUGUAUUUACUUUAUGUUUUAUUUAGUGGAUUUACAGUUUUAUCCAUAUCCCUUGUUGUAGCAAUUAGACAUUUACUAUGCUCUGAUACUCCUAGAUGUCUUUUAUUAUUGCUUUUAUUAUUGUUGUUUUUAGACGCCUUAUAUGUUGUAGACAUAUGGCGGGUCUGGGCACGCGCCGGGCGGGCUUCCGCUGGGUCCCGGGGCGUGACACCUCUCCACCGCCUGCGACCCCCUCCUCCUCUCCCCCGUCGCCGCCGCCGAGCCCACCCCCACCGUCGUCUCCGUCGCCGUCGCCGAGCCCACGUCCAUGGCGGCGGCGGCGAAGGCCGAGGAGAGAGGGGGGGAGGGGAGGGGGUCGCGCGACUCCAUGGCCACCACCACGCUCUCCUUGAAUAGCACUGCCCCGCCGUCGUCGUCGUCGUCUUCCGCCUUCUUCGGCGUCGCGUCACCGAGUAUGGAGCCCGUGUCAGCGCCGGGGGGCUCAAAGAAAAAGCGGUCGACGUGCACCGACGACUUGAUGCCACGUAUCACGCUCUCCGACGACUCGCCGUCGUACUACUCGUCGUCGGACGGCGCCGUCGACAGGCUGGUCAUGUCCCGAUCGCGCCCCUCGUCCGACGAGUUGGUGAAGCGCGACUCCGGCGAGUCCGGCCGGUACACCGAGUUGGCCGUCUUGUACAUGCAUCCCGACGACGGCGAGGCGGAGAAGAAGACGACGGCGAAGAAGAAGGCCUAAAUUGGAUGCGGAGGCCGAGGCGGAGAAGAAGACGACGGCGAAGAAGAAGAAGGGAAGGCCGAGCGGCAGGGCGCAGGAGGGGGAGGCGGAGGCGCAGCCGGCCUCGGCGCCGCGCGUGUUCUUCUCCGUCGGCGCUGCCCCUCCUCCCGCCGCCGCGCAGAAGCCGCCGACCAGCGAAUGGUUAAUGGUGCAAAUGGUGUAAUGGUGUAAUGGUGCAAAUGGUGUAACGGUGUAAUGGUGCAAAUAGUAUAAUGGUGUAAUGGUACAAAAUUGUAAUGGUGUAAUGGUGCAAAUGGUGUAAUGGUGUAAUAGUGCAAAAUGGUGUAAUUGUGUAAUGGUGCAAAGGUGUAAUGGUGUAAUGGUGCAAAAUUGUAAUGGUGUAAUGGUGUAAUGGUGCAAAUAGUGCAAUGGUGUAAUGGUGCAAAUGGUGUAAUGGUGUAAUGGUGUAAUGGUGUAAUGGUGUAAUGGUCCCCACUCCUCGCCAGCGCUGGCUGCGCCUCCGCCUCUCCCUCCUACGCCCUGCUGCUCGGCCUCCCCUUAUUCUUCUUCGCCGUCUUCUUCUUCUCCGCCUCGGCCUCCGCAUCCAGCCCGACCCCGUUCGCCGCGGCCGCUACCGCUGCCGCUGCGGCGACGGGAUCGGGCUGGGGGUCAGCGGCGCCGGCGCCAGCUGUGCUUUAGCCUCCCCCUCCUGUGCCCUGCCGCCCGGCCUCCCCUUCUUCUUCUUCGCCGUCGUCUUCUUCUUCGCAUCCAGCCCAACCCCGUUCGCCGCGGCCGCUGCCGCUGCGGCGACGGGAUCGAGUUGGCGGUCCGCGGCGGCGGGGGAGAGGAGGAGGGGGUCGCGGGUGGUGGAGAGGAGGGUGAGGAGGGAGGCGACGGUCCAGUCCACCUCUUUUUUUUCGGCGAGAAAAAAAAAAAAACGACAGAAACGAAGAGGAGAGAGAAAGAGGAAAGAGAAAAGGUAAUAAGGGUAUUUUGGUCAGUUUGUUGAAAAAGCGGACCGAAUCUGCAAAAACGAAAAAUGUGACCCGAUUUUGCAAAAGCCCAAAAUAAGUGGAUUUUUUAUGCAAAAAGACCUUUAUAAUUUUGCAGUUGCUAUAAUGUUAUAUACUCUCAGGAUAUACAGUGACUGCAGGACAUGCAAUUGCUGUAGACCCUGCGUACUUUAAGUUGAAAUUUUAAGCAUGCCUAGCAAUAAUAUCAAGCAGCGCUGUACAAUUUGUAGGAUUUUUCAAAAUGACCAUCUGAAAUGCUGUAAUUAGAAAAACAAUUCUAUAAAAAUCAAAAUUAGCAAACUAAACCUUCCUUUGCCAUGUAGGAGCCAUGUUGGAUAUUUCCUCUAAUGACGGUAAAUCGUUCACUGUUUUUAUGAAAACGGUAAACCAUUCAAUGCUUUCUCAAUAUACUUACUAAGAUGGUGAAUCGUUCACCCGGUUGUCCGCAUUAAGGGUUUAGGGUGAAUGAUUGUAAAAUCCGCAGUGAGGGGUAAAAUGUACGUAAGAUGGUGAAUGAUUGAUCGUCUUCAUAAAGACGAUAAAUCAUUUACCAUCUUCACUAAAGACGGUGAAUCAUUCACCAUCUUUAGUGCAAACAUCUUCACAGCCCAUACUUUUAGAAGUAUUAAACAACAAUUUUUAUAAGUUUAGCACAACAAUUUUCACAACAACAAAAAUUUUGACAAUAAAACUCGAAGAACAACAAGAUACACUCAAUUUGGUAAGAAUAUCAACAAAAAUAUAAGAAUUUUGAAAAAAAGAUCAUCUAAAUAAAGAAGUAUAUAUUAUUGUAUAUGUUAUACAAUGUGUUCGAUCAAAAUUGUCACGCCCCGAGCCCGAUCCUUUUGGCCGGUUCGAGAGCGUCAAACAGACGCCGAACGAACAGAGCUUUCCCUGUCCGCCCAAGGCUCAACAACAAGUAUCAAUAGAGUAAAAAAUUGUAUAAGCGGAAGCAUACACAAUGGCUUGCACGAGGGCAAGCAAUAGCCAAAGUGAAAGAAUUAAUAAUUCAACAUGCAAGUAAUAUGACUAAAUUUAAAUAACAUAUAUGCAUCCAACUAUAAUCAAGUUCUUUCACAUUCUUGCAUCAUUUCUUUUUACAUCUCAUUUCUCCCAAAAUAUAACUUUUGACAUUUAAAAUAAAUAUCCUUUACAUCAUUCAUUUAAACAUGUUCAUGAUACUAAAAUCAUCAAAUACAAAAGAUGAUAGUAAGGGAAUGCAACUACAAAAAUAUGAAACCAUCUCGGGCGGUCUCUAACUAGGGCGCGAUGCCCUUACCGGGAUCAUCCGCUGGCUCGCUCGGUCCGUGCGCAGUGAAAAAUAUGGUGUGAGAACUACAACAAAGUUCCCAGUGGGUUCGGCAACCAACCACGCCGACUAUCCCACUAGGUCUAAUCAGGCAUAAUAGAAUAGAGGAAAGAAAGUAACCAACUAACAAAUGCAACUAAUAUGCCUGAACAAUAUAAAAUGCGAUGCUCGAUAUAAUGCUCAUGAUGAAUGCAGGAUCACAAUUCCUUUACCCAAUCUCUUGGCUAACCCGUAGGUUUCGCCCUCAACAAACUCACCAACCCAAAAUCCUAAUAACCGGGGAGAUACCCGCUACAACCCGAUAGGACCGUCCUCUGGGGAGAUACCCGUUACAACCCAGUGAUGUCAACUCCGGAGCACAUCGCCCGAGGGGGAGCUACCACCCUCUAGCAAGGACUAAAGGUGAGUACGAUCAAUCCUACAUUUGAGGAUUUCUAAGUUCAAUCCAUUCCUUGACUUUAAGAAAAACUAUACUCAAAUGACCCUUACACUAAGGUUGAAGUGUCAUAUUAUCUCAAUCAUUCUAUUCUUUGCAUUUUUUACUAUCACUAGUGUCAUAUAUACUACUAGUUCUAGUACUCAUGCCACACUGGUUUUCUAAGUACUAUGUUCUUGUUCUCAUGCCAAAUAUCACACUUGUUUUCUAAGUGUUCUAGACUCAUGAAUGCCACUCGUUAGAUCUAUGUCAUGGUGUCACUUUUGUUUACUAACCCUUCUAGGUUCGUGUCACAUUCAUGUAUACAUAGGGAUUAUCAUUUUCACAUUCUUACAAGUAUUUAACCUGCAUUUGAAUUUACAUCAUGCUAUAAAAAGUUCACAAUUUAACCCUAUUAUGCAAAAUGCUCAAAUAUGUACAUAAGCUCAAAACAUGACACUUAGACAUAAAGAAAUUUUCGAGGUCCUUGGAAUGCACCACCCACCUUAGAAGGUUGAGAGGAUGCUACGGUGAAUUUCUUGAAAUUUUUGAAGCUUUACUUUUUCGCCUGCGGCAAAACGAAGCCGAAUUUAGGCUUUUUUUAUCAAUAACUCCAUCUAAACCUUUUCGUAACCUUAAACGGAGUUGUCCCACGCGUCGGGAAUACCCCCAAUUAGGUUUCUACAAGGACAAUUUGCCUUAGAAACACUCGGAGGCAAAAGCCCCAAAUUUGGUGCCCUAAUGCCACUAUUAGCAAACUCAUAGGUUUUGAUCUCUAAAACAAGCAAAAGAGAGCUUGUCUAGCCUCUAGGAGCUCAUCUAAGGCCAACUAAGCCAUUUCUAGGACAUCCAAGAUGAACCCUAGAAGUUCACCAUGAGAGGACCUUGAGCUUCCAUGGAUUUUCAUAGAGCUCAAGCUUCAAGAGGUGUUCUGAAUAUAGAAGAAGCUCCAAAACCUAAGUUUUUUAGGAGAAAUCCAAACCCUAGUCUAGGUUUUCAUAAAAAUCAUACCUUGGCCCAAAGCUCUCCAAGGUCCUUCUUGUUGGAGAGAUCCCAAACCCUCGAAACCUCCAAAACUCCUUCAAAAACCCUUCUUCUCCUUCCUCUCCUUGAUCCUUGGAGAGAUUUCUAGAGAGAGAAAGAGAGAAAAUGAGAGAGGGAGGGGUUGGCUGUGAAAAGAGAGAGGGAGGGGUGUGUUGGGGUGUUAACAUGUUGCUACAAUUACAACUAGGCCCUCCGAAUUGUUAUAAUUGCAGCAGACCUCAUUUUGCUGUCGGGCCCAAAGUGUACGGUACACUUUGAAGUGUCACCGAUUUCACGACUACGCAGAGGCAAACCCGAGAGCAGAUCUCUCGGUUUUGCCCAAAAUAUACCGGUACACUUUGAAGUGUCACCGGUUUCAGCAUGUGUAACCGGUGACAGGUCGCUUGCUGUACCGGUACACUUGCUCCAGACUUGGUUUUUGGCUCCGUCUCGAUUCUGUUUCGCGCCGAUCGAUGCCAUAACCCUUCUGACACUUCUAACUCAUUUUUAACCCUCCCAACAUUGUUGUAGGUUAAUUGGAACUCGCUCAAUUAAUCCAUUCGCGCACUUUAGUCAAUUUGCCUAAAGUUCGCCAUUUUCUGUCUAGGUUUCGAUACGUUACAAAAAUUAUAUAAAUGUUAGCCUCGAAAUCUUCCUCUCUCUCAACAUCCUCAGCCACGCCCACGUGCACGCCUAUGUCCAUGCUUACGCUCACGAUCAACAUCAAGUUCAAUAGGAGGUACGUUACCAAGUGGCUCAAUGCCGUUAUCUGAUUGAGAUCCUCGAAACUGAUGCCCUUAUGAUGCUUCGGAAUCGCUUGGGUCUCCUGUGAUACUGGUCGUUCGCCCUUGAUAGCGGCCGGUGUAGAUGCCGGUAGGUGCUGUGAUGAUGAUGGGCCACAACGAUGAGAAUACAUAGAUUUAAAAUACGCAUGCGAUACAAGUGGCAGAAGUAACUCAAAUGUCACACUCUGGCUCUAGUGAAAGCCCACCUGGCACGUGCAUAGACCCGCCGUGUACACCAAGCACCCCCGGUGCACACUAGGAGUCUACAACAACAAAAGAAAGAAAUAGGAACAAAUCCUAAACAUAGCAAUCCGAGCAAGCACAUAAAUCUACUACAUAAAGGAGUCUAGUACAAGUACAUAAUCACAAGAUAUACAAUAAGUUAUACAAAAGGUACAUCUAGAAUAGUAGGAGAUCUCUAAACAAAAUACAACUUUACAUCUUUCAAACUAAACUAAAAAAAAGAUAUGAUAAUGAGUCCAUCUAUAGUAACACCGAGGAGGCUCUAGCUAGUUGCUAGCUAACCCCUUGCCAUGAUCCCUAGCUUCUCUCGCUGUGGAAGAUUCUGAAACAAAAACAAGCAACCAAUGGGAGUGAGAACUAUUAAACAAUAGUUUCUAGUAGGUAAACCGCUGAGAGUAGCAAAAUACACCACUAGAUCAAUUGAGGCAAUGAUAGUAUAAUAGAAAUAUGAAGCACAAAGAUAAUAUUUAAAACGAAAUGAUUCAGCUACUAUCAUACCUCUACGUGACAAUGUCUACUAACAUGAAUAUGGUUUUCCCACCGUCAUAUGUACAAGUGUGUGUGUGUGUGUGUGUGUGUGUGUGUAGUCUCAUUGGGAUACUAUCGAUAGCACCAAGGGCUUGGUGCUAUUGAAUUUUCCAUCGUUAGAUUUAACCCUUUGAUUAGUUUUACCCGUUAGAACCAACCACCUACUCAACCCUAGAGGGCCUACAUCAUCCUAACCGUACAUUGAUAGUAUUCUAGCCUAGUUUUAUAUAUAUAUAUAUAUAGUUAUAUAUAUAUAAUAAUAUAUAUUAUUAUAAUAGAGAGAGAGAGAGAGAGAGAGAGAGAGAGAGAGAGAGAGAGAAUUGAGCUCCUAUGCUUUUAAAAGUACCAAGUUAUUGGUGCUUGUAGAUUUUUAGCCAUUGGAUUAAAAAAUAUGCGGUUAGAAUGAUGUGGGCCCCCUAGGGUUUAGUGGGUGGUUGGUUGAAUAGUAUAAUCUAAUGGUUGAAAAUGAUCCGAGGAGUAGAUCUAACGGUAAAAAACUUACAAGCACCAAGUGCUUGGUGCUUUUACAAGCACCAUAGCUGGACUCUCUCUCUCUCUCUCUGUCACGCCCCGAGCCUGCCUCUUUGGUCGGAUUCGGGCACGCCAACAGACCGCCGAACGGACAGGGUUUUUCCUGUACCGCGGACAGAGUCUCCCCUGUACGUUCAAGGCGUCGAAAUCAAUACAUGUACGAAGUUCCAACUAGGAAUACAUUUUAACCAAAGAUUGCAUAAGGAAGUAUCAAAACAUAAAUCUACUUGCUAUUACAAGCAUUCAUCUCACAUAUUGCACUUUUACAUUCUUAGAUUACAUCACAUUUAAUUCCUUAAUUCUUACUUCCAAAUGUAUUCUAGUUUCAACAUAGCUAUUACAACAUUGUUCUUACAAUUAUCACACUCUUGGUUCUUUGCAUUUUAUACCCUAAGAAGCGGACUCAGGGUGCUGCUAUCUAGUCUCAGUGGUAGGGCGCUAACUACGGAGCUACGCCCUUUCCUCGCGCCGCCGCGCCGCUCGCGUGUGAACCUAUAACACCCCGAAACAACGUGGGGUGAGAACUAACUCCAUAGUUCCCAGUGGGUACGGCCACCCAAGGGAAAAGCUCGACCAUCAGGUCCAAAGGAGGCAAACAACAUGUUAGUCCAAUAGAUAGAUAUGAAAUCAUAAAUCAUGCAACUAAUAUUACCAUGUUUUUGCCUCACAACAUGCAAUAUGCAAAUCAUGCAACUCAUAUAGUAGCUUAAUUGCUUCUACACUUUAUUCUUAUCCAUUCUUUACUUUUACUUAUUCUUUAGCAUUAACCUUUCUUUAUUACUUAUUAUUUGUCAUUCUUUAGCAUUACCCUUUUCUUAUUCUUGAUUUUUUAUUCUUUAUUCUUUACGCUUUACUAAGGGUACUCACACCUUAGUAAUAUUAUACACAUUAGCCUUUCUUUCCUAAGGUUACUUUACCUUAGCCAACUAUGUCAUCCGACUCGGUCUUGAGUCAAUCAACUUCGGAUAGUCCGCGGUCUGUCCGGCUCGAGGUGAAGGAACUCUCACAUGCAUCUUAGCCUUCAAUCACAAACCACAUCUCCCAACGGGUCGCCCAGAGCUACGUACACCCGUGGUCAGGGAUCCCCCGGUAGGAGAGGAACAUGCCGCAUACACCUGCAGUCGAGAUCCCCGAUAGGGAGAGGAACAUGCUACAUGCACCCUAGCGCUCAUAGUCCUUGCUCAAUCACAAGCCUCGAAGUUCUUCCGGUGGGAGAGGAACGUGCCACAUGCACCCGCGGCCAAGAACUAUCGAGCUUGUAUGCUGCACUAGCAGCCGCUGCACUAGCAGCAGGGAUUUCGGAAUCCACUUUACAUGUCUCAAGGGUUGGUCUCACCCUAUGGUAUUGACCUACUUAGGCCCAUUAUCCUUUCCAUCCUAGGUCCACUUGACUCUAGGUUUAACACUUUUAUCACAUAACUUAGGUUUACUUUAACACUAGGUUCAUUAUCUUUAACUCACAACCUAGGUUGACUUCACUCUACGUUCAAUCUCAACCUAUGUUCUCUAACAAUAGGUUUAAUGCCAUUCUUGUUUAAUCUAUGUUCAUUAAUAUUAGGUUCAAUAUCACUCUUGUUCAACCUAGGUACACGACUCUAGGUUCAAUGCCACUCGAUCUAUAUGUAUACAUAUGUCCUUUACUUAGCAUUCUUACAUUAGCAUCCCUAUAUCAUGCUUAUCAUACAUGUACUUAGCAUUUUUACCAUAUCAUCAUCUACAUUCUUAGCAUUAACCACAAGCUUGCAUUUAUUAUUUCUAUAUCAUGCUCAUCCCACAAUUACUUAGCAUUAUCCACAUGCAUGCUUAUUAUGUAUACUUUAGCAUUCUUAUUUCAUAUCAAUAUGCAUUCACUUAGCAUUCUUACAUUAUGUCAAUACACAUUCUUUUAGCAUUUCCAUCAUGCAUCCAUUUCUAAAACAUGCAUCUAGCUCAUGUUACUUAGCAUUUAACUCAUGCAUUUAUCUAACAUAUGCCUUACAUAUUCACUUAGCAUUUAGCUCUUGCAUUCAUUAGCAUACUUCACAUGCAUACAUUUCUUAGCAUCUUUAUCAUGGCAUUAUAUGCAUUUAUUAGUAUCAUUAUGGUGCAUUCUUACUUAACAUUCUUAUCAUGCAUCAAUAGUGAAACACACUACACUUUGGCAUGAAGGCGACCUAGUCGCUUCGGUAAACACAACCCACCUCUUAACGCGUUCCGAUUGCUUGUAGUCACUUGCAAUCGGCCUCCCGCGGCACCCGUGACCCGGUUUGGCCCGAACUCUUGUGCGACCACCCGAACGGCCACCAAUCCACGAUCCGUCUUUUCCGGAGUUUAUUCCUCGACUCCAAGGUGCUCCGGUUCCGAUCUCAUGAUUUUUAGGCGUCUAUUCUGCGUGCUGCGGCUAUCUGUACCAAGACAGACUGUUUCGUCAAUAACUUCGCAUACACUCGUCGGAUUGUCAAACCGAGCGCACCAACGCGUUCGUUAUACCCCCAAUUAGGUUCGUAUAGGGUCAAUUGAGAUCCAAACCCCAUAUGAGCAAAACCCCUCUUUGGGAUGCCCUAAUAUGACAUAUGCUCAAUAUUCCGGAUUUGAUCUAUCAAAUAAGCAAAAGAGAGCCUGUUUAACACCUAGGAGCUCAACUAGGAGCAUUCGGACCAUUUUUAGGGUAUCUACUUGGAACCCUAACAUUCCACCAUUAGAGCACAUGAAGCUCACAUGGGUUUUCAUGGUGUUUAUGGCCCAACAAUGCUUCUAAACAUGAAAGAAGCUAAAAACCUUAGGUUUAUGGUGAAAAUCCAAACCCUAGAGUUCUACUUGCAAGAGAACUCACCUUUGACUAAGUUCUAGCAAGCUCCUUCUUGUAGGAGAGCUUCAAGCACCUUCACAACCACCAAAAUCCCACUUUUCCAAGCUUCUAAGCCUUCUCCUCCAAGCCCUAAACCAAGCUCUCAAGAGAGAGAAAGAGGGAAAUAAGGUGGAGGGGAGAAAAUAGGGUGCUGCUGUGAAGGGAAGUGUUUGGGGUCUAAUAUGGUGUGCAACAAUUACAACAAAGUCCCUCAAAAAGUCUUAUUUGCAACAGACUAAUUUUAGCUGUCGGGUCCACAGCGUACCGGUACAUGGGCUGGUGUCACCGGUACACGACUCGCGCAACAGCCAAACCCGAGAGCCAUCUUCUCGAAUUUUACACUGCGUACCGGUACACGAAAUCUUAUCACCGGUACACAGCCUUUUUUCAGGACUUAGCCAAUUUUUCAGCAUUUUCACCAAUUUUUAUCCGUUUUCGCUCGUUUUCGCUCAUUUGUGUAAGGACUGAGAUUUUUGACUGCGCAACUUAACUCUCGGCUGAUGAUGUUUAUGUGUGUAAUCUAGUUACAUAAGCACUCGUCAAGUUUCAGGAGAAACUGAGCUAAAAUGGAAAAGAUACGCGAUUUUAGUUUUCACUUAAGUGAAUAGUAACUCUGGUUUUCCGGAGAAGCCACGGAGUAGAGUUGGCUUCUGGUGCGUAUCGGGCUCCGUUCAUAUCAGUCCAAUAGCUCGUUUCGACCGGUUCAGCUAUUCUGGAACUACUGGCGCUGACGGAUUUUGAGUUUGAUGCACGAAUUUCGAGAAAAUUCAAAAAUACGUGUUUUAUAUGUAUUUAUGUGUUAUUCCUUCUAUUGGAAAGAAAGUUUGGAUUUUGUCGUGAAUCCGUGGUCGAUCGUGGUGAAACAAAAUCGUAGCUUUGUUGUCUCCGAGGUGCUGAUCGCACUGGUGCAAUCCGUUCGCAAAUCUGACGGACGGAUCUGCGGAGAUCGCACGUUGAUCGAGGAGAGGUCGGUGUUGGCAAAAGGGUAAUUUCGCAAAAAGUGCGAUAUUUUAUGUGCCGUUUCGCGUGAAUUUGUUUGUGAAGGUGUAUUCGCGCAUAUUUCACGCGUUGUGAAGGGCUGGGAUAGAAAUAUUCUUAUUAGAGGGGCUAAAUUGCAUAUUGCCACAUAUAUAUAUGUGUGUUGGAACCUAGGGCUUCGUGGAAACCCUAACCCUAGCCCUCCCUGUGCACCAGCCGCCUAGGAGGCCCCCUGCCCACGCCGUGCUUGCACCCCGGCGGCCGGCAGCCGCCGCCGUCGCCGGAAAAGACUUCCCCAAGCUCCAACCUUCCUCCCUCUCCCUCCACCUUGGCCGAGGAAGUACCAAGCACCAUCCUGAGCCGGCCAGGCCUCGGGUGAGGUGAGCCCCGACCCAGGCACCCCCACCGGCACCGUCACCGCCGACCCCCACCGUCGCCGUGCGCCGCCGGAGCCGCCGUAGCCGCCUGCGGCCCCAGGGACACCACCCAGGCCGAAGCUGGGUGGCUCGGGUGUGUGAGCCCUGCCGCCGUUUCCCGACGGCCGCGGAGGUCUCCACCGACCGUCCGGCGACCACCGCGCCCGACCCCGGCCACCCUCGAGGGCCGCCGGCCGCCGCAGGAGCCCCCUGCCGCCGCCUUUGUGCUGUAGGGGCCGAACGCGGGCCGCCUUCACUCCCGGGCAUCGCCGCCACCCGCCGACGCAAGCUCGGCCACCGCCUCGACCCCCGGCAUCGUCCCCGACCGGCCCCGACCAGCCCCGGCCGCCGCGUCGCCGCCGGCAACUGUUGGAAAGCACCAAACCGCAAGGGAGUUGGCGGCUCCGUACGCCGCCGCCGCACCUCCGGCCGCCCUGCGCCGCCUGACGUGGAGUGCCCCGGAGCCCCGCCACCUGGUGCACCCCUCCCCGGCCGGACCGCCUGCCGGAAUACCGCCGGCGGCCAACCCUAGCUCCCCCCUCACUGUGAGUGUCCAUUUAUGCAUUCCAGCACUGUUUUCCCACUUUCCGGUAACUUUUCCGGCAAUCCGAAUGGUCUUUUUGACCUCGGGAAGUGAGCACGAUGAUCCUUAGGUCGUGCUGAACAUUGUGCUCACUUCCGUUGAGCCCUGAGAUGCCUUGGUUGCUCAGGUAACCGCGAUCUUCCUGCGGUGCGCGCUUCUUCGCUGACCUUCGCGUCGCUUGUGCGCGCACUGCAGUCGCCGAUUAUGCUCCGAAUGGUGAGCACGGUCUCCGGCACGCUGAAAUCUAUCAGCGGGUGCGACCGGUUGACCCAGCCGAACCUCGUAAGCGGCAACGAUCGACGCCUUAAGAACUGUUCGAAAUAUCGCAUAAAAUGAUAGAUUUAGGUUCAUGUUUAUGCUUUCUUGCAUAAUAGCUUCGACUCUGUCGCUGGUGGACAGCGUGUUAAACGCUGAGGGGUACACCUUCCUGAGCUGAUCGUCCAAGGCCCCAAGCCACUGCGGAAGGAUCGCAAGAGCCCUCUUUCGGGGCGUUUCGUGGCGAAAAUUCGUCGACGGACUAUGCGAUCUUAGUUCGUGUUUUAAUCGCGACGAUUCCUCGGGAUUCAGUUGUGAUGUUUCGCUAAGCCUUCUUGGCAAGUCACCGUGUCGCGUUUCGGAGGUUCGAAACGACGGUGUGGCUGGACUGACGGUGGGUCCAGUGUCAAAAAACGACACUUUUCGGGAAACCCGGUCGAGACGUUUAGUCGCGAUGUCUGUUCCGAGCGAAGUGUGGUGAUCUGCUGCCAAUGUGGGUUAUUAUAGAGUGAUUAUUCGGUAGCGGUUGACUCCCAGUCUGGAGUUGGGUGUGUCCGGGCAAUUAACUGGACCCGGCGAAGCCGUUGCGAUUAUUGGGACCCCGCCGUGUGAUCACGCAAUUAUCGUCCUGGGAAACGAUACCCGUUGGUUCACUUGUCUGGUUAUUUAUAUUAGUUGCCUGACAUUAGGGUUUCUUCUAUUCUUGUGGACCCUUCGUACGUGCUGGUUGCUCUGUUCCCCGCCGGUCUGAGACGCUGUAAGACAUUGUACAGGUGUGUAUUUGAUCCCGACGUCCUAACAGUGAGUUGCACGCUUGUGGAUGCGUGUUCUACCCCUUACCUUCUGUUUACUAUCGCAUUAUAUAUUGAGCUUGAUCCCGUUGUUUCUAUUUUCUCUAGCUCACAUGUUUCUAGCUUAGUAAUCCCAUGUGCAGGAGUUAGAGUAGUUUUCCAUAUGUGAUACCAGUGACCUGAUUGGUCGGUUCUCGUACUUAUCGUUUCGGUGACAUGAUGGUUCGGUUCUCGUACUUGUGUUCGGUGACCUAGUUGAUCGGUCUGUUAUCUUAUAUCUGUUGAUCCUGGUUGUCCGGUCUUGCAUCAUAUAUUGGGUCUGGUCUGUUUCUUGAUUCUGUCGUUCGUAGUGACCUUUUGAGGGUUACCGUAUACCCUGAGGGUAGGGAUUGUCGGCUGAUGCUGACGGUAGCUUCUGGACUACAGUAAUACACUCUGUACCUAGUCGGUCGUUCUUGCGUUCCUACUUUUAUGUUGACAUCGAGCAGUAUCUAAUUACUAUCUUUAUUUACUCUGCUGGAUUGUUCUAUGUGAAUAGUAUCCUCGUUAUAGGGAGUCAGAGCUAGGAGGCCAUUCGUAUAUAGCUAUACUUGUGACCUGGUUGGUCGGUCCUCCUGUUUGCAUCGUGACCCUUUGGUCCUGUCGUUACUUCCAUAUUGACCUAUUUGGAUCGGUCGUCACUGUGUACUUGAAUGACCUAUCACGGCCGCCGUUAGCCCGAGGGCCGGUGAUUGCGGCUGAUUGCCGACGGUGUUAUUGUCAUAUCUCGCAUGCAAUCGCCACAGCUUAGUGAUUUCACGUUACGCAACCGCGGGUUGAUCCCCCGCCAGGAGGUGUCUUUUCCGGAAAGGGUCGUUACAUCCGACGUCCGUGAGCCAGCGUGUCUCUUCUGUGCUUAGGUAGCAUGCCAGGUGUGAAGCAGGUAGUGCUUUUUGCUGAGGUCCUUAGACGACCACGAGCGGUUUUAGAUUGGGUACUUUUGGACACUUGUCGGUUGACGCAUAUAGUAUAUAGUAGCGAUUGGUUGCAUGUAUACGUAGUUCCUUCUUUACACUUGUCUUGGGUCACUAAUUAGUUGUCGAUAUCCCUGUAUGAUUGCUUUCUGCUUCCAGUUAAGUAGCGGUAAGCCGUUUAUUCAGUAUACGUUCUUAUUCCUUCUCAGUUAUCGCUAUGUAAUAUCUGCCAUUACCUUUGUUUAUUCCGACUGACCUAUGUUUUGUAUAGUUCUUGCCUGAUCCGGUGAUACUCCUCGCCUUCAUCGGCUUGCCGGUACCCACUGGCAGGGGGAGACAUGUUACAUUGAACUCAACCUCCCCCACUAUUUUCAGGGAUUGCAGCGGUAAGAGGUUUAACGACGAGAACGUGAGACACGUACGUAGCGGCGAAGAUCUCCGACCAGGUCGCGUCGAUUUAGCUCUUCACCCUGUUUAUUGUCUGUUGAUAUAUAAGCUAGAUAGUUAUACAUUGUUCUAGUAUGUCUUAUUCAUUGAAUGUGGAAUUUUCAGAUGAAUAAAGGUUUUCUACCCUCGUGGGUGCGUUUUAAAGAAAUAAAGGUUCCGUAAGGGAAACAGUUUUCAAAUAAAGGAUUUUUUUAUGAUUUCUGUUUAAACAUUGAUGUAAAAGUCGUGAUUUGGAAUGACGUGAAUGUAUGAUGUAUAGUAUCUUUAAUUCAUCUAGUUUGGGUUGUAUCCUGGUUGUAUUCUGUACUUGUUGCGACCGUUGCAAACUACAGCGGGAGACUCUGUCCGUGUGAAUAGUUGAUCUCCAUAUAAUUUGUGGUGAUUGACAUACCUGGGGUCAGUGUUUCAAAAAAAAAAUCAGACGCUUUCCGCUAUCUCCUAAACCGAAAGGGACCCCGGGGGUGACAGAUUAAAGUGGUAUCAAGACGAGGAGGUUACAACCACAACACCAUUCACAGGUUGGUUUUGAAAAGUAAAUGAACUGAACCAAAGAAACUCAACCAUUGUUAGGUUUGACCCUUAGGAAGACUUCGAGUGUAAUUAGCCACGAAGUGCGGGUUUGGCUUUUUCCCGAGUGUGCAUUCGAGUUUUGGUUAAACUCGAACUGCAUGAUGCUUCUGUAUGUGUUACGUUCGCACAAGCUAGUGCUAAUGUCGGGGUAGUGCCGGUGUACUUUCGCGACAUUGAGUGGUGGGGUGAAGUACCCAAGGUUAGCCAUUUCCUGUCAGUAGGGGCCUUGAAAGGCAAUGAUCCUGGGCCUAGGCCGAGUGUCAUGGACCUGCCCGAGCCCAGCCACUCUCUCUACUUAGGACACAAAGCUACUUGCGAAUGCUCUACGGCAGAUGGUGCUCUGACCAGUUCUGUCGCCGACUUCAGUGGUCUACUAGGCCGUGUUAGCCAGGGUUUUGAUUGCGGUCGUAUUCAGCGACUGCAUUGUAGUAUGGCUUCCCCAGAUCGUUGGGUAGGAUUGUGAUGCUACCUAUCUCCUUGAUUGCUGAUGAAUCACGCGUCGGGAUCUUUGACCUUUACCCCUCGUUCACUCCCUCUCCUACUAGAGUCGGAUCUGACACAGUUUUGGUGUCAGGUCCUGUUGAGUACAUUACAAUGCGUGAUGAAUUGUUGUUCACACUUUAAUGAUGUCAAGCGGAUAAUAGGAUGGGUUUAGUAGGACGCACUGACCCGAGUAGCUCCAGUAUAUUGCUUGAAUUUCGGACGCUUUGACUUAUAGCCGGUGAGGUGCGAAUCGGUUAGAGAACCUUUUCUUAGAGCCUCAGUUGGUACGGGUGCGUGGCUUAAGGUUGCUAGCAGCUCGAUAUGAUAGUUACUGAGGACUGCCCUAGUAGUCGGUUUAGGUCGUUUCUGAUUUCGAAUGUCCGACUUGUAAAGUUGAGUUCGAUAGUAUUUGUUGUGAAACUCUGGUUCCGUGAAGAGGUAUCAGGUGGCUUGAUACUCGAUGUGUCACAUUCCAAACUCAUUGUUGCGAGGUCAGUAGAUCAUUUGGAUAUUUCGCUUUUCUUGAUAAGUAUAUAUCUGUAGCUGCCAGACAAUAUACUGUCGAAGAGAGGGACGAAAUACCCAUUUUCCCUACUUGGGCGCUUCUGGACUUGGCGUUCGUGUGUUCUCUAAGACUGUUUUGUGGGAAAAGCUCGAGAGAUACGUCAUCUUUGACCACGUGAACGAGCCUUGAUUAUUCCGUUGCAGGUUUUGCCAUUUGACUUAUCGUCACUGAUAAAGGUUUGUUGUUAGUAGUCUCGUUUGUUGUGCGAGGUUGUGCGAACCACAAUGGUGGAGCACUUGAAGCCGGUUGUUUGGCUUGUGUCCACCAUAUACGUGAAGCCGUAAAAGUUGCUUUGCAUUCCGUGCCAACCUUGGUUGCAGCCUUGCUUGUCUGGUUAUUGAUGACAGGUGGCCGCCCCCGGUCGCAAUGGACAAUAAAUCGGGGUGUGCUGGGAACAUCGUUGCUAGUGGUCCCUUGGUACGGACGGCAGCGACAGGGUCACUGUGUAAGAGACAGGUGUUUCGAGCAUCACCCGUCAUGGUUAGUGAUCGCUUGCGAUUGCGACCUGUGUCAGUCAAGUAACUGGAUCUUAAUUGGUGGGUAGGAUUGGUUAAUGUAUCGGUUACAAUUGAGGCAACAGAAAUUGAGCGACGCGUAUUUGGGUAUUGUUUUCCCGGUCUGGACUUUUGGUCAGGGGAAAAGUGAGGUCUUGACCUAGGAACGUAUAGAUGCGUCGUAAGGGACUCUCCCUUUGUGGAGGUUUUGGCAGUUUGUGUGGUUACUGUUGGGAGACUGCGGUCACCAAGGUGAGAGUUUGACUCAGGUCUUAGAACAACGUUUCGUAUUCGCUCGUAGUGAGCAGGUUGACGUUGUUGGAUAGUCGGAGUUUUUCGUUUCAAGUCUACGUAAAUAGACUCUAGAUUAAAGUAGUGUUGACUCGAGUCUCUUCUACGUGAACCUUCGACGUAGUCGAAUCGGUUACUGGUGUGCGGACCUAGGUUGAGUGGACCUAGAAGUUCUGAGUGUUGAUGUAUUAUCUCAAAUUUGGUAAUAUUUGGGAUCAGAAAUCCUAACCGUGGGACUGUUUUUGU